CUGUUCCUGGUACCCUGAAGUGAAGCUGAUCAGGGAUGAAGGAUUGGAGCACUUAAUAGAAUGCUUAAUUUCAAUUCCAGUAAUGUUUGCUCGUGGUUUUAUGUUUUGAUGGAUACUGAAUGAUGUAAUUGUUGAACAUGAGUUAAUUACCCAUGGAGAAGUCUUUUAUCGUUCUGUUGUCUGUGUUUGUCCCCUCUCAUUGUCAUUGUUAGUUAUAAGUACUUGUUUUUUUAUUAGAACAUAUUGGGUCAAUGGCUGUAACAGACCAGCAACCUAGCAAAUAAGCUUAUUUCAUAUCUAUCUGUGCUUGUAUAUAAGCACAUGAAUGACUGAAUCCACGCACCGUACCAGAGAGAAUGAAGCGCGUGAGCACAUGAAUGAGCAUCUCUACUCCUAAUGUCUUAGUUGGUAGGUUGUGUUCUGGGUUUAAUUUUCGUCUCACCUACCAUGUUUUUUUUGGUACUUCUUUGAUACCUGCUCUCACCUCCCGGUUCAAAAAAACCCAACCAAAACCACGUUCAUGUAGUUCUCUCGCAAGCGACAGAAUCUAACAAAGAAAAACCAGCGGAAAAAAACCCUCCACGACCUGCACGCGGGCAGGAAUGAGCGAGGCCUCCGGGUCUAGGGUGCCCACCUCUCUUUCUCUCUCGCCUCCCACCCUCACCCUCCCGAUCUGGUCGCCGCCCACCUUCACCCUCCCGAUCUCGUGAGCUGCAGGGGAAAUCGGUCUUUAGAAUCGCCACCAUCGAUGCCGCUCAGUUUCCCUCCGCAACCUGCCACUUGCAACGGACCGAGGUCGUCGAUGUGGGCUCGACGCAGCCGCCCGGAGCUACUUCGCCCUCGAUGUUGAGGAGGGCGUGGGCCUGAUCGAGCUCCCGGCCGCCUUGCUUCUCUACAGACUAUCUCUAUCCUCAGUCGUAGGCUCCUCGUGCUUUCUCCCCUGCGCCGCCACCCAAUGGUCUCCGCCAGCGCCGCGUGCCCCCAAGAAAAUGGCGGCCUUGGAUGAAAAUGUGCGGCUCGAUCGACCUUGAGAAGAUCCCCAUCAAUGCGGACUCCCCUAUGUAAGUCCCCAAUUCCCCUCCCUUCUCCCUUCCCUCGAUCCAAAUCUCGUAUCCACAGAUCUAGAUCACGGCCAUAGGGAAACCAAUAACGAGAAGAAGCGGCUCGCCGAGAUAUGCCAUGUCGACUUCUCCUUUUGUCAUCAAUGGAGGCGCCACGAAGGCCAAGAAGAAGGCCCCAACAGCCCUGGCCAUGGCAGGGCCUCAUGUAGAGCCUGAAGUAGGUGCAACAUCAUAGUCCGUCCUUGCACGUACAAAAAAUAGACAUUUAUUUUUGAUUAUGGUCGCCGUAAAUAAUGAUGUUACUACGGGUCUAUUUUUUUCUGAUUAUGGUCCUUUCAGUAUUGAUUCUUGCUUGUAUAUUAAGAAUUAAGUUUCCCUGGUUAGAAGUAACCAUCAGUUCUUUCUACUUUCUGAAGAACUAGCAUUCUUUUCUCUUUAUUUUUUCGUCCAUAUUAAAUUAUUUGGCACAAACAUACAUCUGAAAUAAAUGCAAGUCUAUAUCAAGUACUGAGAUUAAGAUGGAUGGGAGGUCACGGAUGCUGGGUCGGAAUUUGAAUGCUAAUGCCUUCACUACUUUGUUGUGUUGUUUAUGUUACACGGUUAUGAGUCCGGUGUGUGGAUCGGUCAUUGGUGAAAGCAGCCGCCUAAUUUCAGAGUUCUUCCUUUGUUCUCCCAGGACCAAACCAACGAUCAAUGUGUGCUGAGAAUGACAGCAGUAUGCACCACAUUUGCAGUCUUAACUACAUGGUAAGCUUUACUAAACUGAAACUUGUCCAAACGUUUUGCAACCACGUUGGAAAAAUUUAUCAGGUUGCAGUUUUGCGGCCGUGUCGAAUCGCUUUUAUACUUAAUACUUUUGAUGGGUCGUACAAGCUGGUUGAACUGCCACUGGUUGUUACAACCUACAAAUAUACAGAUCUUCAAUAUAUGACUCACUAUAUAUAUGAAAUUCUCCAUGCAUAAAUUGUGUUUUUAGAUGAUUCACUAUAGCAAUUGGUGUGCUAUAACAGUGAGACUGUUCUAUAUAUUGCUAUCCAGAUUUGACAUUUAGUUUCCAUAACCUUUAUUUUUCUGUUAUUAUUAAGGACAACAUGCUAAUUUCUCUAAUCCACUCUUAUUGUAAUGUUAUGAUUUUGUUUCUAGGUUAGUAAAACUUUUUAUUCAGCUCAAAGAGGUCAUGCAGUACAUCCUAGGAAAUAAAGGCGAGUCAAUUCGGUGAGGAUAAACUAGAUUGCCUUCUAUUGUGGCGGGUCAAACUAUUUUUUGAAACACCACCACCACCUACAUGCUUUUUUCUUCCUUUUCCUUCUAAUAGAGCGCUGAUUGUACCUACUUAGAAAUGUUAGUGGAUGCAUCCAAGUCUGAUUUGGCACUUCUUUUUUAAGCUGAAUGGAGAGGUCAUAUCUAGCUAUAAGUUGUUUGCUACUAUAUUUCUUUAGUUCCAAUUAAUUGGAUUUGAUUUUAAAGUUCUACAGCCAAAUGAUAGUUCAGAGAGAGUACAUGUUGUUACUCCACUUAUUUAAAAACCACCAGAGAGAGUACAUGUUGUUACUCCACUUAUUUGACUAAAUGAUGCAAAUGCUUUCCCCAUAGGAUAACUUGACAAUUUGUCGAGAGAAGUAAUAAAAACCGUCAAGCUUAAAGAGCAAAAGUUUGAGCACUGAAACGGUGAGUUCAGAUGCCAUGUAGUUCAUAGUCUAUGUGCAACGGCUCUUUAAUUUGACUGAAGCAAAUGUGAUUUCUGGUUCUACCAAAUUAUUUUAUUUUAUUGUGCAACACAAGUAUCUUUAUUUGACCUUGUUUCCUUAGACUAUGAAGAGGUUAGAAGAAAAAAGUGUCGAUUGUUGUAUUGUCACAUUGUACAUCAUAAUCAUUGUUGUAUAUGUUUUUGCAUACAUACAUCAAUUAUGUACAUAGACAGAAGAAGUCUUAACAGAGCUAUUUCAAAACAAGAUGAGGAGAGCCCCAAUGAUUUAAACAGUAAAAUACUAACCUGCACAUGAUCAUAUAAUGUACGGAUCACAGGCUGGCUAAACCCUUCUUUCGAGUCUCCUAACAUUGUCUACUUAAUUUUCAGUACCUGCAAGGUCAGCUAGCUAGAAAUUUGGGUAUGCUGCUAUAUGCCUUCAAUUUGUAAAAUAAGAUGCAUAUUAUUCAGCUUGAUUCAUUGCUCAGGAUUUUUGAAUAAGAUGGGGCGACCAUGAUGUGGCUCGGAGAAAGGGUGCAUAUGGGAUUACUUAUUACCCAUUGGGUCUGCAAAUAUGAGAGGUAAAAGAUUUCACUGUAGUGCAAGGCACGUUCUAAGUUUCAUCUUCGCACAUGAUUAUGGGCUUAUGGCAUCUGAUCAACUUUCUCUUGACAUGCGUAAUUGCAACAUCGUCCCGAUCUUUCCAAAAAUAGAUUGUCUAUGAUUAUGAGAGUAACCACAAGAACAGACGAAAGUCGCGAGACUCGUUACGAAACAAUGCAGAUUCUUUACCCCUAGGACAGUGACAGUGCUAAAAUUCAUGUAUGUAUGUUAGGAGUUACGAUAUGACCUUUUAUUUAUGUAUGUUAACAUUCAAAAAUGUUUGAUGAGAUCAAUAAUGUAUAUAUGAGAUGUGAUAAAACUGAACAUAUGUUGUACUCGGCGUAUUUGAUUAAAUAUAUUAACUAACGAACCCAUACUUUAUUUAUCAUCAAGUGGCAAUGCAUGGGUAUUUAGCUCGAGUUGUGCAUGGGCUGCUCGAGCUGCGCGCCAAUGUGGAGGCCCCGCACCGCCGCCGAUGGGCUGAUGUUGUUGCACGUCGUGGCAAGGACGUCAGUGUGUGCGCUGCUUGUGCUGGGCACUGAUGUGGUCGCCCCUGAUCGGAAGGGACGCCGCUGGAGCUGCCGCGGGAUAUGGUGGUGGUCCGCUGAUGGAGCUGGGAGCAGACGCGGAGGCAAUGGGCCCGACUCUCUGUGUGCAAAUCAUGAUGACUUGGAGCACUGUCAUGGGAAGUUUUUAUUCAUCUUUACCUAUAUUUAUUGGAUUAGGUUCCAUUGGCAGGUGAGAUUCUUAUCCUGAAUGCUUUAUUCUAUUUUUGCCAAGACACUUCUCCUUAAUAUGUUCAAUAUUCAUAAUAAAUUUUUUGCGGUAGAAUUACAUGAUUUCUAAACAUUUUGAUUCAUAAUACAAAUUUGCUGCAUCAUGGGGUUUAUUAGAAAUCCUAAUGCAUUUCUAAUCAGGAUUGUUUCUUAUGGUGAUUAAAUCUGUCAUAGCGUCAACAGGUUAAAGACGAUGUACCCUUUUCCCGUUUGGAUACCAACCAUUGCAUUCAACAGUAAGAUCUGUUGCUUAUUUACUUGUAGAAUCAAGUGGGUUAGAGGCAUCUGCUUUUAACUAUUUACGACACUUCAAUAAAACACUCUUUUCUUAUUUGUGUGAGUACUAUUUGUUUCACUAUUAAAAAAAUUAGGAACUGAAGCCGAAAUAAAAUGGUUCCUGGUUGUAGUUUCCCGGGUUGAUUCUUCGAAUUAUAACUUCAAUUUGUAUGCCCUCGCGAUAAUUUUCUGCCUGAAGUUUCUAGAGCUCACUGAUUUUAGGACCUUCUAUACAUUAUAUUCUUCAAUUAAGUAAUGAUAAUGUAAUAUUGCAUCCUGUCAUUUACAAUCAGAUAGACAAGUGACCUUAAGUAUAAGGUUUCAAGCUACUUAACGCUCAAUGCUUGUUAUAUAAUUCUCCGUGGUAACAUCAACUGAGUUGGGCAUCAUAAUUGGCACUGAACAUCCAAAGUUAAGUUCAUGCUCACCAUUUCAUGAUUAUAUUUUUGGUACUGAUAUUUUCAUAUUACCAGUUCGCUAAAGAUAGAGCUCUGGCAUUGUAUUGAAGCUCAACUCUGCAUGAAAGUGUACAACUUCACUGUUAUGUUCUGGCACUCGAAUUUGCUAUGCUUUUCAUGCUAGGAAUACUUACACGUUCAUUCUUAAAUCAUCUUGUUAUAUGGCAUUGUAGAUCUGAUGGAAAAGAACUUGUGUGAUAUAGGCCAGGGCAGAGGACGUUGUCAAUGGAAAACAUGGCUCCGCAUGAAGGUUCACUCGCCAAUAGUCUUCAAGAAGAUGCGAAGGUCAUGGUUCUGUGUUGAUGCCCCUUGAAAAAAAUAUCUUCUCAUUUUCUUGUUUGAAGGAACGCUAGGAGAAAUUGAGGAUGCGAAAAAUGUACGGAGAAAAGGGAGACUAGGAGAGGUACACGGUGAGGCAUCGACGAAUCCUAAAAAGAGAAACUUUUAUCACAGUGUUUUCAUAUCCAAACUUGAAUCAAGUAUGCUUUUUGAAUGGCUUGCACUAAAGCAGAGUAUAAUUCUUAUACUUGUGUUUUAAAUUGACUACAUGUUGUCAUCUCCUCUUGUAUACAUCUUUCGUAACUACCAUUUUGUGAUGGGUUGUUAAGCUACCAUUCAAGGGAAUGCAUGUUGACAAAUGUAUUGAUGCUUCCUUGAGUCUACUACUAAUAUAUUUGUAAUGUAUUUUUCACUGAAAAAAGCACAGCUAAUAGCACCCUAUAGAGUUGUCUAGCUAAAUAAAUCAAUGUACACUGCCUCGCUAAUAGAAUGCCAUAGUGCGAUAUUGCAUGCUAAUAGCGUAUUUUAAGGCCGCUCCUAUUUUGUUAUAGCGCGCUACUUUUUCAUUGAUUUUUAUAGAGUUUAUCUCUACUCCUAAUGUCUCAGUUGGUAGUCUCCGUUUCAUGGUUAAUUUUGUCCCACCUAUCAUGGUUUUUUUGUCCUUCCUCCACCUCCCAGCGAUUCCCCCCUGAAUUGUCGCGCUUAGGAUCCACCUGCCACCUCGCCGGAGACGAACACCGCCGCGAAUGCGAGGGGAACGGGACCAGACCGAGCACCGGCGCCUGUUUCAGUAAGCUCGCUGCGCCCGUCCUCGUUGGUCGCGCCGCACACAGCUCAUCGGAGCCCCUAGCCGCGCCAAUGCGGUGGUCGGUGGGCGGAGUCGCAUGAUCGACGCAUGUGGCGAUGCGGCGGGGGGAGGGGAGAUGGCCGAGAUGUUGGAGUGAGUGAAGAAGAGAGGUGAAUGAGCCACAAGACCGGCCANNNNNNNNNNNNNNNNNNNNNNNNNNNNNNNNNNNNNNNNNNNNNNNNNNNNNNNNNNNNNNNNNNNNNNNNNNNNNNNNNNNNNNNNNNNNNNNNNNNNNNNNNNNNNNNNNNNNNNNNNNNNNNNNNNNNNNNNNNNNNNNNNNNNNNNNNNNNNNNNNNNNNNNNNNNNNNNNNNNNNNNNNNNNNNNNNNNNNNNNNNNNNNNNNNNNNNNNNNNNNNNNNNNNGGCGGAGUCACGCGGUUGCGGGCUCGGCGACUCGCGCGGCGAUGCGGUGGGGGGAGGGGGGAGGGCGAGAGGUGGCGGGUGAGUGGAGAGGACCGGUGAGUGAGCCCCAAGAUCUGCCGCGACAUGUGACAGAUCAGCGGUCGGCGGGCGGAGUCACGCGGGGCGGCUCGUCGAGGCACGCGGCGAUGCGGCGGGGGAGGGUAAAGUGCGAGAGGACGUGAGUGAGUGGAGGGGAGAGUGAUGAGUGAGUGGGGUUUGGGUUGGGAUGCGGCGGAGGGAGGGGAAAAGGUGAGGGGUGGCUAGUGAGCCCAGAGGCCAGCGCGCCAGGUGGGCCCUCGAGCCGGCCCGUGAGGCAACUUUGUUGUGCCUGGGCCGGGGAGGCCAGCACGCGUGCCUGGCCGGGAAGUGUCGUGCCUGGCCCGUGUAAUCCUGGCCGGGCCGGGCCAUGUUGGGCCGGCCAAUUUGUCCAGGUAUACUGUAAUCCCUCAAAAAAAUAUACUGUGUAUAAGGUAAUUUCUUUUAUAGUUGUUUUUUUAGGGGCUAAGUUUGGGUGCUGGUUGGGCCGUGGUGGAUAGCUAAUUUGGGCCUUGUGUGAAAAUUUUGCUCAAUGAUAGAAAUUCUAAACUCGCAUGUGUGGGAAUUUAUGACAAAAAAAUAGAUAUUGAAAGUAUACAUACCUCACAAAAACAAUAAAAGUGUGUGUGUAUAUAUAUAUAUAUGAAAUAUGGUUCAUAAAAAUAAAUAUAUUUUAUAAUUACCUUUCAUAUACUAAGGGUAUCACAAUAAAAUUGAGAGAAAAAAAUAUACUUGGUUGAAGAAGGUUUGUUUGCAUGUUUUUUUUCUUGUUGGACAAUUUUCCAUGGCCUAUAUUAAUAAUUUAAAUAAUUUUCAUAUGACUAUUUACUUAUAUAUGAACAUUACAGUUUGUUGUUUUCCCCAAAUUUUGUGUUAGUACAAUUAUUUAAUCAACAUAUUUUCCUAAUAAUGUCAACUAUGUUUUUUAUAGAGAAAAUAGUUGUGUCAGUUUCACUUUUAUUUUUUCCAGAUAUUAUAUAUGAUUAUACUCCCUUCGAUCCCUUUUACUCCGGGCAUAAGUUUUUCUUGUUUUUUCCAGAAUACUCUGCGCGAUCCUGAUUUGUAGCGGUUUUUUCCUAAGUCUAUCCUAAUCUUCAGCCCCGCAUGCAACGACUACCUCCUCCUGUGCAUUAAUUACUGACCACGCAUGCAGCGCAUGCAAAGGAGAAUGGGCCAAUAACAGCCAUGCAGAGGAAACGAGGAGGACGGGCCAAUAACUGGCUCCGGUGAUCAUAGCUUCCCAGCUUUCCUGGUUGCUGCAAUUCAACUAGCACAGGGACAAUUUCGUCCAAAAAAAUUACAAGCAGGUCUCCUUGGUAUGCGUGAUGUGAGUUAUGGGUAGACUAAAAAAAAUAGGAGGGAGUAUUAUGCAGUAGAAAAUAUCAUUUAUAUUUGAUCAUUUAUAUUUCAUUGUAGAUACAAAGUGAUGGGUUUCGACAUAUGCACUGAUGUAACGAUGACAGACCGCACUGAAACACCACGAGAAGAGGUGCAUAUAGCUAACCUUCCUCGGUAUGUAUAUUGUACAUGCAAAUACGAAAGGUAUAUUUUUGUAUAUUAAUAUUUUUUUCAGAAUAUAGGAGACAUGGAUAUGGACUUUGGAUAUGCACAAAAAGAACUCGUUGAGGGUUUCGAUGCGAAGUUGCUGAAAGGGACAGUAAAUUCACUGAGUUUUUUACAACAUAAUGAUGUCGAAGCGGUGAUAUCUCAUAACAAACCAAAAAUGGAUGCCAAUUUAAAUGUUAUCGCACAAGGUAUUUCUUUAAUGUUAUUAUCAAUAUUUUCUUUGUGAAAUUGCCUUCUGUAUUCAACUAAUUUGGCUCAUUUUGUUGUCCAAGUUGGCUCACUUUUUUAUGAAGUCGACAGACUAUGUUUGUACCCCUAGAGAUAUUUCAGUCACCGAAUCAAUCAUGUCUGCCCCCAAAAAACCUUGUUCGUGGACAUCUUGUUAUCAACGGACGAUUGGAAUGCCUUUUGAAAGAUGAUAUGUUCUUACACGAUGGUGUAAGACCAACUGCAUAAACUUUGUAAUUAAUAAUUGCAACGAAAUAUAAUAUUGUAAUAUAUAUAUAUAUAUAAUUUAAAUGUUGACUACAAGUGAUAAAUGCUUACAUAUAUUGCAUGCUUGCUCCAGACCAUCUACGAGGCAGGUGAUAAAUGUCGUUAGUCUUUCUUUUUGGUAUCAAUUUUCAUUGCAAAAUGGAGUUCAAUUAUUCAGUAAUUGUGUUUGUGUUAUAUUGUUUGUGCAUGUGAAAUUUAACAUGUAACUCUUGUAAAUUUUUUCAAGAGCCUGUGGCAACGGGCACUCUACUAGUAGUUUUAUGUUUUGCAAAAAAAUUAUAUGUACACCCUUUGUAAAGAAAUAUGAAAUAUAAGAGUGUUUAGGUAGUAAUGAUCUAAAUGCUUUUAAGUACAAUAUAAAAAAGAACAUACCAUCUUAGAAGAUAUGGCCUCAUCCGUUGCAUUGGUGAUGGACGAUCGACAGAUUUGAGACUCCGGUUGGAUAACUAGGGAACCACUGCUCAUACCGCUUAUGCCUUUGAUCCAGAACCUGCCACAGAUGAUGCAUGAGCCGAUAAACCACACAGAAGCUACUUGGAGCUCAAAACUUGUUCGCCAGGUGUUUCUGCCGAUGGACGCGGAUGCUAUCCUUAGUAUCCCACUUUGCACGGGUCGGAUCACGGACUUCUGGUCUUGGCAUUUGGACCGCAAAGGUUUUUUCUCCAAGGGAAAAUUGGUUGUACGGUGUCACAGGACCGCCGAACUGCCAUAAGAAAAACUUUGGAAGCUGUCGAUUCCCUCAAAAGUCAAAACAGAAGGGACUUAUCUAUGCUCUCCGUGGGUCUCUCUCAUUUACUACUCGAUGGCUCGUUGUACGUGGGCUUUGUCUGACGAGAGUCUCACAAGACGCAUGGUAUCAUGCACCGAGCCGAAUGCAGAAAAAACCUGGUUGUUCAUGUUGCAUGACAUGGUACCACAAUUUCAAUUCUAUAGGAUGAUCGUUUCUCUUUGGGCGUUUUGUUUGCCCAAAGGCUAUCGACGAGAACAUCUUCCAAAGCCCAUUUUCUACACAUUAGUUUAUUGAGUCAUAUUUAGCGGAGGUACAAGCGUUGAAACAUUGUCUUUUCGUGCAUCUAGACCUACCCUUUAGACCCGUAUGCGGUGGCUGCCGCCCCAAGCGGGACAUGUAAAAAUUAAUGUGGAUGGUUUUGCUCGUUCUGAUACUAAAGGUGCGGCCAUGGCUCUUUGCAGGGAUGCGAAUAGAGCAUAUGUUGGUGCAUCAGCUAUUGUUGUCAAUAACAUCAUAGACCACCGUGUCUAGAAGCUCUGGCGUGCCGAGAAGGACUAGCUCUUGCUAAGGAUCUAAACCUUAGAAACAUUGUGAUUAUUUCUAAUUGCGUAAUGGUGAUGAAAUGUAUUGAACAUGGAUCUUGUGGAACCUAUGAUGCAAUCAUCAAGGAGAUCAAGGAGCGGAAUACUUCUGUUGAUAGCUAUCAUUUUGUUCACGGACAUAGGAAUUUUAAUUUCGAGGCUCAGAACCUUCCAAAGUACGUUUUAUCUUUAGGUGUAGUAUAUGUCAUGUUUGGCUGGGUCUCCCUUAUGACCCCAUUAUUGUACUUGUAAACAUGCUCAUCUCUGAGUAAUAGAGUUGCAUGUGUUUGCCUAAAAAAACUUAUUUGCAAAACAUAGUGUUAGCCAGUAGCAGACUCGGACACACAAGUAACUUAAGUCCUCUAUAAACCAAAACUUGGUAAUUCGAAAGCCUUCCUGGAUUCAUCGUAUUUUACUGGCAUUCAGAUUUAGAAUUGAUGCCUACAGUAUCCGGGUCGAAACUCAACUUCUGAACUCAUUUUUUACCAACAUCUUGAUUCACAAUGGUGCCUAUAAUAUCAGGGGAGAAAUAUGGCAUGUUCUUUUUUCAUCAGAUUUGCAGUUUUAUCCAAUUCUCGUGAUUGAUUCGAAUGUGGCCUUCAAAACUAGAUCGUCCUUGCUUGAUCGUUUACAGUAUUUCUUCAUGGCCUUUGUAGACUUGCCGAACUGUUCAUUCCUGCAUGUUGGAGACACAUAAGUGUCAGAAUAGCUUCGGAACUCCUGGUAAUUACACCCCCUAAAAUCUUAUCAUAUGCCCUUGAACACCAACAGUGGCUGCGAUUAGCCAGCAGCUACAAGCAAAUAAUUGUCGAAAUAAAGCCGAUUUAGGUGAACAUUUAAACAGGUCCUAUUAGGAAUUCACCUGUUUUUGUCGCCGGCUGCCGCCGUCAGGCGAACAUACUCUGCCUCAAGCUGCCGGAUAGAGGGGCACUGACCCAUCCUAGACUCUCUACUUUUUUUUAGUGUCUGCUACUACUGGUCUGCUCUGCUCGCUAGUUGCUUGUUGAUUGAGUUGCAUUUCUGGUUACAUAUGUAUUUAAGGGAUUCUAGUUCAAAUAUAAAAUACAAAAAAUGGGAGAAAGCGCUCAGAUAUUUUGUGCCUUUUGGGCUUUUGAUAGGUAGGCAUGAAUUGUGCUGCUUCAUCGUGCCACUUGUCUGUUCUUCUUUAGACUGGUUUUAUGUUUGGCUACUUCAGGCAACUCCGCUCUUCACUCUGGUAUUGUAUAAUCGUACUCACCGUAGCACAUCUAUAUGGCUUCAUAGAGGACCACCGUAUAUUGAUGAGCUUCUGCCUCUCGAUUGUAACCUUAUUAUCUUGGAAUGAAUUUCUUUCACCCUAGAAAAAAAAACUUCACUUUGGCAUCACGUACAUCCCUCCGAAAUUGCUUCAUUUGGCUUGAUUUCGUGUGAUCUCAAUUGGUUUCCUUCCAGAAGUAUAUUUUCCUACCAAAGAAAGGAAAACAAGUUUUCUUCUCUCUCGAGGGAUUAGCGUUAGAAAUAACUGGAAGAUAACGAAAACUCGAUAAAAACAAGUCAAAACCUUCGUCUAAAAGUGAUAAAAAUUAGAGCUAGCAAUGUCAUAUCUAUUUUUAUUGUCUCACAUAUUUUGCUCUGUCACCACACCUACAUCACGUGGUCAUAUCUUGUGAUCACAAUUCAAACCUUUUGUGCAAUGAGUCAUUUAGUUGAUACUAUUCACUCAUCUCAUUGUACGUUUCUAUUGACCUAGGGGGAGCCAUCUAGUUGUGUGCAUGUUGCAUAAUCAAGCAAAUAUUUAUUGUAUAUGAACACUCCUAGGGGAGCUCUCUACAUCGAUAGCUUUGCAUAGCAAUAUUCCAUAUUCAUAUUCUUUGUCAUGCUCUAACCAUGAUGUCAUCAAUACACCAAAAAAGUGGAGAUUGAAAGGGAGGAUAUGGUUGAUUCCCACUUCAAAAAGAUCAAAGGCAUGGUUUACUAGCGACUUGAAGCUUUUGAUUUGGUUUAUUUGAGUUGUAUGACAACCGCACUAUCAAGAGGUGUCAUUAUGGUAGAAAGGUGGUGUGGGGACACUCAAAACAUAAACACUAGCCAUCCUACACCUACCACCUUAAAGAUGAUCUACAUCUUCAUAUCCAACAUCUCAAUGUGCCCCCAAGGAGUGUCCAAAGUCUCUGGACACCUCGUUCACACAUAGUCUUUGACCCCCGUGCGCACAUGCUGGUGAACUAGCCUCUCGAUCACCCCGUGUGCACGUGGUCUUCGACCACCACGAGCAUGGGGUGAUGCAUUUAUCUUUGGACAUCCUAUUCCCACGGGGUCUCAGACCACCAUGUGCAUGGGGUAGUGAUUUAGCCUCUAGACAUCCCGUGAAUGUAAUGUAAAGGUCUUUUGAAGGUGAUUUAGAAAUAUAGUCCAUCUGAAUGCAAAGAUCACAAAGUGGGAUGAACUAUAUAUAGAUCUCUUCUUCCACCUCCAUUCCUAAGAGAGCAAAGCUCGAUCUACAACUUGACCAAACCGAUUUGUGUUCCCCGCUAGAUUUCUUCACCAACAAUUAGUUUCCCUAGUAGCUUGGGCUCCUAGCCUGUUAGGGUUCCUCCGGAAGCUUCAUUGCUUGUGGUGUGCUCCGGAGACGUAUGUCAAUAUGUGGUGGUCGCCUUCAAGACCAACCCCGAGUGAUUCGAGGCUCAUCCGCUGGGGGUGACUUGAGGAGAAUACAAUGACAUAAUGGGUGGCAUUCCGAAGCCUUGGCACCGACAACACUCUAAUGAACACUAGCACUUCUCUAAGGAAGUGUAAAUUUCGGGAUAAAAUCCACGCCCCGACUCACUUUUGUUACUCCUUUUUAUGCAUUUUACUUUGCUUUGUAUGCUCGUGGGACUUGCUAAUUAGAUUUUUUCCUAGCUUACAUUGCUUUGAUCUUGAUUUCCCUAUAGAUUGUGUUCAUCUAGUUGCAUAUAUAGAGAACCUACUUUAUCGGCAAACCCCUAAAACUGGUAAUUAAGCUUAAAACCUAUUCACCCCCUCUAGUCAACUGUAUCGACCCUCUCGGGUAAAUUAAACUUCGAUCAAGUUCUUCACUUAUGCUCAGUCACUUAGCAAUUUUAGGCUCUAGGGUUUUUCCUCACUUAGGAUUCUCACAAUCACUUUGAGAGGAUGGGUUACUCAAAAAAACACUUGUCGAAUUCCUAUGGAACAUCCAACCAACUAAGGUUGAGGUAGAGGUUAUUUAUAGUCAGUAGAGCAAGCUCAAGCGAUGAUGCGACUAUUGGAGGUGCACUCACAACGUCACUGAUGGAGUGCUGGACUAAGAGGUACUCACCACGUGUCUCUCGGCCAGGUUGGUCAGGCCGAGGACCCACAUGGCGGUUCACUAAUGGGACAUUUCGGGCAGCCGAUGACGUAUACUAGGAAAAUUCCACAAGACUUGGCACACAAGACGAGGACUGCUGUUAUCCUAGGCCUCCAAUACAUUGUGUAAAUCGAGGCCAGACUAGUCAAUAGAACAUUACAUUACAACAUAGGUCAACAAUCUCGUGGUAGAUACAUGUACUCUGUACUAUACCCCAUAUCAAUACAAUCAACAGCAUGACAUAGGGUAUUAUCUCUUUGAGAGAGCCCAAACCUAGGUAAAAUCAUGUGUCCAUGUUACCAUCGCUCCAAGACACCUAGCUUAUGACCCCUACCUCGACAUAUGAUGGAUUUAGCACCGACAUUGGUGUCCCAUACAGGUCCCUGUUGGUAGUCACUGCAGUACGAUGGGAAUUCAGAUCGACUCUGACGUGGUUAACGCGUCGGAACGAAACUUCAGCAUCGACGUCGGCUUUCAUCGCUGGCUCGACUGGUCACCUUGGCUGGAUCGAGGACUACACUCUGCGUUGGAUCAUCAAGUUCGGACGGGUGCCUCCAUCAUCAACUCAAAUCUCAACUAAGAUCAUGGAAGAAUCGUCCAUGGAGCUCGGGGUUUCAAUGUCAAUAGUGCGCUCACGUGAUUGUGCAAUUUUUUUGGGCAACAUAUUCGUGUUCGUUGUCCCUGCCUCCUCAAGCACCGCUUUGAUGGUUGCUUCAGUGGAACUGCGCUGAAUUGAGCCUACAACAACCCUGUAAAAUUUGAUCAUGGUGGGGUGGCAGUUAGGGCGUAGUACCGCUGCAGUGGUACUACCGCACUGAACUACCACUCUACUACCGCCUAUUUACAGAACACACAAGACAAGCGGAAGUAGUGACCGCACUAAAAUGCGGCAGUACCGCUGGAGUGGUACUACCACUGAGCAGAGCGGUACUACUGCUUAUGCUAUUCUGAAAAGCCCAAGCAAGAAGGAAGGACCAGCUCAGUUGCCGGGAAGGAAAUGGGGUGCAAAGAGACUGUGUACGUGUUGAUUCACCCAAACCUUUCCGAAGCAGACCCCCUCUUAAUAGUACGGUGUUCCUAGGACUCAAGUCCACCGAAAAUGAAACACAAGAAAAACACCGUCUUCAUAAACAUCCCGAGGGGUUCGAAUCGUCUUUGUGCCAUAAGAUAGAUUAUCUGAUAUGCUCAAUGCACACGAUUACUUCGCAAAAGCAUUGUCAUCAAUCACCAAAACCAAUAAGGGAGAAAUAUGCCCUAAUAGUUUUUCAAUCUCUAGACGUAGAGAAUGAUCCAUUAAAUCCAUGAGACGAUGCAAAUGCAAUAUUGGGACACAAAGUUUGAUAUCCUAGUGCCAUUGGACCCAUCAAGCACAAUUGGUUGGUACUCGAGAAUAUCUUUUGAUAUCUCCAAGGCAUCAAACAUCUUGUGCUAGUUUUCCAGUUUCAAAGAAAUCUAGACACCAAUAUCACUAGAUAUAUUGAUCAAGAUAUCCACCAUGUUAGAUUGUAGACAAGCUUUGUGUUCCUACUAGGUGUGGUAGCCAUACCAUGAAAGUCUUCGAAACAAACCUUAGUGGCUACAUCCACCAACCGUUAUCUCAAAGAUAAUGUUGAUUGUGUUAUCCGGAUGCAAACAUGUUACAUAGUAAGUAAUAUCACUAUAUUGCUCAUAUUGUAAGACAAAUCAUGUGACAACCUCGUUGAUUUGUUUAUGAAGUCUCUACCAAGUUCAACAUUCCACAAACAUGUUCAUAGAAUUGGUAUUGACGAAUUCAAGAUAUGCAACUAUCAGGGGGAGUAUGUUCCUGAAUUACUCCUGUUCAAAGCACCAUAUUGUACUCUUUUCCCCUUUCUCAGUUUACUUUUUACAGGUUGUUAUCAAGGUUUUUAAUGAGGUAAUAUCAACAUGAGAUUAUAUUUCAUAUAUUCUAUUUUCCCGCCGAGGUUUUUAAGAAAGUAUACAUGCCAUAUUUAUUGUCCUCUAAACUCUAUGGAUUUCCCAUGUUGAGUUAAAGAGACAAUUAUCAUGAUAUGUCAUUGUUAGGACCGAGAGUAUAUCGACCAGGAGGCGGGGUGGUGAAUGGGAGAUUCAAAAUUUCUUUUGAAAGUUUUGCACUAAUCCCAAACAUAGCAGUGGAAGUAAGGUAUGGUAGAUACAAACUCAAUCAAGCAUACUAUUGAGGAAAAAAUUCUUCGAGGUAAUAUGCAAUAAUGGUUAGAGCAUAGCAUAUGAUAGGCUUGAUGAUAAUGAUGGUAAUGCAGUAUGCCAACAGAUAUGCUAUCAUGACAAAGAGCUAGAGAUGAACUAUGAAGGAUAACUACGAGAAAUAAUUGUAAUGAGGAAAAUGAUCACAACACAAAAGAAGAUGAGAACUAUAACAUCACAACAGAAGGAAGAGGGUGCAAAAAUACGAGAAACGAAUAAUAACCGAAGGAAAUGACAGAAGAAAUAAGAGCGAAUGAUAUGCAACAUAGUACAAAUGAUCAGAUAAACUAUCGUCACAAAGCAUGAAUGAAAACUGCUGAGAGUAUUGCAGUGAAGUAAAUAGAACCAUUGGUGCUCGAUGGCGAUAGAGAGAUUUGGUAGACCAGUUCACCCUUCCGCCAAAGGGCUACGUCUGGUUGGAGGGGCUGUGGCUUAACAUGGAAGAUAAACUCUCUUCACCCUAUUCUCCUUCAACACGGAGCUGAUCAGACUCUGGUUGAUUUCACUCGUGGUAGAUACUUGUCGGCGAUCUCCAAACCUUCGGUCGACCUUCGUGAACCACAAUCACUCUUGGUUGCUUAAGAUCUAGCUCAGUGAAGACAAGAACUCUUCAACACUCGAGCCAAAACCUAUCCGUCUAGAGAGUGUGCAACUCUCAAGAGUAAUAGGUACAAGAACUCUAACUCAGAACUAUUGUGAUGAUAAACCACUAUCUAAGUUUGGGCUCUUGAUUUUUCUCUCAGUGGAUCUUAAACUCAAAUCACUCAGAGAGGGGUUUCUCAAAUCCAUCUUCUCAGAAAUAUCAAGGGGAGCAGCCAACGGACAAUGUUGGGGUGGGGUGGCUAUUUAUAGCCGCAACCUUCCCUGAUGGGAAAUCACCAUUUUGGACAUGCGGUCUAGCCAAUGGCCAACUGACAUGUUCACAACGGUCGGAUUUUGGAGAAACGGUAACAUUACUUGAGGAACAAGUAAUGCUAACUCAUCAGUCUGAGACAAAUCUCUCGCAGCGAAGAAGAUCACAGUCUCUUGCUGGCAAGUAUUUGCUCGGAACACCAAGAGAUUUCUCUCGCAACUUUUAUAGGUUUUGGCUAAGCAUCACAACAGAUCUAAGCUUCGAGAACCUAUACCCCUCUUAAUAGUACAGAGGUCCUAUGACUCAAAUAAACGAAAGAAGAACAACAAAAUGAAUUCUACGUCUUCACUUUGUCUCCGACUUCCGUUCGCUGCAGUCAAUUUGUUCAGAUGCCAAUACCGAAUCAAUGCUCACUUCAGCAAUAAAUUUCAAGAGGUAAUUCCUUCACUUCAAUCUUCUCGUCUACAUGUCUUCAUCAAAAUGUAGCUCUUUCUUCUCUGCAACGCAGAUAUACUUUGGUGAAGUUCCUCAAACUUGACACGAGAGAUUUGUUCAUUUAUCACUUAAUGUACUUCUCCCCUUUGUGCCAUCACUUGAUGAUUUCCUGUCAUAUUUGUAGAGCAAACAUUUUCCCUGCACGAUAGACAAAUAUCGAGGAUAAUCAUUGCAAGGGUGCCUGUAAGCAGAUAGUUCGAAGAAAAUGAAAUUGCAGGGGGUUAUUAACAUUACAUGGCGACCGAGUAUUUCACCACCACAAGCGGUUCAUUAAGUUCAUCAAGCAAAUUGUUCGAGGGAAAACCAAAAACGUUCAACUACGAAAAGCAAAUGGAAAAUGAGAAAACCCUUCAAGUACUUCGAUCAUCAAUCACUCGGUGUACUUCUCCCCCCUUUUGUCAACAAGUAUCAAAAAUGAAAGAGAAAACAUACGAGGAACUACUCUUCUCGAGUGUCCUCAGAAUCAGAAUUGAAAGUACUCGACAAAUCAGAAUCCGCGGAGCGAGGAAUGGUCGAGGUAGAAGUAGGAGUAGAAGCAUGAGCUCUGGAGGAAUUGGUGGGAUAAACAUCUAGCUUGUAGAUGAGUGUUCCAGCUGUGUCUUCAAUUUCGUCAUCAUGCCUGACAAACAAUAGGUUAGUUGAUGUAGAACGCUUAGGGAGCACAGGGGUUUGCCUUCCGAUGCGAGGAAUAGCAAGUAAAUCUAGGUAGUCAUAAUCUUUCUUGAUGCCCUUGGCAGCCAACUACUUUCGAGAAUAAUGCUGCCUUAGAAGAGAACAAGAGCGCUUCUUUGCUUCCUUCUCAUGCAGAAGGGUUUGGCGAGCAUAAUUGUGAAGUGAAUUCAACUUAGUCAUCAAUUCCAGCUUUUCUUUUCGAUCAAGCUUGAUGUGGAUUUCUAGUGCUUGCUGUGUGCGAAUGCAAAUCUCAUAUAGAGAUGGAUUUUCUUCACGAGGGAUUUCAACCUUGGCUUUCUUAACUUUUGGAGCGGCUUCAGGUGCAGACGCAGUGCCAGCAGCACCAACAGGUGCCUUUCUUUUUCCAAUAUCCUUCACCAUACAGAGAGUGUCACGUACUGGUGGCGUGAAAACAUUCAGAAUAUGAGCCCAAAAGAAUUUUUCAUUGAUAAGCUACUCAAUUGCAUACAUGAUCCAUGAUACGCCUCCAACGUAUCUAUAAUUUUUGAUUGUUCCAUGCUAUUAUAUUAUCUAUUUUGGAUGUUUUAUAUGCAUUAGUAUGCUAUUUUAUAUUAUUUUUCGGAUUAACCUAUUAACCUAGAGCCCAGUGCCAGUUUCUGUUUUUUUUUCUUGUUUUUGAGUUUUACAGAAAAGGAAUAUCAAACGGAGUCCAAACGAGCUGAAAAUUUAUGGUGAUUUUUUAUGGAUCAGAAGAAGCCCACAUAGCAUCGGAGUGGGGCCAGAAGAGUCCCGAGGCAACCAUAAGGGUAGGGGGCGCCCCCCCUCACUUGCGGUCCCUCGGUAACCCCCCUGAUGUGAGACCGAUGCCAACAAUUCCUAUAAAUCACGAAACCUCCAGAAAGAAACCUAGAUCGGAAGUUCCACCGCCGCAAGCCUCUGUAGCCACGAAAACCAAUCGGGAGCCCGUUUUGGCACUCUGCCAGAGGGGGAAACCAUCACCGGAGGCCAUCUUCAUCAUCUCGGCGGCCACCAUGACGAGGAGGGAGUAGUUCACCCUCAGGGCUGAGGGUAUGUACGAGUAGCUAUGUGUUUGAUCUCUCUCUCUCUCUCUCUCUAUCUCUCUCUCUCUCUCUCGUGUUCUUGAUUUGGCAUGAUCUUGAUGUACUGCGAGCUUUGUUACUAUAGUUGGAUCAUAUGGUGUUUCUUUCCCUAUAUCUUCUUGUGAUGAAUUGAGUUUUACCUUUGAGGUUUCACUAUUAUCGGAUUGAAUACUACUAUGGAUUUGAGAACACUUGAUGUAUGUCUUGCGUGGGAUACCCAUGGUGACCAUGGGGUGUUCUAUUAAUUCACUUGGUGUAUGUUUUGGUACUCAACUCGCGGAUGCCCGAGGUGACGUUGGGGUAAUCUAUGCAUAGGGGUUGAUGCACGUUUUCAUCAUUAUUUCUCUGGUAGAAAUCUUGGGGCACUCUUUGAGGUUCUUUGUGUUGGAUUGAAUAUUAUGAAUCUGAAGUUGUUUGGUGCAUAUCGUAUAAUUGACCCACGGAUACUUGUGGUGACAUUGGAGUAUCUAGGUGACAUUAGGGUUGGUUGAUGUGUAUCAUAUGGUGUUAAUUUACUACAAACUCUAGGGCUGUUUGUGACACUUAUAGGAAUAGCUCAAUGGAUUGAUCGGACAGAAUAACUUUGAGGUGGUUUCGUACCCUAUAAGCAAUUUCAUCUUAUGUUCUUCGCGAUAGGAACUUUUGAGUGACUCGUUGUCGCAUGUUGAGGGAUUGCCAUAUGAUCUAAUUAUGUUAUCAUUGUUGAGAGAACUUGCACUAGUGAAAGUAUGAACCUGUAACGCCCACAAUGCGGCUAUAUCUCCCACGUGUCGAGGCACGACUUAGAGCAUAACCGCAUGGUGGUUUAGUCGCAGGUGGGGUAAUCUUCACACAAUCCCAUGUACUAAAUAAGAAAGGGAUAAAGAGUUGGCUUACAAUCACCACUUCACACAGAUAACAAGUUAAACAUACAUCAUCCAGAUUACAAUCAAGGUCCGACUAUGGAACCAAAAUAAAAGAAGACAACCCCAAAUGCUAGAUCCCCGAUCGUCCCAACAGGGCUCCACUACUGAUCAACCGGAAAAGACACAUAACAACGACCGAGAUCUUCAUCGAGCUUCCACUUGAGUUCAGUUGCGUCACCUGCACUGGUAUCAUCGGCACCUGCAACUGUUUGGAAGUAUCUGUGAGUCACGAGGACUCAGCAAUCUCACACCCGCGAGAUCAAGACUAUUUAAGCUUAUGGGCAGGAUAAGGUAAUGAGGUGGAGCUGCAGAAAGCACUAAGCAUAUGUGGUGGCUAACAUACGCAAAUAAGAGCGAGAAGAGAAGCAACGCAACGGUCAAGAAGCUAGAAGCGAUCAGGAAGUGAUCCUGAAACUACUAACGUUCAAGCAUAACACAAGACCGUGUUCACUUCCCGGACUCCGCUGAAAAGAGACCAUCAUGGCUACACACACGGUUGAUUCAUUUUAAUUAAGUCAAGUGUCAAGUUAUCUACAACUGGAUAUUAACAAAUUCCCAUGUGCCACAUAACCGCGGGCACGGCUCUCGAAAGUUUAUACCCUACAGGGGUGUCCCUACUUAGCCCAUCACAAGCUCUCACGGUCAACAAAGGAUAUUCCUUCUCUCGGAACGACCCAAUCAGUCUCGGAAUCCCGGUUACAAGACAUUUCGACAAUGGUAAAACAAGACCAGCAAAGCCACCUGAUGUGCUGACAAUCCCUAUAGGAGUCGCACGUAUCUCGUUCUCAGGGAAACACCGGAUGAGACAAGCUACGAGUAAAAACCAGCCCUCGAGUUUCCCCGAGGUGGCCCCGUAGGCGGCUCGGUUCGGACCAAAACUUAGAGAAGCACUGGCCCGGGGGGGGGGGGUUAAAAUAAAGAUGACCCUCGGGUCUGCAGAACCCAAGGGAAGGUGAUAGGUUGUUAGGAAAAUGGUAAAACCAAGGUUGGGCCUUGCUGGAGGAGUUUUAUUCAAAGCAAACUGUCAAGGGGUUCCCAUAACACCCAACCACGUAAGGAACACAAAAUCAAGGAACAUAACACCAGUAUGACAGAAACUAGGGCGGCAAGAGUGGAACAAAACACCAGGCAUAAGGCCGAGCCUUCCACCCUUUACCAAGUAUAUAGAUGCAUUAAUUAAAAUAAGAGAUAAUGUGAUAUCCCAACAUAUCCAUGUUCCAACAUGGAACAAACUUCAACUUCACCUGCAACUAGCAAGGCUAUAAGAGGGGCUGAGCAAAGCGGUAACAUAGCCAAAUAACGGUUUGCUAGGAAGGUGGGUUAGAGGCUUGACAUGGCAAUAUGGGAGGCAUGAUAAACAAGUAGUAGGUAGCGCGACAUAGUGAUAGAGUGAACAACUAGCAAGCUAAGAUAGAAGUGAUUUUGAGGGUAUGGUCAUCUUGCCCGAGAUCCCGCAAGAAUGAAUAAUGAGUCCAUGAAGAAGACACACGGACGUAGUCGAACGGAUCCUCACAACUCCAGAACGGAACUGAAGCUAACGAGAGAAACAAACCGGAAAGAAGCAAGCAACAUAGUAAACAACCAUCACAUAAACAUGGCAUGAUGCACAAUCAAGUAUGAUGCAUGUCCAGUUUAAAGAGGCAUGGCAUGGCAAUAUGCAACAAACAAUACUACAAAUUAAGUGGAGCUCAAUAUGCAAUGAGUUGCAUAUUGACGAAGCACCACAUUCGGUUAUUUAGUUCACUCCCAGUUAUGUACUCAACAAUAUUAAAUGUUAUUAAACAUGGCAAGGGGUGAAGCAAAUGAAAACUACUUAUCUAGGCAAGUUUAAAUGAGGCCGGAAACAUCAAACAACAAUUCCGGUAAACCCUCAUGUGCAUUUAGCAAUUUUAAUGCAAACAACAAUUUUAACCAUUUUAAAUGUUGUUAUCAUGAUGCAGAUGAUAUAUGCAAGUUGAAUGCAAUAUUUAUGAAAAUGUUGAUAUGAACAUAUUAUGAAGCAUUUGUCAUCGUGGCGGAAACGAAAGGGGUGCCAUGACAACGACAACGGAAAUGGUGCCACGACAACAUUCCGGUUCCGAUAACUCGAUUGAGAUGCUGGUGCAAAAGGAAGUGUGACGGGAGCAUGUCAUGAUGAACAGUGGGGUGCUCCCAGAUACCGGGUUCCCACGGGUCGACGACAGUGCCAAGCGAGGGAAACAACUAACGUUCACGGGAGGAUACAACAUCCAAACAUGCAUCUCAUACAACACAUGCAUUUGUUCUCGGGACAGUCGUAGUGGAAGUAGUCGUUCUCGCUUCGUAGUUGUAGACACUCUGUAGGUGUUCGGGGUCACAACGAGGAACUUGACGUCCACGGGGUCUUCGAGAGUUGACGGUAGUGGUACUCGGUCGUUUCGAAGAGGUACUUGGGGUCUUCGAACUUGUCGGACUUGUCAACUCGAAGGGGGUACUUGGCAUUUCUGCUACCCGGGUCGUCGGCGACGGUAGUUGUUCUAUGCAUCGGGCGUCAAGGUACUUGUCGGGUUCGGUCUUGGCGUGCAAACGAGGAUCACAGAUGCAUGGGGUGCAAGUUGUGCCAAGGUGGUAUUUGGCGGCUGCGUCUUUGCGUUUCAACGACAGUAGGGCUCAAGGUUGCACAGCCAAGUCAAGCAGCAGCACAAGUCAGCAUCAGGUAGAGCCAUGGCAGCAUGGAGCAUCUCAGAUGGCGAGCUCGGGGUGCUCGGGGCUGUGCGCCAAGGCAACAAGGACGAGGCACGUCAGGGCCACAGGGCGGAAGGUGCAUAGGCGAGGAUGAAGCAGAGAGAUUGCCGGGGUGCCUUGGCGCAACAGAGGCAGAGCAGAGAAGUGCAGCGGCGACGCGCUUGCUGGACUGAGCAGGGGCGACAGAGCGGAGCAGAGCAGCAACGCUCAUGCUCAGCGGUGGGGCGGCAACUUCGCGGCGGGCGACCUUGCAGGAGAGGGAGGCACGUGGGAGGAGGGAGGCGCAUGCAUGGUCGCGUGCGCAGGGCGGCGGCCUGUUGGAGAGGAAGCAGGAGCAGAGGGGCAGCGGAGCAGUGGGUCUUGGUGGCGGGUCGAGGAGGUGGGUAGCAGGCCAGCAGAAGAGCAACUCUGGCGCUCGAGGUCGAGCUCGCGCGCGAGGGGAAAGGGUGAGUGCUUGGGGCUCCUCCCUGGCGCGAGGAGGAAGAUGAGGGAGAGUGGGGGUCGAGGGAGCGCUGGAGGGAGAUGGGGAUCGGGAUCCUCUCCUGGUGGCGCUGGUGGGAACGAGAGGGAGAGGACGAGGGGAUCGUUCGGGGCUAGGGUUAGCAGCGGCUGGGCCUAUGGGCCAGCGCGGGAGGAGGUCCAAGAGGCCAGCGGGGAUGGAUUGGGCCUAGAGAGGCAUGUUGGCUAUGCUCUCUCUCCCUCACCCCUCUUUAUCUUUAACCGAAAAACAAAUAAAGAGAAGAAAAAGAAAGAGGGGGUUAGGGAAAGAAGUUGAACAUGCGGAUAAUUUUCCCGGACUCACAAAAAUGUGCUUGUUCCGAGAAAAUAUAAAAGGCCAUGAUAGAAAGAUUUAAAUGCAAACUCAUUUGAUUUAAAUUCAAAUGAUUUGAAUAGGAAGUGAGGUUUGGGAACGUCCAAAAAUGUUCGGAUUUUUGGUGGAGCUCCGAAAUAUGAUGAAAGAAUAUAUGGCAAGGUUGGAGACCAAGAAUUAAGAUAACAAAGGCAUUGGGAUAAUUUGCAAGUGUGUUAUGGUGAAUUCCAAAUUAAAGGAAUAUUUAACAUAGCUCCCUAAUAUUGGGAGGAUAUGUUAUAAAGAGAAUCACCAUGUGAAUUCCCUCGGUUUAAAUGGACCGAAGAUCCAUGCAAUUUAUUUAGUUGAGUUUACAAAAUUAAACAACAUGAUGGCAUGAUGACAUGAUGCAAUUCAAAAUAAAUAAAUCGAGCAAGCUCAAAUGAAACCCACGAAGGUCACGAAAAAUAUGGAAGUCUUCUAGAGCGUCGGUCUUGGGGCGUCACAACACUCCACCACUACAAGAGGAUCUCGUCCCGAGACCUAGGAUGGCACCAGAGAGAAAACGGAAGAGGAAGAGAAGAGGUAAACCUAUGUUGCUUCUUUGACAAAUGAGGGAAACCAAAGAACCUUGCGAGGUUGAACAAAUUGAAAGAAAGAAUAUGACGAAGAUGAACAAAGUUGAAAAGACUCAGUUAGAAAAGAUGAACAAGGAACCUUACUAGAACCUUGUAGGUUGAAAGACAUAAGAAAAAAGGUUGCAAUGGACAAGAAGUACAUGCAAGCACUCCGGUAGAAACGAGAUUUACAAGGAACGAUAAAGAUCAAUUACGACAACACUCCGGUUGGAAAUGGAAGGUAAAGAAUAUGGGCUUGGCAAAAUGAAAGCAUUUGGAUGAGAGUCUGGUUAGAAGAGGAAUGAUAGACACAACACUACGGUUAAAACAAGAUAGAGAAGGAAUAAUAAUGAUAUAAUUUGGGCAUCACUCUGAUUGAAAUGGAGGAAUUAUAAUCAUGAACUUGGGAAGAUUGGAUGAUACUUGACGAAAUCAACAACACACUGCCUCCAGAACUACUGAAAGAAUGGCACAAUGGGUAAGAAAGAUUUCAGAUAGCACUCCGGUUCAAUGGAUAAGCAUGAAAAGAACAUGGUCCUCACAAUUCAAGAUGAUGAGUGAAGAGAGCAACAUCACAAUGCCUCCAGAAGAAAGAAUAGAAUAUAGAUCAUUGGAAUGACAGAAUGGAGAAGAAAAUGCCAACUUCUACCACAAAAUAGCUUGGAGAGCACCCUUCCAAGAAAGUUAUAACGGAAUUGUUGGAAAACCAACAACAAAAUGAAUAAGCUUGUAGUGGGCUUAUGGAAAACAUCUCAAAAUUAUGAGGUGAAAUUCUGCCACUAACGGAAACAAUAGAUUGGAUUGAUAUCAACAAGGAGACUAGAAACUUAUUUCACGGGGAGGAUAAAUGAAGAACUUGGGUCAUUUAUGAGCACCAUAGAUAGCAACAAUCCUUAGGGAAAGCUUUAGGUGAAAUAUAACCCAAGAUAAUUUGAAUGAAGAGAUUGAUGGGUUGCAAAGGCUCUCAUGAAUGAAUUGAAAAUGAUGAGUUUACAAUAUGUCAAUCCGGACAACUUGUGAAUCAUGAAACACAAAGCAAUUGCCAAAAAUGACAUAACACCACCUCGAAAGAUAAGGUAGAACGAAUUGUACUUCGGAAUGCAAGAUGAAGAAUACUUGAGCUCCUCUGAAAAGAAUCUCGAUGAACACUUCGAGAAGGAAUUAAAUCCUUGAUGAACCACCAUGUAGAGCCCCCAUGAAGAACUCCGGUAAUAAAAGGAUGAUAAAAUGGAAGAGAAGUUGAGAACAGAAGGUGAAGCCUUGCGAUGAUUUAGAUGGAGCUUCGCGACGAGAUAAUGCGGAAAACCUGGAACUCCGAAAAAGAAAUAUGAACAACUAGAAACUGAGAAUUGAUAUCAUGAACGAACUCCAUAAGAAAGAAUUAAACACUUGGAUGAAGAAAUAAUAAGAAUUAUGUUAUGCGCAUCCUUCACCAAUUUAGAUUGGUGACAAGCAACGGAUUUGGCAUACUACUUAUUCUCGUUGAAAAGAUUAAGAGAGAUAUAGCGUAAACUUGAGAAGUCUUCAACGAACCACCGGUAGGACUAAGAGAGAACAAAUGAACUGAUAAGAUAGCAAAGGAAGAGGAAUCUUGAAUGAACCACCGUAAGGAUUGAAAGUGAUUGAAGACAAGAGCACGAAUCACCGGGAAGAAUUAGAAAACGAACGAAGAUACUUGAGGAAAUUUGAUACAAGUGAACAAAGAGAUCCCGAGCUGAUUAGAGAAUACUUGAACGAUGCACUGUUAAGAUUUGGAGAACAAGAGCUGAAAGCUAGAAUGAAUAAUUCUAAGAUGAUGGCUCCGGAGAAUCAAACUGAAAAGACUCCUAAAUUGCUCCAGAAGGGUAAAAAGAAUGCUCAUAAUAGAAAACAAUUAUGAGGGGAAUGCAUCAAGCUAGAACUUCACAUCUUUGGAAGAACGGGUGAGGAUUUAAGAGGAACUCCUCUUCGGUCUUCAAAUGUUGAUAAUGAUGAUGAGAAACACCACCUUGAAUUGUUGAGGCACUCCGGAAUGGAAAUUAGAAAGGUUGAAUCAAUGAUUAAAAGCAUGUGAAAGAUCUUGGAGAAGGCAUUUGACUGAUGAUAACUCAUUCUUACGUCAAACUUGGAAAAGAAUUUGAGAGUAACUCCGGGAAGAUUAGAAGAGUCAGGUAAGAUCUUGGGAAAAGACCCGUGGGUUAGGGCCCAUUCAAAAGAAACACCGUUGAAAUGAUUUAAAAGAGAGAUUGUGCCGGUUGAAUUAAAUGGCUUGAAUGAGAUAACAAUCUCGAAAGAGCUUGAACGAAUACAGAGUGGAAACACGAAUCUUCGAGAUUUCUUCAGCACUUCAAAUAUGAAUAGAGAGAGGUGAAUAAAUAAGAGAGCUUUGGAUAUGAAAUUCACAUAGGAAAAUGUGUGAAACAAAAGGAAGAGAUAUGAUCAACACCGAUGCUUGAAAUUAAUCCGCCGGAGAAGAAAAUGAGUGAGAGUGACGAACUUGAAGCUCCCUUAGCAUCUUCCUGAGAAUCACCGGAUAAGAACAUUGACGGAAAAGAAUGGAGAGAUUUCUCAUCGAUACAAUGAUACUCGAUUAAGAAAUCUGAGUCCUUGAAGAAAAGGGUGGGAGGGCGGGAAAACAAAGGCAACUUGGGACGGAUGGAAUGGAUACCGUUGAGAAAACUGAGAUUGGAUCUUGCAAAUGGGAAAAAUGAUAGGAUCAUCUUGAAGAGAAAUACACCGGUAGAAAAGAAUUAACAUGACCAUCUCGAUGAUCGAAAGGAUUAGUAUUCACAUAGAAAUAUGAGAACACCGCUUGGAAAAGGCAUGGAAUCAACACUUGACAUUGAAGCAACUCGAAUACCACAACUAAAAACAAAACAAAGAUUUUGGCUUGCAGAAUAAGCCGGAACAAAUACAUAUGAUAAAGAUUUACCCAAUCCCAUAUCAUGCAUCUGUCAGAAAGAUAUUCUAGGAGCUACUUGAAUUCCCACCAAUAAACUCCGAAACUUUCUGGAUAUGCAAUCAGGUGUUAGGGAUUCAGGGGAAGCAUAAUAUCUCACCCAAACUAACAAUCGCUACAUCCAGCUGUAUCCAUCCUUCAACACAUAACCAAGAAAUCUUCGGAAAUCGUGUACCUCAACCUUCAAAAAGCAUCCGUUAUACGAGUUAUGGCAAUACUCCCGAACUCCCGCCCCAGUACUGGGUGGCGUCAAGGUUAUCUCACCAACAAUUGCAAGAGAUUUUCGAUGUCGGCGAAACUCAGGUAUUCCAGAAUUGCAACGAUAAAAUUGUGACGACAACACCUCGGAGCUCAACCCCUCGGGACACUGCCACAACCCCUAAAUGUCAGGAGGCAGCAAGAACAAUGUUCUCGUCACAAGAAUAUCGAAACGAUUCCAAGAUACCCGCGUGAUCCUAAUUUUUUUGUGAAAUUUGAAGAGAGAAAAGUCAAAACUUCUACGUCAGAAGGCCUCACCAGAGCGACGAAGGGACUGAGGAGUAAAAGUAAUCCUACUCUCUUAUAUAUAUAAUCCUAAGACUCAAAACAUUUUGUUCUAGACUCGACAACGUCAAUGAUUCGAUCAAACAGGGGACUCCUGAGUCGGGGAUGGCUCUAAUUACCAACUUGUAACGCCCACGAUGCGGCUAUAUCUCCCAUGUGUCGAGGCACGACUUAGAGGCAUAACUGCAUGGUGGUUUAGUCGCAAGUGGUGUAAUCUUUUCACAAUCCCAUGUACUGAAUAAGAAAGGGAUAAAGAGUUGGCUUACAAUCGCCACUUCACACAAAUAACAAGUUAAACAUACAUCAUCUAGGUUACAAUCAAGGUCCAACUACCGAACCAAAAUAAAAGAAGACAACCCCAAAUGCUAGAUCCCCGAUCGUCCCAACUAGGCUCCACUAAUGAUCAACCGGAAAAGACACAUAACAACAACCAAGAUCUUCAUCGAGCUCCCACUUGAGCUCAGUUGCGUCACCCGCACUGGUAUCAUCGACACCUGCAACAGUUUGGAAGUAUCUGUGAGUCACGAGGACUCAGCAAUCUCACACCCACGAGAUCAAGACUAUUUAAGCUUAUGGGUAGGAUAAGGUAAUGAGGUGGAGCUACAAUAAGCACUAAGCAUAUGUGGUGGCUAACAUACGCAAAUAAGAGCGAGAAGAGAAGCAACGCAACGGUCGAGAAGCUAGAACUGAUCAAGAAGUGAUCCUGAAACUACUUAUGUUCAAGCAUAACACAAGACCGUGUUCACUUCCCGGACUCCGCCGAAAAGAGACCAUCACGGCUACACACGCGGUUGAUUCAUUUUAAUUAAGUCAAGUGUCAAGUUAUCUACAACCGGAUAUUAACAAAUUCCCAUAUGCCACAUAACCAUGGGCACGACUCUCGAAAGUUUAUACCCUGCAGGGGUGUCCCAACUUAGCCCAUCACAAGCUCUCACAGUCAACGAAGGAUAUUCCUUCUCCUGGAAAGACCCGAUCAGUCUUGUAAUCCCGUUACAAGACAUUUCGACAAUGGUAAAACAAGACCAGCAAAGCCACCCGAUGUGCCGACAAUCUCGAUAGGAGUCGCACGUAUCUCGUUCUCAGGGCAACACCGGAUGAGACAAGCUACGAGUAAAAACCAGCCCUCGAGUUUCCCCGAGGUGGCCCCGCAGGCGGCUCAGUUCGGUNNNNNNNNNNNNNNNNNNNNNNNNNNNNNNNNNNNNNNNNNNNNNNNNNNNNNNNNNNNNNNNNNNNNNNNNNNNNNNNNNNNNNNNNNNNNNNNNNNNNNNNNNNNNNNNNNNNNNNNNNNNNNNNNNNNNNNNNNNNNNNNNNNNNNNNNNNNNNNNNNNNNNNNNNNNNNNNNNNNNNNNNNNNNNNNNNNNNNNNNNNNNNNNNNNNNNNNNNNNNNAAAAUAAAGAUGACCCUCAGGUCUGUAGAACCCAAGGGAAGGUGACAGGUUGUUAGGAAAAUGGUAAAACCAAGGUUGGGCCUUGCUGGAGGAGUUUUAUUCGAAGCGAACUUUCAAGGGGUUCCCAUAACACCCAACCACGUAAGGAACGCAAAAUGAAGGAACAUAACACCGGUAUGACGGAAACUAGGGCGGCAAGAGUGGAACAAAACACCAGGCAUAAGGCCGAGCCUUCCACCCUUUACCAAGUAUAUAGAUGCAUUAAUUAAAAUAAGAGAUAAUGUGCUAUCCCAACAUAUCCAUGUUCCAAUAUGGAACAAACUUCAACUUCACCUGCAACUAGCAACACUAUAAGAGGGGCUGAGCAAAGCGGUAACAUAGCCAAACAACGGUUUGCUAGGAAGGUGGGUUAGAGGCUUGACAUGACAAUAUGGGAGGCAUGAUAAACAAGUGGUAGGUAGCGCGACAUAGCGAUAGAGCGAACAACUAGUAAGCAAAGAUAGAAAUGAUUUUGAGAGUAUGGUCAUCUUGCCUGAGAUCCCGUAAGAAAGAAGAACGAGUCCAUGAAGAAGACAAACAGAUGUAGUCAAACGGAUCCUCACAACUCCGGAACGGAACCGAAGCUAACGAUAAAAACAAACCGGAAAGAGCAAGCAACAUAGUAAACAACCAUCACAUAAACAUGGCAUGAUGCACAAUCAAGUAUGAUGCAUGUACGGCUUAAAGAGGCAGGGCAUGGGAAUAUGCAACAAACAAUACUACAAAUUAAGUGGAGCUCAAUAUGCAACGAGUUGCAUAUUGACGAAGCACCACAUUCGUUUAUUUAGUUCACUCCCGGUUAUGUACUCAACAAUAUUAAAUGUUAUUAAACAUGGGAAGGGGUGAAGCAUAUGAAAACUACUUAUCUAGGCAAGUUUAAAUGAGGACGGAAACAUCAAACAACAAUUCCGGUAAACCCUCACGUGCAUUUAGCAAUUUUAAUGCAAACAACAAUUUUAACCAUUUUAAAUGUUGUUAUCAUGAUGCGGAUGAUAUAUGCAAGUUGGAUGCAAUAUUUAUGAAAUGUUGAUAUGAACAUAUUAUGAAUCAUUUGUCAUUGUGGUGGAAACGAAAGGGGUGCCACGGCAACAACAAUGGAAAUGGUGCCACGGGAACAUUCCGGUUCCGGUAACUCGAUUGAGAUGCCGGUGCAAAAGGAAGUGUGACAGGAGCGUGUCAUGAUGAACGGUGGGGUGCUCCCGGAUACCGGGUUCCCACGGGACGACAGUGCCAAGUGAGGGAAACAACUAACGUUCACGGGGGGAUACAACAUCCAAACUUGCAUCUCAUACAACACAUGCAUUCGUUCACGGGCGGUCGUCUUGGGUUAUACCUUCAAAGCGUGCAAACAGGACGGUUCGGGUUCGGUGCAAUGUAGGGGAAGUAGGUGUUCUCGGGAUGGUCGUGGUGGAAGUAGUCAUUCUCGCGUCAUAGUUGUAUGCACUCCAUAGGUGUUCGGGGUCACAACGAGGAACUUGACGUCCACGGGGUCUUCGAGGGUCAACGGUAGUGGUACUCGUUCGUUUCGAAGAGGUACUUGGGGUCUUCGAACUUGUCGGAGUCGUCAACUCGAAGGGGGUACUUGGCAUUUCUGCUACUUGGGUCGUUGGCGACGGUAGUUGUUCUAUGCAUCGGGCGUCAAGAUACUUGUCGGGUUUGGUCUUGGCAUGCGAACAAGGAUCACAGAUGCAUGGGGUGUAAGUUGUGCCAAGGUGGUAUUUGGCAGCGAGCGUAGAGGCCUCGGGGUUGCGUCUUUGCGUUUCAAUGACAGUAGGCCUCAAGGUUGCACAAUCAAGUCAAGCAGCAUCACGAAUCAGCAUCAGGUAGAGCCAUGGUAGCACGGAGCAUCCCAGAUGGCGAGCUCGGGGUGCUCGGGGCUUUGCGGCAAGGUGAUGAGGACGAGGCACGUCGGGGCCGCAGGGCGGAAGGUGCAUAGGCAAGGAUGAAGUAGAGAGGUUGCCGGGGUGCCUUGGCGCAACAGAGGCGGAGUAGAGGAGGGCAACGAUGGCGUGCUUGCUGGACGGAGCAGGGGCGGCAGAGCGGAGCAGAUCAGCAACGCUCGUGCUCAACGGCGGGGCGGCGACUUUGCGGCGGGCGGCCUUGCAGGAGAGGGAUGCACGCGGGAGGAGUGAGGCGCAGGCGUGGUCGCGGCGUAGGGCGGCAGCCUGCUGGAGAGGAAGCAGGAGUAGAGGGGCGGCGGAGCAACGUGUCCUGGUGGCGGGUCGAGGAGGUGGGUAGCAGGCCAGCGGAAGAGCAACUCUGGCACUCGAGGUCGAGCUCGUGCACGAGGGGAAAGGAUGAGUGCUCGGGGCUCCUCCCUAGCGUGAGGAGGAAGACGAGGGAGAGUGGGGGUCGAGGGAGCGCUGGAGGGGGAUGGGGAUCAAGAUCCUCUCCUGGCGGCGCUGGUGGGAACGAGAGGGAUAGGACGAGGGGAUCGUUCGGGGCUAGGGUUAGCAGCGGCUGGGCCUAUGGGCCGGCGCGGGAGGAGGUCCAUGAGGCCAGCGGGGAUGGAUUGGGCCUAGAGAGGCCUGCUGGCUAUGCUCUCUCUCCCUCACCCCUCUUUAUCUUUAACCAAAGAACAAAUAAAGAGAAUAAAAAGAAAGAGGGGGUUAGGGAAAGAAGUUGAACACGCGGAUAAUUUUCCCGGACUCACAAAAAUGUGCUUGUUCCGAGAAAAUAUGAAAGGCCAUGAUAGAAAGAUUUAAAUACAAACUCAUUUGAUUUAAAUUCAAAUGAUUUGAAUAGGAAGUGAGGGUUGGGAAGGUCCAAAAAUGUUCGGAUUUUUGGUGGAGCUCCAGAAUAUGAUGAAAGAAUAUAUGGCAAGGUUGGAGACCAAGAAUUAAGAUAACAAAGGCAUUGGGAUAAUUUGCAAAUGUGUUAUGGUGAAUUCCAAAUUAAAGGAAUAUUUAAUAUAGCUCCCUAAUAUUGGGAGGAUAUGUUAUAAAGAGAAUCACCAUGUGAAUUCCCUCAGUUUAAAUGGACUAAAGAUCCAUGCAAUUUAUUUAGUUGAGUUUACAAAAUUAAAUGACAUGAUGGCAUGAUGACAUGAUGCAAUGCAAAAUAAAUAAAUCGAGCAAGCACAAAUGAAACCCACGAAGGUCAUGAAAAAUAUGGAAGUCUUCUGGAGCGCCGGUCUUGGGGUGUCACAGAACCCUAGGCCUUGUUUCGAAGCAUUGCAAUACCGUUUUUGCUCAAUUUUACUACUAGUUACCUUGCUAUUUUUAUAUUUUCAGAUUACAAAAACCUAUAUCUACCAUCCAUAUUACACUUGUAUCACCAUCUCUUCACCGAACUAGUGCACCUAUACAAUUUACCGUUGUAUUGGGUGUGUUGGGGACACAAGAGACUCUUUUUUAUUUGGUUGUAGGGUUGUUUGAGAGAGACCAUCUUCAUCCUACGCCUCCCAUGGAUUGAUAAACCUCAGGUCAUCUACUUGAGGGAAAUUUGCUACUGUCCUACAAAAGUCUGCGCUUGGAGGCCCAACACGAGUCUACAAGAACAAGGUUGCAUAGUAGACAUUAAUCCACAGGGCAUAUGGCUUCAGUGAUUGCGGGCUGUCAGCAGCGUAGGCCAAAUCUAGAACAUCGAACCGAAUUCCUUGGGAGCUGGUCAAAAGAGCAUUUCCCACGACGCCAUUGAUAGAAUUUGGUCUGUUCGUUGGCGUGAGAGAAUUGCAUAGGAUAUGAAACAUUACUUUGUUAUCAUAGGCCAACUUCUUAGGAUGUACAUCAACACAUUCAUCUACAACCAAAUUGGGAUCAAUCAACACGUGAAGUUGUUCUUCAGACACUUCCCAAUAAUGUAGCUUGUGUUCUCGAUAUUUUUCAAACUUGCACCAAGGAAGAUUCAGCAUAGCCAAAACCGAUCUGCCGAGCAUUUGAUCUUUUCCCUUCUAGUCAUCCACUCGAGGAUCCAUGUUGAGCUAUCUCCAAGCUCUCCCGAGAUGUACAGACUAGCAUAGAACCGACGGAUUACCUCUUGAUUCCAGCAAUGAUUGAAGCGCAUAAAACCUUUCAGUAGGGCAUGUUCAAUAUGCUCUAUGGCAUGGUGAAAAUAGGGUAUUUCUUCGAGGUCUGUGAUGUUUAAUAUCUUGUGAUUGAAAAUCCUAUUCUUGCCAAACAAGGUCCGAGCAUAAUACAGAACUUAUUCUUCUGUCCAAAACCUGGGUGACAGUGAAGUUCUCUCCCCCUCAUACGGGUUGGUCCCAAAGAAUGCUAGCUUCGAAAGAUGAAGCUGCUCAUUCAAUGCAGGAUCAUUUGGGCCAUAUCCAGCAGGGAACAAGGGAAAUGUUUCCUGGGGAUUUUUUAGAUCUUCUUCGUCACUUAUUUCCAUGGCCCAAAUAUCAUCAGAUGCUGGCACAUUUUCAUUGAUGGGCUUAAGUGGAGCAACGGGCCUUUUCAUCUUCACUGGCGCUGAUGGCAUUGAGGCACUAGUCUGACCUUCAUUUUCCUUCGCUGGAACUCCUUCAGCGGCUUUCUGACUAUCAGGCACUAGGGCCUUUUCUUUCGGUGCAUUAUCAAAAGAGGGAGGUACAACAACCUCCUCGGACGGCUAGGACACAACUACUUUUUCGGUUUCCUAGGGUACAACUUGUCGUGAGCCAUGGGCUCUUUAGCUUUCCUUUCUUCGUGUUCUUGCUGCGAAGCAGUAGAAUAAGGAGCAGGAUCAACCUCCAUCUGGGUAGGGGCACUAGAUGAGGUGACCGGGGUGGUAUUUCCUUAGGAAGCAUUUAGCUCCUCCUCAACUUUGUCAUCCUCCUUGUUGGAUCUGGAGGGCUCAACUUGCAUUUCUUUCAGAGGCAAUGAAACUGCCUGCUCAACCUCAAUCUCUUCAUCAUUUUUCUCUUCUGGGGCUUGCUGCUCGGGCACGACAUUUUAUUCGUCGGUCUUGUUCAAAAAGAUAUCCACCACAUCAGUUUCUUGAGCAAUUGAAGUAGGAAUGAUAACUACUGCAGGCCCGGCUUGCUGCAUGGGAUCAGCCUCGUGAAGACGGGGCGAUGGUAUUUGCCGCAGAGGAGCGCUCGAGUCAAUGGGAGCAUUAAUUGCAACAUUCUGAAUACAUCAAUCUUUGAUAGCCUUUGGUUUGCUGGCUCUUGCCUUUGCUUUCUGACACUUUUCUUCCUGUAUUCUUCGUCGAGCAAGAUCUGCUUGCUGCUUAAUCUCAUAAUUUCUUCAGUCACACAGUUGAGAAACUCCCAUCUUCAGCCGUGAGUGCCACUCAAUCUUAUUGUUCCUCAUGGUACUGAGAACUUUUGUGAGCUCAAGAAUUUUCUUGUUCAGGCUCUUCCUUUCAGAUUCAGUACUGGCAUCUCUCCUCAUUUGCUCGAGGGUUUUCUUCUCCUCAACAGCUUGGUUUAGCUCCUUGGUGAUCUCUCCCAGCUGAGAGAAUUUUUUUGCUAUCAACUUGGUAACAUCAUCAGGAAGGCCCAAACUACUCAAAUCAGCUAAUUUUGCAUUGUAGGCAGCACUUUCAAUGAGAUCAAUCAUAAGAUCGAAGUCGUACUUCUGUUCCUCUAUGGAAGCAGGAACACUGGAUUUUGCUUUCUUGACAGAAGUAGAAGCUCUUUCUUCGGGCAACAACUUUCUUUUUACAGACGGGGCAGCAAAGUCCGAAGGUUUGUCCGAGACUAGAGCAGGUGCAAGCCUUGGUGACAUUCUCAACGGAGGUGAAACUUUUGCUGGUGAGGGAGUUUGGUAUGUGUUGGGGAUAUAACUACUGAGUAUAAACUGCCCAGGAGGGGCCGGGUUAUACCCAUAAGGAGUUAUCCAUAUUGAAGCCCAUGAAGACAAGGAGCAUGGCGCUUUACUAUAGGAGAUCUAAAGGCCCAGGGCCCAAAGGCCGAUUAGGGCCCGUAGACAUAAACCGCCAUAAGGUGUGUAACUUGUGUUGUAAGAUAGGAAAGGAUAGAGACCAAGCCGGACACGUCUAUGCGUCGACCGGGAUUUUGUAAACCACUGGGCGUCAACCUGUGUAUAUAAAGGGACGACCCGGCGAUGGUUUAGGGACAGGAGACAACAACUCGAGAGUCAGGCAAAUCAGACUCGCUCCCUGGUCAUCAAAACCCUACCAAUCCCAUCAUAACUGGAGUAGGCUUCACUUUCACCACAAGGGGCCGAACAAGUAUAAUUCCUUGCGUCCUUUGUCCGCUUUAACCCCUUUAAGCUAACUACAUUGCGAUGGCUCCACGACUAAGUCCUCACACUAGGACAUCUGCCAUGACAACCCCACAACAGUUAGCGCCCACCGUGGGGCUAUCGCAUGAUGGUUGCAAGUUCUUAGAGGGCAGCUUCGAAGGGCUCAAGGGAUACGUUGUGGGACGGAUGACCAAGAGUCGUCGCGGCAAGCUCUACAUCGACGAUGAAGGCUGGGGCCCCGAGGCUGGUUCAAUUGAGUAUGGGUAUCGGGUCCCCUUCGGCGGUAUUUAUGUCUUCAUUGGCAAGAUCGGUGAACCGGGCCCUGAGCCGGACAUCAGCACCGACAUCGCCGAAACGGCUCAGCGUGCGAGAUCUGCCCGGGUUUAGCCUGCCAUGAAGCAUGCCUUCGUGGGAGUCAUCCAUGAAGUGGAAUCUGAGGAUAGAUCGGUAUCUGGUGGUGAAACCGUCAUUUAUUCUGAUGACGAGUCAUCUAUCGGACAGACCGAGUCAUUGUACCAACUGUAGGAUGGCCGGUUUGGGGGUUGUUCCGAUGGCGACAGUAUUCCGGACCCCCUUGAUCCGCCGAGCCGAGUUGCGAUCUUCAUGGCCGGUACACAGUCAGCGUAGCAUUCUUCAACCGCAAUAGCAAUAAUCUUCGGUUCAGCAGCAACAAUAAUUCUCCACCGCCGGCUCAGGUUUUGUCCGAUUUGUUCGACGCUUUGGCAACACUGCUGGCAGCUGAAGUUAACGCGGCGAAUUAGGAUCAGCACAGCGCAGAAGUCAUGAAGGUGAAGGAACAAAUAGCUCAAGCCAAGGCAGACCUGGCAACCGAGAACACUAGGAUGGCUACGGAGCGGGCCGAGUUGGAUGCACAGGCUUAUCGGCUUAUGCUGGAUCAGAACACAUCAAAUGAUGUAAUGAGGAGAAGGUACCGGUCCCACCUGCCUCCGGUUUAUGAACCAAGUAAUCUCUUUAACACGCCAGGAGCAGGAACCAGUAACCAGCCAGUGGUAAACCGGGUGGAAGCACCUGGAACAGGGGCGCCGGUUCAACCGCGCACAAUGGAUCCACCUCAUCUGGAUAUCCCGCCGCAGCGCGUGUCAGCGCCUCCGGGCCAUUACUCCAACCCCCUGGAUAACAUAGUCGCCGCGGCUUCAUGAUUGGCAGCCCUCCCAGUCGAAGGUGAAUCCCCCGUAGCGGUUGAGACACGAUAGGCUAGGGAGCUCCUUCAGAUAGCUUUGACUCAGCAACAUGCGUAUUCAUACAACCGCGAGAGGAUUCAUUCCACCCCCGCCCAAGCCAGAGUUACAUCAGGCACUUUGAUGAACCGGCCAUGUCAAGCAGUGCGCGGGACCGUAACCCGCCUCGAGGGCAUAAUCCGGUAGGUGGUGGUACUAAUGCUCAGGAUUUGGUGGAUCAGGUCAGAGCGCGUCGAGAAGCUGAGUUAGCGGCGCAGUACGCUGCUCGUCAGCUUACUCCGAUUCGUCCAACAACUUCGAUGGAGCCAGGAGUUACCUCCAGCUCUUUGGGAGUGCCGUGUCUCGUCCCGACUCUACGUAAUGUACGGCUGCCCAAUGAUUUCAAAGGACCCCGCAAAGUGCCCAAUUAUACUACCGAUUUACCACCCGAGUCAUGGAUCGAAAGCUAUGAGAUGGCAAUGAAGAUGGUAGAUGUGGAUGAUGCGGCCUGUGCCAAAUACUUCACCAUGAUGUUGGAAGGAACAACUCGCACUUGGCUGAAAAGUUUGCCAGCUAACUCCAUCGGGUCGUGGGCUGCGUUAAAAGCCUGGUUUAUCCAGAAUUUCAAGGACAUGUGCAAGCAGCCCAUGUCAAUUGUAGACUUAGCCGCCUAUGUCCAAGAAGAAGGUGAAUCGACAACUCAUUGGGUGUGCCGGGUUUUGGAAAUCUUGCAUUCAUCGAAUCGCAGUAACGCUGAUACAACAGUCUUAAUGUUGGAGGGCAAUUGCCGAUUCAUGCCUUUAAAGCUGAAAUUGGGACGGCUCAAGCGUCACUGCAAUGACAUGGGAACGCUUAUGGCAGCUUUGGUUAAGUAUGCCGACUCUGAUAGUACCAAGGACCCCGAGUCUGAUGAUGAAAAGCCGGGGAAGGGAAAGAAGAGUGGCAGUAAUAAAGGGCAACAACAUAACCCGGCGGGUCAUGGAAACAACGGUAAGCGCAAAGCAGAUAAUAGUUUGGAUUUUGUAGCUAACACCAACACGUAGAAUAACAAUCAGCGUCACAAGGGUAAACCGCCCCCGCGGGGUGGAGGGUCAAGUGUCAAUCUCGAGCGCUUGUUAAAUCAGCCUUGUCCAAGGCACAGGACGCGAGAGAGACCAGCCACACAUCUUUGGAAGGAUUGCUUUAUUAUGCGGGAGUUCAAACACUCGAAUCUUUUCCAAUAAGAUCAUGGAGUGCUCGAUGGUUCAGGAGGCGGUUCUCAUGGGCCGGGUUAUGGUGGAGGCAGUUCUGGUUCGGGAUAUCAAGGCAACUAAAGCGGACAUGGCAAUCAAGGUAGUCAGGGCAACCAGGGUGGUUAUAAUCAUCAGGGGAGUCAGCAGCAGCAGCAAUCGGGUUACCAGAGCAAUCCGAAGCAGUUCAAUAGUGGGCAGUAUCAUGUCUUCACCACUAGCUUAUGCAAGCGCGAUCAGAAACUUCAUAAAAGGGCAGUAAACUCUGUUGAACCGGCAGUGCCCCGUUAUCUGCGCUAGUCUGAACAACCCAUUUUGUGGAGUCGAGGGGAUCAUCCACCCCGGGUUGAUAAUCCGGGUCAUCUGGCAUUGGUGGUGGUGCCUCAGGUUGGAGGAUAUAAAUUUACCAAGGUGCUCAUGGAUGGAGGGACCAGUAUCAAUAUCCUUUAUUAUGAAACCUUCUGUCGCAUGGGGUUGACAGAUAAAAAUUUUAAACCGUCGAACACUGUUUUCCAUGGUGUGGUACCUGGUAAAUCGGCGUAUCCAGUUGGUAAGAUAGCUCUGGAGGUUGCUCUAGGAGAUGAUCAUGAUUCAAGAUCAGAGACAUUGACGUUUGAAGUGGUGAAAAUCAAGAGCCCAUAUCAUGCCCUGUUUGGACGGCCGGCUUAUGCUAAGUUCAUGGCAAGGCCCUGUUAUGUUUAUCAGCAGCUCAAGAUGCCGGGUCAUAAAGGGACCAUCACGGUACAUGGGAGUCGUAGGAUUGAUUUGGAAUGUGAGGAAGGUGAUGCGGCUUAUGCUGAGUCGGUUUGUGCAACAGAAGAGUUGAAGUUCUACAAGGACAAUGUUGAUCCGGCAGAUAUGGCUUCUUUGAAAAAAACCAACUACAGAGCAUGAUCCGGCCUUGAAGUUUAAAUCGGCUGAUGAGACGAAGCUAGUUGACUUUGUUCGUGGCGAUUCAUCCAAGCAGUUUAGCAUCAGCGCUAACCUGGAUCCGAAAUAGGAAAGCGCGCUCAUCGAGUUCAUCCGUGAGAACCGGGACAUCUUUGCAUGGAAACCUUCUUACAUGCCAGGUGUACCGAGGGAACUCGCUGAGCACACUCUUAAUAUUGAUCCUAAGUUUAAACCGGUCGGGCAGUUUCUCUGCCGUUUCAAUGAAGAAAGGCGUAAGGCUAUUGGUGAGGAGGUAGCCCGGCUCUUGGCAGCAGGGUUUAUUGUGGAGGUUUUUCACCCUGAGUGGUUAGCUAACCCGGUGCUAGUGCUUAAGAAGAAUGGCCCUUGGCGUAUGUGUGUGGACUACACGGAUUUGAACAAGGCUUGUCCAGCUGAUCCCUUUGCUCUUCCCCGUAUUGAUCAAAUCAUUGAUGCUAUGGCGGGCUGUGAGAGUUUGAGCUUUCUGGAUGCUUAUUCUGGUUAUCUUCAGAUCAAAAUGGCAGCCAAGGACCAGGAGAAGACAACUUUUAUAACUCCAUUUGGAGCCUUCUGCUAUGUAUCUAUGCCUUUUGGGCUCAAGAGUGCCCAAGCGACUUAUCAACGCUGUGUGCAGAAUUGUCUUCAUGACUAGAUUGGGUGUAAUGUUCAUGCUUAUGUGGAUGAUAUUGUGGUGAAGCCAAAAGGGAGGCGACACUGAUAGCUGACUUGAAGGAAACCUUUGAUAAUCUUUGGGUCUAUAAGAUGAUGCUUAAUCCAGCCAAGUGUGUUUUUGGUGUUCCGGCAGGCAAGCUCUUGGGUUUUCUAGUGUCUAACAGGGGUAUUGAAGCUAAUCCAGAAAAGAUCAAAGCUAUUACGUCUCUGGCUAAACCGGCGUGUAUCAACGAUGUUCAACGUCUGGCGGGCCGUAUUGUAGCAUCGAGACGGUUUAUCAGCCAUUUGGGAGAGAAAGCAAUCCCUCUAUAUCAGAUGAUGAAAAAGGAAAAUUUUGUCUGGAGUGAUGCUGCUAAUGCGGCGUUUGAGGACUUGAAAAAGCAGUUAGCUGAGCCACCCAUCCUUGCUGCUCCGGUCGAUAAAGAGCCGCUGUUGUUAUAUGUGGCUGCUAAUGCCCGAGCUGUUAGCGUGGCCAUUGUGGUGGAGCGCAUGGAAGCUGGGAAGGAGUAUCCGGUUCAACGGCCGGUUUAUUAUAUCAGUGAGGUACUUAUUGAGUCUAAGCAGAGGUACCCACAUUGGCAGAAGCUGGUGUAUGGAGUUUUUAUGGCAAUCCGGAAGCUUAAGCAGUAUUUUCAAGGUCAUCCCAUCACGGUGGUCAGUUCUGCCCCUUUGGGAGAUAUAAUCCAGAACAGGGAGGCAACUGGCCGAGUUGCCAAGUUGGCUAUUGAGCUUGGACCUCAUGGGUUAAAAUAUGUGCCUCGUACGGCAAUCAAGUCCCAAGCGUUGGUGGAUUUUAUCAAUGACUGGACAGAGUUACAAGCACCGGAAGAAAAGCUGGAUCAUAUUUAUUGGACUAUUCAUUUUCAUGGUUCCAGGCAAUUGGAGGGCUCGGGGGCUGGACUCGUGUUAACUUCCCCAUGAGGUGAUAAGUUUUGUUAUGUUCUCCGUUUAAUGUUCCCUUGCACUAAUAAUGCAGCUGAAUAUGAGGCUUUACUCCAUGGUCUUCGAAUGGCUAAGGAGAUGAAUCUAAGACGGGUUAAGUGCUUUGGUGACUCAGACCUGGUGGCUCAGAAAGUAUCUGGUACUUGGGAUUCCAAGGACCCACUCAUGGCAGUGUAUUGUCGAGAAGUAGAUAUUGUUGCAGGUCACUGCAAGGGUUAUCAGGUUGACCAUGUGGACCGGCAAAAGAAUGAAGCAGCGGAGGCUUUCAGCCGUUUGGGUUCCCAACGUAAACCGGUUCCACCCAAUGUUUUUCUGGUUGUUUUGCAUAACCCGUCGGUCAAGCUACCUACAGAGGAGGAUUUGGCUGUUCCUGACCCGAAGGCUCAAUUAGUGGCAGCUCUUCAUGUUAUCCCGGAUUGGACGGUCCCAUUUUUGGGGUAUAUGAACCGGGGCGAGUUACCGGAGGAUGAAACUUUGGCCAGGCAGAUAAUCCAGCGAUCCAAGUCAAUGACCAUUAUCAAUGGGGAAUUGCAUCAUUGCAGUGUAACAGGGGCGUUUCAGCGUUGUGUGUCUCCUGAAGAAGGCUGUGAGAUUUUGCGUGAGAGCCACAAAGGAGAUUGUGGUCACCACGCCGGUUCAAAAUCCUUGGUAGCUAAGGCUUUUCAUCACGGUUUCUAUUGGUUGACGGCUCAUGCUGAUGCCGAGGACUUGGUAAAAAGGUGUGAUGGUUGUCAGAAGUUUUCACGCCGCGCUCAUGUUCCGGCUCAAGAAUUGAGGAUGAUUCCAAUCACUUGGCCCUUUGCAACUUGGGGCCUGGAUAUGGUUGGGUCCUUUAAUAGGUCCAAGGAUAAGAAGACCCACCUUCUGGUGGCGGUUGAUAAGUUCACUAAGUGGGUGGAGGCAGAGCCAGUCAGUAAGUGUGAUGCAGCCAUGGCGGUUCAAUUCAUCAAUAAGGUGAUUUUCCGGUUUGGUUUUCCACACAGCAUCAUAACUGAUAAUGGAACUAAUCUGUCCAAGGGUGCUAUGGAAGAAUUUUGUCAACGAGAGCACAUCCGGCUUGACAUGUCAUCAGUGGCUCACCCCCAAUCUAAUGGUCAAGAGGAGAGAGCCAAUCAAGAGAUCCUAAGAGGCAUUAAGCCCCGACUUAUGGUUCCUUUAAAGUGAACACCGGGUUGUUGGGUGGAGGAGUUACCUUCUGUGUUAUGGAGCAUCAAUACUAUGCCCAACAGAUCUACGGGUUAUACACCUUUCUUCAUGGUUUAGGAGCAGAGGCGGUCCUCCCUAGUGACAUCCGUCAUGACUCACCCCGUGUGGCAGCUUAUGUUGAAGCUGACAAUGAGAAGGCACGUUAGGAAGCACUUGACCUGUUAGAUGAGGAGCGUGAUAUUGCAGCAGUGCGUUCGGCGAUUUAUCAGCAAGAUCUGCGUCGUUAUCAUAGUCAUCGGGUUAAAACCAGAACGUUUCAAGAAGGGGAUCUGGUGCUCCAGCUCAUCCAGGAUCAGACUGAUAUGCACAAGUUAUCCCCGCCUUGGGAAGGACCCUUCGUGGUCAGCAAGAAUAUGCACAACGGGUCAUAUUACCUUAUCGAUGUUCAAGAGCACAAAGACUCACGUAAAUCGGAGGAGGAGACCCACCGACUGUGGAAUAUAGAUCAUCUUCGGCCUUACUACACCUGAGCCAUAGGCUCCUCUUAUGUACAUAUUAUUGACAAUGUAUAUAUUAUGGUGAUCAAUAUAAUAAACCGGCAUCCCUGCUAAACCGAGGCCUCUGCUAUUAUUCCUUGAAAGGUUUUUGGUUACAUGGGGGCUUCUGUUUAUAAAGCGGAGUUCUAAUUACCCAUUGAUCCGGCUCAUAAGCCACACAUACAAAACACUUAGGGGCUUGUCACCCAAGGUCAAAAGGAGCCAAAGAGAGUCUGUUGCAAAGCACAACUCAAACAUAGGCACCCAUUGAGCACAGCUCAAAAUAUUACUAGGGGGCUCUUUGCUUCUACAAGAACCAAGGGUCUAUAACCUUGUAAUAGGCUAUAAAAGCAGGCUUGGAAGCCAGGUGUAUUCACCUAAAACCCCGGGUUAUCCUGCCUUUUUUAAGUAAGCCACUCCGUUCAGGUAAUCCUGGUAGACCCGUCGAACAUUUGACAAGUCAAUCUUAUAAAGACCCUAAACUUGUCAUAGUUAAAAUGACAAUUGGUUGAUGUGAGGUCCAUCUUAUAAAAGGCUUUGUAAAAUGGUUUAACUCAGUGGCCUGGCAGCCCAUGAAAAGCAUCGCCCUUUUUAUAUAUUUUCUUCUGAAAUAUCUCCUUUUGAUAUUUCUUUUGAUGAGUUUUAUACUAAACCGGUGUUUACUAAACCGGCCUAGCUGUUGACUAUAAGUCGGCCGAACAAAUUGAGAAUAUUGCUGGUAUUUAUUGACCCGGCUUCGCUGUCGAUUGUAAGUCCUCAGUAUACAAUCAGAUAUAAACCGGUGUUGAUUGACCCGGUUUGGCUUUGACUACAAGUCGCCAGUAUGAUAUACGAAUAAACCAGUGUUUGUUACAACCCGGUCCGGCUUUACUAUAAACCGGCAAAACCGGGAGGAGUUAUCAGUACUCAAGAUUUGGGUUAUCACCCUUACUACAGAAAGUUGGUUAGCCAACGAUGUGAUUCAAUGUCACAGGUAUGAUAUAUUUCGUAUUUGAUUGUCAUUCAAUACAGCCUGGUUAUACACCCGGAUUAUAUGUUGGGCAUUAUGACCCGUCCGGCGGUAAACCGCCAGGACACUUUCAACUUGUUAUAUGCAGAAACAGGUCAAAUAAAGCUGCUAAGGAUCAUAAGCAGACAUGACAUAAAUCACGACGGAUUAACAGUAUCAUGCAAAGUGAAUAUGCGUGAUGGCAUAGCAGACCAAGUGUUUAAACUAGCCUAUUACAAGGCGUUUUGAUGCCCAAAAGGAUAAUUGUUUUCAGCAAAUAUUGCAGUAUGCAGAAGAUUAAACCGGCCUCCAGAUCAUGACUCUUCAACAGGCUGGCUUGACGGUUGUGGAUCAUCCUACACCAGUUCACCCUCCUCCUCUCCAUCCAGCAGCUGGAAAUCAAUGGUGGUCCAGUCGAUUCCAGUUAGGGCCUUGAAUACAUCUUCAUCGCUUAUAAGGUUGGAGGGGUCAACGUCAGGAGCGUAGGUAUGCUUACGGAUUGGUGGGAUAAGAUCCUCCACAUCAUGAGGUGGCGCAGCAAGUCGUUUGUUGUCAGCAUCAUAAACUGGCUGAUAAUGAGAAAGAUCUGUUUCUUCGGCCAAUUUGCUCGCUAGUGGGCGCAUUUCCUUUGUCAAAGCUCGAAGAUCAUCAUUAUCAAACUCUGACCCAUCUUCCUUUAUGCUUGGAUAGCCGCAUCCUAUAUCAGCCGAGUCAAGAUCUGGUAUCCAGGAUUUAGCUCGGAUUAGCGCAGUUAGAGCACCUGCCCUUGCAGUUGAUCUUUUUAAAUUGUCCAAUUGGGCAGGCAGCAUGGAGAGCUUCUCUAAUGUUUCUUUGAUCAAGGUUGGGGGCGGUUUAUUAUGAGUAGAAGUGCAAAUGAUCUGUUGUGUGCCGGUAUAUAACUGCUCUAUAAGAGUAUAGGAAGCCCUCAAUUUCUUCUACAUAUCAGAGCCCAGGUGGGUAAUGCGAGAUCCUACAUCAUUAAAUAUAUUGAUAAACCGGUAGUUUAUGGGACAACACAUGUUGAAGCUUAUCAUAAGGGUACUAACCAAACACAGCAGUGGUCAUGGCAUUGAUUUGCCGCUUCAAGCCAGUCAAUUCUUCUGCUACCGGUUUAAGAGCUGUUUCAACGUCCUCCGCCCGCUUUAGCAGAGUUGCUUUUUCAGCUUUCCAUCCUGCCCAUUCGCUUUUAAAGCCUUGUUUCAGUUGUUCCAUGGCUGUUAAAGCGCCAGUCAGUUCUUCUUUAGCUUUGGAAGUUUCUGCUUGCUGGGAUUUAAUAUUAUCCUGAAGGUCGGCGAUUUGAGAUUCUUUUUGGCUCAGAUCAGCCUGCAAGCGACAUGAAAAGAGUUAGCAGUGCAUAUUUUCAAGUCCUAAGCACAUAACAAGUUAUACACUUGGCACUUGGGGGCUAAUGUAUAUUUGCUCAAGUCACAAGUAUGGAUUUUUCUUCAUCAGUCGGUUUACAAAGAUGGUUAUCAAGUGUUUUGGAAGCUUUAUGACAGAAAGGUACUGAUUCAUCCUAAAGGUAUAAACCAAUCCCUGGGGACUACACAAGCAAAAAUUGCAAGAUUCAUACUUUAAAGUCCCGGUUCAUCAUGAAAUGAUAAACCGGUCCUUGGGGGCUACGCGGGCAAAGUUGAAGUAUUACAAAGUCCCAAUUCAUGUUGAUACCAUAAACCGACCCUUGGGAGCUGCUGGAGUUGAUAUUAGAAACUGAACAAGAGAAACAAUUAUGAAGAGUUAACAGUGUUUACCUCAUAUCGCUCCUUCAUCAGGCCUACUAAACCGGCUUCAUAGUCGCGGCUGGUAUACAGGCGGUUCAAGAAGCCGGAAUGAAUCUCUUGGGCAUUAAGGUGGGCAUAGCUAGAUAAAUCUGUUUUCCACGUGCCCUUAUCCAUAGCAGAAAACUCUUCCUUGGCACUAUGCUUUGAUAAAGCGAUAGGAUUUCCAGGGGUGGUGUGGCUGAUGCCAGUGACAAUGACAUCAUCCGAUUGGUCUGCAGCUAUGUUGGCUGGAUUUGGCGGUUCAUCAGCUGUUUCGGCUGGGCUUGGCGGUUUGUUUGCAGCUCUGGCCGGGCUUGGCGGAUCAGUAGCAUGGCCGGUGGGAUUCUCUUCCAUCGGUUCAGCAAAGGUCUCAGGAUGUUCUGGUGGUGGAUCAUCAUGUAUAGCGUCAGCAUUCGGCUCAAAUUGUGCUGGGGUCUGUUCCGGGUUAUCCUCAACCGGGUUAUCAUCAGUUGGCUUAUUCAAUUUGGCCUUUUUGCUGGGCCUGGCUCUGGCUCUGAAAGGAAAAGACAUAAAGGUUAGAUAUAACAAAUAAGUAUAAAGCGUCAAGAGUUAAGUUUAAAGUGCUCACCCAGGAACAAUCUUCAGAGGAGGGAGUUGUGUGGCCGUUGACUCACCGGAUGAUGAAUGAGGUGUUCCCUGAUAGUUUGAAUCAGACGGAUUAAGAGGUUGCCUGAAAUAACCCACCUUGGGAUAAGAAGUAUCAGAAAUGUAUGAGACCUAUGAUCGACGUUUCCGGGUUGGAGUGUUCGGUAAACCGGCCAAAGUAACUACAUUGCCGCUGUGCCGGGUCGUGCGGCGAGCUUCAUGCUGCUGUUUCUUCAAAAGAAACUUGGGAUCCAGAUAAGCUAGAGGGUGUGAAAAUUUUACUUUCCGGAUUGCUUGACGGGUUUUCUGUGUUGGAUGAGGAUCUGAACCGGAGGAAAGAAUAAUUACCUCUACAUCUUCAGCGUCCUCCUGAUAAGGGUCAUUGUCAAUGAGGUGUAUGAAAAAUGAACCAAGAGAAUCAAGUUCUACCUCUGAGUCCGGAUUAUCAAGAUCCUCGUCGAGGUUUAGCCCGGUGGAUUCAGCUGUUUUCUUCUUAGCAGGUUUUUUUGACAACCUUUGUCUUUUGACGAGGGGUCUUCGCCGGUUUAUCGUAAGGUUUCUUCUUCCAAAAUGGAUCGUCACCCUGUUUAAAGAUAGACAAAGGUUAUAAGGAACAAUUAAGAACAUCAGGUACAAACAGGAGUUAGGCAAUUCUUACAGCUGGCGGUUUAUUAAAAACGCAGAAGGGACUUAGCCCUGUUUUGCUGCAGACAACCACUGAUUCAUCCAGUAUCUUUUUAACAACUUCAGUGACUUCAGCAUCAGUCAACUGCAUGCCAGUGUGCCAUUUAGGAUCUUUUGAGUCCCCUGUAUAUUCACACAUUAAACCGGGACGACAGCUUAAAGUCAAAAUACUCCAAUAUAUCCAGCAACGAACAAAGUCAAUUUCUGUCAAACCAUUAGCCACAAAGGCUCUGAGCUUGGUGAGUUGUGGUGCAUAUUUGGCCCGUUCUUUUACAGUCAACCUUUGGGGAAAUUGAUGUGUGUUGGUAAGACGGUGAGGACGAUAAUCCGACAGAGGAUUCUCAUCUUCAGGGGAAGUAUCUUUGCAAUAGAACCAAGUCUGGUUCCAAUCCUUAGGAUGAUUAUGAUGCUUGGCAUGAGGGAAGCUGACAUCUUUCCUUUUUUGAAUUCAAACGCCGCCAAGUUCAGUAUUGGGACCAUUUACAAAUUCGGUGUGGCGGUUUAAAUAGAAAAAGUCCCUGAACAGUUCAAUAGUAGGUUCUUCUUGCAGAUAAGCCUCGCAGAACACUUGAAAAUUACAAAUAUUGGAUACCGAGUUAGGUCCAAUAUCUUGAGGGUGGAUCUGGAAGCUGGCAAGCACAUCACGGAAGAAUUUUGACCCGAGAGGUUUAAAACCACGGCUCAGAUGAUCAAAAAACACAACUAUCUCGCCAUCCUUGGGUGUAGGAGGAUUUUCCGGACCGGGGGCUCGCUAGUGGAUUUCACUCUGCUUUGGUAAAGCACCUGUGAUAACACAUCCUUUCAGAUGUUCUUCUUUAAUUCGGGAUGGAACCCAGUUGCAAGCAUAAAAAGUCUUGGCCAUUUUUUGGAUGACCUGAAGGAAGGUUUGUGCCGGUUUAAGAGUCAUGGUUGACAAGAACAAAGUGUUAUAGGUUAAGAAACAAAAGGUAUUCAAGCGUGCAAAAUUGGUAAACCGGAGGUUGAUGCUGUUAUAGGUGAUAAAGCGAUUGGCGGUUUACAAGGGGACUAAUGAUAUAUGACAGGUUAUUUUCUAAAAGAUAAACCGCUUACAUGGGCAAUGAGAGUAUAGAUCUGAAGCCGAAAAAUGACUAAGUGAGGAAGAACAAGUUUCAUAGUUUCACAUUAGAAUUUCAGAUCUACCGCAUGUCAGGAAAAAGAAAAUUUUUUAGACCUAAAGUUUGGUGCUUGAACAGUUCAUGAAGUUCCAGAUCGGGUCUUUCUACACAAAGGAGAUGAUCUGAUGCCAAAAAGGGACUAUCAUGGCUACCACACAAGAGUAUAUCAUGUUUGGACUCUAUCAUAGAGGCUAUAAUGAAGAACAGGGGAAGAACACCGCGAAGCUUCCAUGAGCCUGUGCGAACCCUAAAUGGAUCUGCAGAGGAAAUAAAGAAGAACUCACCAAGACUGUUGAAAAGCGGAAAGGCGCCAUGGUUCUCUGAUCGAAUCAGGUUGAUGCAGCGACCGUUGUUGGGGCAGAUGAGAAGGUCGACGGUGAUGACAACGCUCGAGUGCUGAGGUGACGCGAGGAGGAAGAAAGAUGAAGAGGCAAGGGGAGAAAAGGAAAGGGACCUUCGGCCCUAUUUAUAAGACGAAGGGAUAAGCGACAUGCGCGGGAAUAAAGGAGCCCAAAAAUGGACAUGUGACAGAGCUGUCGCCUCGAUUUUCGAAGGCUCAUUAAUAAAAGUAAGGUUUACUCGAAGGUGCUGAAGAAGAAAUUUUCCUAAAGUGUCGAAGAUUGACAUGAACAGGUUCAAAUCAAUCUGGGGCCUAAUGUUGGGGAUAUAACUACUGAGUAUAAACCACCCAGGAGGGGCCGGGUUAUACCCAUAAGGAGUUAUCCAUAUUGAAGCCCAUGAAGACAAGGAGCAUGGCGCUUUACUAUAGGAGAUCUAAAGGCCCAGGGCCCAAAGGAGGAUUAGGGCCCGUAGACAUAAACCGCCAUAAGGUGUGUAACUUGUGUUGUAAGAUAGGAAAGGAUAGAAACCAAGCCGGACACGUCUAUGAGCCGGCCGGGAUUCUGUAAACUGUCGAGCGUCAACCUGUGUAUAUAAAGGGACGACCCGGGGGCGGUUUAGGGACAGGAGACAACAACUCGAGAGUCAGGCAAAGCGGAUUCGCUCCCUGGUCAUCGAAACCCUAGCAAUCCCAUCAUAACUGGAGUAAGCUUUACCUUCACCGCAAGGGGCCGAACCAGUAUAAUUCCUUGCGUCCUUUGUCCGCUUUAACCCCUUUAAGCUAACUAUGUUGCGAUGGCUCCACGACUAAGUCCUCACACUAGGACAUCUGCCGUGACAACCCCACGACAGUAUGGCUUGUCAAGAAGAGCUCAUUGAUCAUACAUUGGUAUUUCAUUGGGAACAUCUUCAUCAGAAGACACAUUAGACGAGGCAGUAGCUGCCUUCUUCGAUUUUCUGGCAACUGAUUUCUUUCCAGAAGCUCAAGGAGAAAAAAACUUCCUUGCCUUGCUUUCCUUUCGGGCAGAGGCAUGCUCCUUCUUAUUUUCUACGUCUUGAUGGGUUAGCUCGACGUUUCUCUGCUCAACUUGAUUCUUUUUCACUACCCUGGCUUCACGCUUGGAUUUGUCCUUGGCUCUCUAUUCCACUUCUUCAGGAAAAUCAACAAUUGUUUUUAGUGAGUCAACGUGAGCAUUUUCAGGAGGAGGUGGCCUGACUUUUUCAUCAUCUGGACCGAGGCAACCCUCAGCGAUGUAAUCAUUCCAAGGUGGAGUGAAUGCGAACAAGAUUUGAUAUUUCCUUCGGUAUGAACAUCCCUAGAACAGAGGAGAGGACAGGGCUAGUUCCAGAUCCAUGCGCCCUAACCUGGCAGCACAGAUCUGCUACGACAAUGCGGAGGAGAGUAUGUACCACACUGGAGCGACCAACAACGGCGAGGCUUCACCGAAGUAGCACGGCGAGGCGCACCGACGGUGUUGCUUCGAGCUCGGGCUCGGGAGGAGAGCGAGAGAGGGUUUGAGAAUGAGCUGAUGAAGAAGAUGCCUAGAGGGUAUAUAUAUAGCCCGUAGGCGGAACCACCACUCUGAAAUCUAUGGCCAAAAAACAUGGGAUGAUCCACAUUCGACGGACGAGAUCACUAUCAUGGAGAUCAUGGGCACGUGUGAACCGUUUCCUGCAAAAAUCUCGGAAACUAAACGGGAGGCCGAAGGUUUUGAGGAAGGGCAAAUGCCAAAACAGAUUAAUGUUCAAAGUUGAUUUCAUUCACGACUAAGGACGACGGAUUGAAAUCUUCUUCAGAUCAAGUUACAUGUUUAUGACGGACAACAAAGAUUGGAUGAGAAAGAAUAGAGGGAUAAUAGGGUCUGAAUAAAACACUCAGCUGACGAGAGAAAACACAAAAACAAAGAACUCUGAGUGAGUUGACAUUUGGACAGAACACAAACACAACGAAAAAACAAAGAAACCGAACGAAAAACACAAGGAACUAGCACCAACAAUCAAUCUCAGGAUGAAGGAUAAGCAAGAGGAAUUCCUGAGAUAGCAUAUGCAAGAAAAGGUUGGUUCUUUUUCCCAACCCACACUUGCGUGGGCAACGAGGAUCUCAUUUUCUUCGUAUGAACAUGGGCAUUCUUUCGGUGAGGUCUGUAAGACACUUGUGCAUUUCGAGAGUAAUCAUAUGAAUAAGCAUUGAAGUUAUUUCUGGAGACAUGAGUAUAAUGAUUUGAGGAGGUACGCAUGUACUCCUUCCGUCGAAGGUUUGAUUGAUACCCAUUCGAGAAAUUUCCUGAGUUGUUCUGUGAAUGAUAAUCAUUGUCUUGAGGAAAAUUACUCUCAUGUUUAUGUUAGCAGUGACAGAUAGAUUUUCAAUAAUGCAUUUCUUCACCAAGAUUUGCUUCUUGGGUAAACCAAACCUGUAGACAGUCCCAAUAUAUCGAGUGAAAACCUUACCAUUCUGUUGUUUGAAAAAUUUGUAGUUUGAGUCAUUAGACUCAUCAGAAGCAACAACAAUGGGAGUAUCAUAUCUCGAUAGAAUUGCGGGUUUGAGAGUUUUUCAUUUGGCAAGAACCCAACUUGUUCGAGGAUAUUUCUUGGGAGUCUAGUAAGUUCCAUCAACGUUGAGUUUCCUUUCGAAACCCAAACCUUCCUUUCGAGGAUUUUUGUGCAGUAUUGACUUCUUGAGCACAUCACAGAGAGUUUGAUGCCCUUUGAGGCUCUUUAACAUUGCUGUCUCAUGCAAGUUCUUUAAUCUGCAAUUUUCAUCAGAAAUAGCAACGAAUUCCUCAGGAGAGGGAUUAGAGAUAUCAUUCAUAGUGGUUGCAAUAUUCUUGAUGUUAGUAGUAGAAGUUUUAGCAUGCGGCUCAGCAUUGCUACGUUCUAGGCAUUUUAAGCAUGGAGGCACAAAAUCAUCAGGAAGAUGAUUAGAUUGCUCGGCAAAGAGAGAAGCAUUCUCUUUCGCCAGCUCAUUAUGAGACUCUUUCAGUGACUCAAGUUCUUCAUUCCUGUUAAGGAGCUCAUCUGAUAAACUCUUGUAGUCGACAGAGAGGGAAUCAUAUCGAUUGGUAAGAACAUCAAUAGUUGAAGAAAAUGCAUCUUGCUCUUCGAUCAACUUUUGAUUCUUAUCCAUCCCUUCGACCAGUAAUCCUUCGGUUUUCCUGAGAUUUCUCUCAAGCAUUUCAAGAUCAUCUUGUUGAGAUGUUGCAAUCUUAACAAGUUUAGCAUAGGCAAUAUAUUUAGGAGAAUAUCCAUUCAUGGAUUUUUGGUGUUUUGCUGAUACCUGAUCCUUUGAUGAUUUUGCCAUGAGACAGAAGGUGAUUGGUUCAUCAUCACUUGAAGCAUCAUCAUUAGUAUCUGACUCGAGUGAAUUUUUAGAUGAUUCAUAGGCAAUGAAGGCAUUGCUCCUUCCUAUCCUUUUGUAGAAUUCUUCAUCAUAUGAUUUAGUGUCUGUCGCCUCCUCUUUAGAGUCCAGAGUCAGAUCAGCACAUGCUCUAUUCAGCUGUGACAUCCUCUUCAUAUUUGACUCAAUGGUUGCUCUUGCUUUCACGUUAGUGACUAGUCUCGUCGAAGAGGAUGAGGAGGAUUCAAAUUUCUUCGAGAGCUUAGUGUGACGAUCCACUUGAGUAAAACCACUGUAGUGAAGAUAUUUCCAUCCGUUACUAGGUUUUGCUUCCCAGCUCGGACAGUAUACUAUGAGAUGACCGAAUAGUUUGCAUUUGAAGCACUUCAUUUCUUUUGGAGGUAACUUUCUUGAUGAUUUAGGAAAGUCAAAUUCAUCAUCAUUUGUGAGGCACAAGUUUAGUCUUCUGAGAUCACUUAAACUUUUUGUGAGCAUUUCUACCUCCCUUGUGAUUGUGUGUUGAUUCUCAACUUCUCCUUCUUCUUCUGAUCUGCCAUAGUGUGAGGGAAUUUCUCCUUCACUUUUUGAAGAAGAUUCUUGAUCUGCAUUUGACAGUUCCAUCUUUUCUUCAUGGAUUGACAACAGUGUCAUGACCUAUACGUAGUGAAGUUUUUCAUAGUCUGGUCUUUGCUUGAUUUCUUCUAUGCUGGAAUUGAGAGAUGGAGCAAGAGUGCUCAGCAACUUGUUGACCGCAUCUCUAUCAGUGAUAUCAGUUACUCCUUGUUGUUGAAGUCUUUCGACAAUGUUUGUCAAUCAAUCAGUGAGUUCCAUAGCACUUUCCUUACGCAAACUUCUGAAACUAGCAAACAUAGGAGCAUUUGAGUGUGGGGAUCCGUUCUAGCGAUGAAUUCUUCAUAAGAAUUCUUGAUGGCAUCCCAGAGUUGCUUUGCAGUGUCGAGCAUUUGGAACCAAAAGAAAAUGUCUUUCGAGAGACCGCUACAUAUGAUAUCUUUCAUUUGAGCAUCUAACUGCAGAUUGGUUUUGUCAUCGGAAUUGAGAUCAUCCGGUUGCUAAAUGGUAUAACCAUUUUUGACAAUCUGCCACAAAUCAAUGUUGAUAACUUGAAUUCUGAUUCUCAUUUGUUCCUUCCAGUAGAGAUAGUAAUUUCCAUCGAAGAUAGGAAAUCGUUUAGAGUGUGUGGAUCUACCUGCAUACGACAUACUCAUAACUCCAAGGACGCUAGACCUUUAAUAAACAAAGACAUGGAGAACCUAGCUCUGAUACCAAUUGUUAGGACCGAGAGUAUAUCGACCAGAGGGGGGUGAAUGGGAGAUUCAAAAUUUCUUUCGAAAGUUUUACACUGAGCCCAAACACAUCAGCGGAAGUAAGGUACAUUAGAUACAAGCUCAAUCAAGCAUACUAUUGAAGAACAAAGUCUUCGAGGUAAGAUGCAAUAAUGGUUCAAGCAUAGUAUACGAUAAGCUUGAUGAUAAUGAUGGUAAUGCAGUAUGCCAACAAAUAUACUAUCAUGACAGAGAGCUAGAGAUGAACUGCGAAGGAUAACUGCGAGAAAUAACUAUAAUGAGAUAAAUUAUCACAACACAAAUGAUGGUGAGAACUAUGACAACACACCAGAAAAGAGGGUGUAAGAAUACGAGCAACGAAUAAUAACUGAAGGAAAUGACAGAAGAAAUAAGAGCGAAUGAUAUCAACAGAGUAUAAAUGGUCAGAUAAACUAUCAUCAUAGAGCAUGAAGGAAAACUGCUGAAAGUAAUGCAGUGAAGUAAAUAGAACCAGUGGUGCUUGAUGGCGACAAAGAGAUUUGGUAGACCAGUUCACCCUUCUGCCAAAGGGCUACGUCUGGUUGGAGGGGCUAUGACUUAACAUGGAAGAUAAACUCUCUUCACCUUAUUCUCCUUCAACACAGAGCUGAUCAGACUCUGGUUGAUUUCACUCAUGGUAGAUACUUGUCGGCGAUCCCCAAACCUUUGGUCAACCUUCACAAACCACAAUCACUCUGGUUGCUUAAGAUCUAGCUCGGUGAAGACAACAACUCUUCAACACUCGAGCCGAAACCUAUCUGUCUAGAGAGUGCAUAGCUCUCAAGAGUAAUAGGUACAAGAACUCUAACUCAGAACUACUAUGAUGCUAAACCGCUGUCUAAGUUUGGGCUCUUCAUUUUUCUCUUGGUGGAUCUUAAACUCAAGUCACUCGGAGAGGGGUUGCUGAAAUCAAUCUUCUCAAAAAUCUCAAGCGGAGCAACCAACGGACAAUAUUGGAGCGGGGUGGCUAUUUAUAGCCGCAACCUUCCCUGGUGGGAAAUGACCAUUCGGACACGUGGUCCAACCACUGGCCAACCAACACGUUCACAACGGUCGGAUUUUGGAGCAAUGGUAACUGUCAUGGUCUUGUCAUGGCAGAUGCCCUAGUGAAAGGACUUAGGUGCUAGGCCAUCGCUAUGAUGAUUAGCUUGUCGGGGUUGAGCGGGACGAGAGCCACGAGUUUACCCAGGUUUGGCGCCUCACGAUCAAUGUAACAGCCUAUGUCCUGCUUUAUGUUGUAUUGCUUGAGUAUCAAUUACAAGGGAGCGGAUUCACUUGACCUAGCUAUCGAUUGAUUGUAACUUAAGUCUGCCUGCCGCAAGGACUCGCCUUUGUAUACACAGGUCGAGGCCUUGGGCUUAAAAGAGUCCAGGUCAGGUCAUGCUUCGUGACCAAUCUUGUCUCUAAGUCGCCUUGCCUUCUUCGGCAAGUCGCCAAGAGGCGGCUUACACUUCUGGGCAACACACUGUCUUCUAUCCUUGGGCUUCUAUCUGGUCCAUCUCGUAAGUCUCCUUCCUAGUCAUGUAUGUUGAUCACUCGGGCCUAUUUAAGGCCCAAUUACUAAUUCGCCAACAGCCUAACCUGGCCCCUCUAGGGUGGGUUACACCAUGGGGUUAUAUCGCCAACAUUAGGCCCCAGAUUGAUUUGAACUUGUUCAUGUCAAUCUUCAGUCCUUCCGGUUGGCGAAUCUUCCUCAGUCUUCUGAAUACUUAAUCUUGAACAACUCUUCAUAACCCGCCAUAAGAAAAGAUGAUGUCACUUUCAUAAACUCAGAAAAAUCCUCAUGAUGUCAUAGCGGAUCUUUGUAUAAAUCCACCAUUCGGAAUAUCGAGGCAUCCUUUUAUUGUAAAAUUUAUUGUGCCUCCUCGAUCUUCGCAUAGGUCUUUUACUGUUCAUUAUUUUCCUUAUAAAUAGGCACGGGGGUUUGCCUUUUUCACUUUUACCCCAUCGCCUCCUCUUCUUGUUCUUCCUCUCGAGUCCGUCGCAACCGGAGAUCCGUCGCAUCCGUCGAACCGUGCUUGCCUUCUUCAGUCGAAGUCACAACACUGCCAUGUCGCCGUCGGGAUCUAGCGGCAUACCUCCGCUUUUCUCCACCACAAACAUGUAUUGUUUCUCUCCUUUCUCAGAUCUGCAUUAGGUCGAUUGAGUUCAUAGAGUUCGUCGGAGUUCAUCCUAUUUCAUCACAUCCUUUGAACAAAAGCUAUUUUUUAUCCGAAAACAUUAGAGAAAUGUUGCGGUAGCAGGUUUACCACCAUCUUGAAUUUUAUCAAUGUGUAUUCCCUUCUAGAAUCAGUGGAUAUCUUGCUAGCCCUUCCGCCACUGCUUUUUAGCUUUAGUAAUACCUUUUCUUUUUUGAAUUGCCGUUAGAUCCGUAAAUAUAGCUAUUCCAUAUGGAAUCUUGUUUGCUCCAUACUUAGCCAAAUUUUUAGCAAUCCUGAAUCUUAGCUAACCCGCCCAUUAUAUCUUGGGCGGCUUAUCAACAUAUUUUGUUGGGGAUAUAACUAUUAGGUAUGACCCGCCCAGGAGGGGCCGGGUCAACCCUAUGAAGAUUCAUCACAAUGAAGCCCAAGGUCACAUGGAGAUUCAUAGAUAGGCUUAGGAGAGGGCCCAGACCCAAAUGCGGCUUAAGGCCCAUGAGUAUAAACUGCCAUGUAUGUAAACUUGUAUAGUAAGGCAUAUGUAAAAGGUCACCGAGCCGGAUACGUUGUAUAAGCCGGUCGCCGGGACUCUGAGGGCCGCAGGGCGUCAACCCGUGUAUAUAAGGGGACGACCUAGCGGCGGCUUAGGAUAAGAAACAAUAGAUCGAGAGCCGGGUCAAGCGUAUUCGCUCCCUGCUCAUCAAAACCCUAGCAAUACCAACUACAAACUGGACUAGGCUUUUACCUUCAUCGUAAGGGGUGGAACUAGUAUAAACUCUCUGUGUCCAUUGUCCUGAUUAAUGUCACACCCUCGAUGCGACUAUAGCUCCCACAUGUCGAGGCACGACUUAGAGACAUAAUCGCAUUGAAGGCAUAUGUUGCAAGUUAGGCAAUCUUCACAACAUCCCAUGUAAUAUAAAUCAUAAAGGGGAGAUAGCAUAGUUGGCUUACACUCGCCACUUCAAUCAAGUACAUAAAUAACAUUACAUCAUCCAAACACUCAUGGCCCGACUACGGCGCCAAAAUAAAAGAUAACCCAACAAGCGACACGGUCCCGAUCACCCCAACUGGGCACCACUACUGAUCAUCAGGAAAGGAAACAUAGUAACGUUGAGAGUCCUUGUCGAACUCCCACUUGAGCUCAUACGCGUCUCCUGGAGCGGAAUCAUCAGGCCCUGCAUCUGGUGUAAUAGUAAUCUGUGAGCCACAGGGACUCAUCAAUCUCGCACCCUCGCGACCAAGACUAUUUAAGCUUAUAGGUAAGGUAAGGUAAAAAUAUAUGUGGAGCUGCAGCAAGCGACUAGCAUAUAUGGUGGCUAACUUAUUCGCAAAAGAGAGCGAGAAGAGGAGGCAAAGCGCGAGCGAGAAACUAGAGAACAACCUGCGCAAACAUUACUCCAACACUGUGUCCGCUUCCGGACUCCGCCGAGAAGAGGCCAUCACGGUAACACACUCAGUUGAUUCAUUUUAAUUAAGUUAAGGUUCAAGUUAUCUACAACCGGACAUUAACAAAUUCCCAUCUGCCCAUAACCGCGGGCACGGCUUUCAAAAGUUCAAAUCCCUGCAGGGGAGUCCCAACUUAGCCCAUGACAAGCUCUCACGGUCAACGAAGGAAUAUACCUCCUCCCAAGACGUUCCGAUCAGACUCGGUAUCUCGGUUAUUCAAGACACUUCGACAGGUUAAAACAAGACCAGCAACACCGCCCGAAUGUGCCGACAAAUCCCGAUAGGAGCUGCACAUAUCUCGUUCUCAGGGCACACUCAGAUGAGACUAGCUACGAGUAAAACCAACCCUCAAGUUUCCCCGAGGUGGCCCCGCAGGCAGCUCAGUUCGGACCAACACUCAGAGGAGCACAGGCCCGGGGGGGUUAAUAAGAUGACCCUCGGGCUCCGGAAACCCAAGGGAAAAAGAGGCUAGGUGGAAAAUGGUAAAACCAAGGUUGGGCAUUGCUGGAAAAGCUUUAAUCAAGGCGAACUAUCAAGGGGUUCCCAUUAUAACCCAACCACGUAAGGAACGCAAAAUCCGGGAACAUAACACCGAUAUGACGGAAACUAGGGCGGCAAGAGUGGAACAAAACACUAGGCGAGAGGCCAAGCCUUCCACCCUUUACCAAGUAUAUGGAUGCAUUAAGAUAACAUGGCAAUAUAAUGAUAUCCCAACAAGUAAUAAAUGUUCCAACAAGGAACGACCUCCAAUCUUCACCUGCAACUAGCAACGCUAUAAGAGGGGAUGAGCAAAGCGGUAACAUAGCCAAUCAAUGGUUUGCUAGGACAUGGUGGGUUAGAGCUUUGACAUGGCGAUUUGGAAGGCAUGAUAAGCAAGUGGUAGGCAUCGUAGCAUAGGCAUAGCAAAAGAGCGAGCAUCUAGCAAAGCAAAGAUAGAAGUGAUUUCGAGGGUAUGAUCAUCUUGCCUGCAAAGUUGUCAGAGUUAACUGGAUCCUCGAAAGCAAACUCAACGGGCUCCUUGUUAGGGAACUCCUCUCCCGGCUCUACCCAAACAAGACAAACAAGAAACAAGGACACAAUCAACCACGUGCAAGGAUCAAACAAGAUGAUGCGAUGAUGAUAUGCUAUGCGGGAUGCGAUGCGGGAUGCAUAUGCAAGAUAUGACAGGAAAUGCAUGAACCUGGCCUCAACUUGGGAAUCCAAGUGUGCCACUGGAAAUAUGAGAUGAAAUCGCUUGAAAAGGAUAUAAAGAAUGCCAGAAUCGGUGUUACGGUUUGGAAAUGGCAAGCGAUUUAAAUAUGACACCGGUCUGCGAUUUACAGCAAGUAGCCAUCUAAAUGCAACGACAUGAGCAUGCUACAACACCCAAGCAAGACAACAAAAUACAUGACUGGGAUGCAUUCAAGAUGCUUAACAAAAGUCUAGCACUGAGCUACGGCCAAUUCAUCCAUUAACAGGUUCAAACAAGCAUGGCAAAAAUGCAUAUGGCAAACAGAUCUCAGACUUAGUGAAAUUAACACUUGUCUGGAAUUUCAGAUCAGGUAGCACUCUUCGGAGCAACAAAACUACAUACUAUAGGACCUGAACAUGGCAAAGUAAAGCAUGGCAUGGAGCUACUCAAAGAGCUUAACAAAAGUCCCUUAGUGACCUUGAGCCAAAAGGGAUCAGAAAAUACAAUUGCAAGCAUGUGAACAUGGCAAAAACAUAAUCAGUUUUCAGACUUAGUGAAAACUGGCACAUGCUGAAACAUAACUCAAGUAGGCAUGUUUACGAGCUCGAUGCACUCACUACGGAACAAGUCAUGACAAGCUAAGCAUACAUCUAUCAAGAACACACAAAAUGCAAGCUAGACAUGGCAAGAAAAAUAACAUAGCAUGCACGGAUCAACUACAAAAGCAUCGGCAAAAUUGUAAACAAGUUGACAAUCUGUCCAGAUUCACAAAGUAGCAAAAGUAGAGCUCGAUUGACUCAAACUAGGGUCCUCCAUAAUUGCAAACAAAGAUAUGGAUGGAUAGAGAACUACAAGAUUAACAAAACAUCCUUACUGAUCAUCCUCAAAAGAGGCACGGAUCACUAGGAAACAACAUGAACAUAUGGCCAUAUGAGAUAAACAGCUCAAGGACUUAGUGGAGAUGCUAAGUCCCUGAAAUCAGAAUUAACAAGUGCACCACUUUGCAAGCUUGUGCAAGUCACCACACACAUCACAAAAAUACAUGGGUUGCACCUCUGGAAAGAUGGCAAAACCCUUAACAAAACAUAUGUAGAGCAUCAGGGCAUAUCAUGCACACAUUAAUCAUGGCAAAAAUGACAAAAAGCUAAACGGAGUAGCAGAUCUGACAAUUAUCUCAAGUAGCCCUCUUCUAACAGCAUUUCGGGCAUCAAUAUGAACUCAAAUGAAAUUGAUGUAAUGGAAUGAAAUGAUGUACUCUCUGAGAUGAACAUCUUGAUAUGCUAUAUGCCCAAAUCGGAGCUACGGAUACAAAGUUACGAGGCUAUGAACAUGAGCACUUGGAACUGGAAUUUUUGGGACUUAGAAGAAAAAAAUACCUCUGGAUCUAGGGUUUCGGUGGCACGCAAACCGAGGCGGCGGCGCGCUGUAGCUUCGGCGAGCUCGGUUCGUUGGCGGGGUGACGAGGGAGAGGCGAGGCCGGGCGGCGCGGGGCAGCGCGACGGAGGCGGCGGCCGGCGACGCAUCGGGCAGCGGGGCGNNNNNNNNNNNNNNNNNNNNNNNNNNNNNNNNNNNNNNNNNNNNNNNNNNNNNNNNNNNNNNNNNNNNNNNNNNNNNNNNNNNNNNNNNNNNNNNNNNNNNNNNNNNNNNNNNNNNNNNNNNNNNNNNNNNNNNNNNNNNNNNCGCGGGAGGCGGCGCACCACGUGGCACCAUGCCACUGGCUGCGGGCGGCGGCGGCGAUGCGUCCGGUCGGGGCGGACGUGUCCGGCUGGCGCGGGUAGAAUUUUAGGGUUUUCAAGGAAGAAGAAGAUCCGGAUUCGGAGGGUUCUUUAAAUAGGCAUAGAGGGAGCUAGGAGAGUCCAAAUGAGGUGCGGUUUUCGGCCACACGAUCGUGAUCGAACGAUCUAGAUGAUGGAGAAGGCUUAGGUGGGUUUUGGGCCAAAUUGGAGGGGUGUUGGGCUGCAACACACACGAGGCCUUUUCGGUCCCUCGAUUAACCGUUGGAGUAUCAAACGAAGUCCAAAUGAUACGAAACUUGACGGGCGGUCUACCGGUAGUAAACCAAGGCCGCUUGGCAAGUCUCGGUCCAAUCCGGAAAUGUUUAAUCCCCACACACAAAAGAAAGCUAGAAAUGACCACCGGAGGAGAACGAAGCACCGGAAUGCAAAACGGACAACGGGGAAAAUGCUCGAAUGCAUGAGACGAACAUGCAUGCAAAUGAAAUGCACAUGAUGACAUGAUAUGAGAUGCAUGACAACAACAACAACACACGGAGACAAAAACCCGAAGCCGAGAAAAUAAAAUAACUUAACGCCAGAAACGGCAAGAGUUGGAGUACAAAUUGGGAAAGUUACAUCCGGGGUGUUACAAUUAACCCCUUUAAGCUAACGUCAACGUGAUGGCUCCACGACUAAGUCCUCACACCAGGACAUCUGCCGUGACAAUUCCAUGACAGUUGGCGCACACCGUGGGGCUAUCGCACGAUGGUUUUGAGUUCUUAAAGGGCAGCUUCGAAGGGAUCAAGGGACACGCCGUGGGCCGGAUAACCAAGAGUCAUCGCGGCAAGCUCUACAUCGACGACGCAGGCUGGGGCCCCGAGGCCGGCUCAAUUGAGUACGGGUACCGGGCCCCCUUCGGUGGAAUCCACGUCUUCAUCGACAAGAUCGGCGAACCGGGCCCUGAGCCGGACAUCCGCACUGACAUCGUCGAGAUGGCUCAGUGUGCAAGACCCGCCCGGGUUCAGCCUGCCAUGAAUCGCGCCUUCGCGGUAUUUACCCAUGGAGUGGAAUUGGAGGACAUGCCAGCAUCUGGUGAUGAGACCGUCAUUUACUCUGAUGACGAGUCAUCCACUGGUGAGACCGAGUCACUGUAUCAACUGCAAGAGGGCCGGCUUGGGGGCUAUUCCGAUGGCAACAGUAUUCUGGACCCCUAUGAGCCGCCGAACCGAGUUGCAAUUUUCAUGGCCGGUACACAGGCCGCGUAGCACUCAUCAACUGCGGCGGAGCUGGUUUUCGGGUUAGUGGCGGCAGUGGCUGCCGGGGCAGGAGGCCCUGAGCGCCUGCCGGCUCAUGCUUUAACUAAUUUGCUAGAUAAAUUGAUGACGCCGUUGACAGCGGUGGUUAACCCGGUGGAUCAAGAUCAACAUAACGCGACGAUCACAAGAUUGCGCGAUGAGAUAGCACAUGCUAAGGAAGAGCUAAAUGCAGAAAGCACUAAGAUGGCUGAAGAAAGGGCUGCUUUGGACGCCUAGUCACAACGGAUUCAGGAGGAGUCUUACCGGCUCAUGUUGGAUCAAAAUGCUUCAAACGAGGUCAUGAGAAGGAGGCAUUAUACCCGUCUGCCGUUGGUCUAUGAAGCAAGAAAUCUUUUUAACACACCAGGAGCAGGAACCAGCAACCCAGCUGGGGUAAACCAAGUCGAAGAACCUGGGACGGGUACGCUGGUUCAACCACGCAUGAUGGAUCCACCUUGUCAGAACAACAACCCGCCACAGCAUGUGCGGACGCCACCGGGUCAUUACUCCAACUCUUUGGAUAACAUGAUCGCUGCGGCAUCUCGAUUGGCAGCUAUCCCGGUUGAAGGUGAAUCGCCAGCGGCUGUUGAGACACGGAGGGCCAGGGAUCUUCUUCAGACAGUGUUGGUUCAACAACAGGCUUAUUCUUACAGUCGUGAUCGAGUUCAUUCUACCCCUCGUCCGAGACGGAGUUACAGUAGGCAUCUCGAUGAGCCGGCUGUAUUAAGAAGUGGGCGGAACUGUAACCCGCCCCGUGGGCAUGACCCGGCGGGCGGUGGUGCGAACACUCAGGACGUGGUGGAUCAAGGUAGAGCUCAUCGAGAGGCCGAGCUGUCGGCUCAGUAUGCAGCUCAUGAACAAACUCCGUUUCAUCCGACCACCUCUAUGGAGCCAGGCUUAACCUUUAGAAACUUGGGCGUGCCAUGCUUAGUGCCGGAUCUACGUAAUGAGCGUCUUCCCAAAGAUUUCAAAGGACCUCGCAAGGUGCCAAACUAUACAACUGAUUUAUGUCUUGGGGCAUGGAUCGAGAGUUAUGAGAUGGCCAUGGAGUUGCUAGACGUUAGUGAGGCUGCAUGUGCUAAGUAUUUUCCCCUGAUGUUAGAAGGAACGGCCCGCACAUGGUUGAAGGGGCUUCCUUCCAAUUCCAUUGAGUCAUGGGCUGAGUUGAAAACCCGGUUUAUCCAGAACUUCAAAGAUACGUGUAAGCAGCCCAUGUCGAUUGUAGAUCUGGCCGCUUGUGUUCAGGAAGAAGGUGAAUCAACAACUCAUUGGGUCCGCCGGGUCUCAACAAUCUUACACUCGUCGGAUCGCAUCAAUGCCGACUCAGCGGUGUUGAUGUUGGAGAACAACUGCCGUUUCACGCCCUUGAAGCAGAAAUUAGGGCAGCUCAAACGCCACUGUAAUGACAUGGGAACACUCAUGGCAACUCUGGUUAAUUAUGCUGACUCUGAUAGUACCAAAGACCCUGACUCUGAUGAUGAUAUAGCAGGGAUGGGGAAGAGGAGCAGCAAUGCUAAGGGGCAGCAGUAUAACCCGGGAGGCAACGGUAAGCGCAAAGCUGAUAAUAGUUUUGACUUCGUGGCUAACAUGAAUGCACAAAAUGAUGGCAGCGUCGAAAGGGUAAACAGCCUCCACAAGCCAUAGGGUCCGGUAUCAAUCUGGAGUGUAUGUUGAAUCAGCCCUACCCACGACAUGGUACGAAGGAAAGACCAUCCGGGCAUCUAUGGAAGGAUUGUCACAUCAUGGAAGAGUUCAAAAAUUCAAAUCUUUUCCAUGAGAGCCAUGGGCCAGGUGGCGGUUCUGGGCCCGGCUCCCACGGUCUGGGUUAUGGCAGUGGCGGUUCUGGUUUCCAAGGAAAUCAAGGUAAUCACAACAACAAGGGUGGUUACAACCAGCAGAAUAAUCAAGGGGGCCAGCAACAACAAUAGUCUGGUUACCAGAGCAACCCGAAGCAGUUGAAUAGUGAGAAAUAUCAUGUGUUUACCACUAGCUUGUGUAAGCGUGACCAGAAGCUUCAUAAGAGAUUAGUCAAUGCUGUUGAGCCGGCAGUUCCUCGCUAUCUACAUUGAUCUGAGCAGCCCAUCGUGUGGAGUCGGGAAGAUCAUCCACCCCGGGUUGAUAAUCCGGGUCAUUUGGCUUUGGUGGUUGCACCGUAGGUCGGAGGAUAUAAGUUUUCCAAGGUGCUCAUGGACGGAGGGAGCAGCAUCAAUAUCCUUUAUUAUGAAACUUUUCAUCGCAUGGGGUUGACUGAUAAAAAUCUUAAGCCGUCAAACACUAUUUUCCAUGGUGUGGUGCCUGGUAAGUCGGCAUAUCCAACCGGUAAGAUAGCUCUGGAAGUUGUUUUUGGAGAUGAUCAUGACUCUAGGUCAGAAACAUUGACUUUUGAAGUGGUCAAGAUCCACAACCCAUGUCACCCUCUGUUUGGACGACCGGCUUAUCCCAAGUUCAUGGUGCGGCCGUGUUACCGUGUAUCUGCAACUUAAGAUGCCGAGUCACAAAGGAACCAUUACGGUGCAUGGGAGCCAUAGGAUAGCUCUGGAGUGUGAAGAGGGGGAUGCGGCUUGUGCUGAGUCAGUUUGUGCAACAGAGGAGUUGAAAUUUUACAAGGACAAUUUUGACCCGAUAGAUAUGACGUCUUUGAAAAAGCCAACCAUGGAGUAUGAUCUGGUCUUAAAGUUUAAAUCGGCAGAUGAUACCAAGAUGGUUGAUUUUGUUCCUGGCGACUCAUCCAAUUAGUUUAGCAUCAGUGCUAAUCUGGAUCCGAAAUAGGAAAGUGCGCUCAUCGAGUUCAUCCGUGAGAACCGGGACAUCUUUGCAUGGAAGCCUUCAGACAUGCCGGGUGUACCGAGAGAACUCGUUGAGCACACUCUUAAUAUUGAUACAAAGUUUAAGCUAGUCAAACAGUUUCUUCGCCACUUUAAUGAGGAGAGACGGAAGGCCGUUGGAGAAGAAGUAGCCCGGCUCUUGGUAGCUAGGUUUAUCAUUGAAGUUUUUCAUCCUGAGUGGUUACCUAACCUAGUGCUGGUAUUUAAGAAAAACGGCACUUGGCGUAUGUGUGUGGACUACACAGAUUUAAACAAGGCUUGUCGCUAAUCCUUUUGCUCUCCCUCGUAUUGAUAAGAUUAUUGAUGGUACGGCGGGUUGUGAGCGUUUGAGUUUUUUGGAUGCUUAUUCUGGUUAUCAUCAGAUCAAGAUGGCAGUUAAGGACCAGGAGAAGACGUCUUUCAUAACUCCCUUUGGAGCCUUCUACUAUGUGUCUAUGCCUUUUGGGCUCAAGAGUGCCCAGGCGACUUAUCAGAGGUGUGUGCAAAAUUGCCUUCAUGACCAAAAUGGGCGUAAUGUUCAUGCCUAUGUGGAUGAUAUUGUGGUGAAAUCCAGAGAGAAAGAGACAUUGAUAGAUGAUUUGAAGGAAACCUUUGAUGAUCUCCGAGUGUACAAGAUGAUGCUUAACCCGACCAAGUGUGUUUUUGGUGUGCCGGUAGGCAAGCUCCUGGGGUUUUUGGUGUCUAACAAAGGAAUUAAAGCUAAUCCGGAGAAGAUCAAAGCUAUCACCUCGCUGGCUAAGCCGACAUGUAUCAAUGAUGUGCAGCGUCUGGCGGGUCGUAUUGCGGCGUUAAGCCGGUUCAUAAGCCGGUUGGGGGAGAAGGCUAUCCCUCUAUAUCAGAUGAUGAAAAAGACAAAUAACUUUGUCUGGAGUGAUGCUGCUGAUGCAGCGUUUGAGGAUUUGAAGAAGCAGUUGAUUGAGCCGCUAGUACUCGCAGCCCCUACUGAUAAGGAGCCUUUGUUGUUAUACGUGGCCGCUAAUAGCUGGGCCGUCAGUGUGGCUAUUGUGGUAGAAAGAAAGGAAGCAGGCAAGGAGUAUUUGGUUCAAAGACCAAUUUAUUAUAUCAGUGAAGUGCUUAUUGAGUCCAAGCAGAGGUAUCCACACUGGCAGAAGCUUGUAUAUGGGCUGUUCUUGGCCAGCCGGAAGCUUAAACAUUAUUUUCUGGGCCAUCCCAUCACCGUGUCAGCUCUGCUCCUUUGGGAGAUAUCAUCAAAAAUAGAGAAGCAACUGGUCAGGUCGCUAAGUGGGCCAUUGAUCUUGGGCCUCAUGGGUUAAAAUGUGUGCCUCGCACGGCCAUCAAGUAUCAAGCACUGGUGGACUCCAUCAACGAUUGGACAGAGUUGCAUAUUCCUGAGGAAAAGCCAGAUAACACAUAUUGGACUAUUCACUUUGAUGGGUCCAGGCAAUUGGAAGGCUUGGGGGAUGGAGUUAUUCUUGCUUCCCCUCGAGGUUAUUGAGGGACUCCUGGAUUAGGGGGUCUCUGGACAGCCGGACUAUAUCCUUUGGCCAGACUGUUGGACUAUGAAGAUACAAGAUUGAAGACUUCGUCCCGUGUCCGGAUGGGACUCUACUUGGCGUGGAAGGCAAGCUAGGCAAUAUGUAUAUGUAUAUCUCCUCCUUUGUAACCGACCUUGUGUAACCCUAGCCCCCUCCGAUGUCUAUAUAAACCGGAGGGUUUUAGUCCGUAGGACAACAUACAAUCAUACCAUAGGCUAGCUUAUAGGGUUUUAGCCUCUCUGAUCUCGUGGUAGAUCUACUCUUGUAAUACUCAUAUCGUCAAGAACAAUCAAGCAGGACGUAGGGUUUUACCUCUAUCAAGAGGGCCCGAACCUGGGUAAAACAUUGUGUCCCCUGCCUCCUGUUACCAUCCGCCUUAGACGCACAGUUCGGGACCCCCUACCCGAGAUCCGCCAGUUUUGACACCGGCAUUUGUGCUUUCAUUGAGAGUUCCACUGUGUCGUCACCAUAAGGCUCGAUGGAUCCUUCGAUCAUCGCUGGUGAUGCGGUCCAGGGUGAGGCUUUCGUCCCCGGACAGAUCUUCAUAUUCGGCGGCUUUGCACUACGGGCCAACUCGCUUGGCCAUCUGGAGCAGAUUGAGAGCUACGCCCCUGGCCACCAGGACAGAUUUGGAAACUUGAACUACACGACCGACAUCCGCGGAGACUUGAUCUUCGACGAAUUCGAGCCCAUGUCGGACGCGCCGUACAGUCUUGACGAGCAUGACGUAACUCUGCCGUCGGACGGUAUUCAGGAGAUCGCAUCUGCAGCUACUCCAUCCAUCAAUCCAGAGCAAGUCGCUCCAUCCGAGACCGGAGGGAUGGACCCCGCCAUGGAGCCGCACUCUCAGUGGCGAUAGAGCCGGAUACUGACUUCACCCCUUAUGAGAGCCGUGUUGCCGAACCACUGGAUUCAUCUUCGGCCACGGACUCCGAGCCGCAUGUAUCCGCGCCCGUCGAGUCCGACUAGGCGCCGAUCAUGGAGUUCACCUCCACGGAUAUCUUUCAGCACUCACCUUUUGGAGAUGUGCUAAAUUCAUUAAGGUCUCUCUCACUGUCAGGAGAACCUUGGCUGAACUAUGUCCGGCUAGAAUGGGAUGCAGACGACGAAGAAAUUCGCCGCCCACCCACCACCCACUUAGUAGCCACUGUCGACGACUUAACCGACAUGCUCGACUUCGACUCCAAAGACUUCGACUGUAUGGACGACAAAGCUGGAGAUGAAUAGGAUCCACCGCUCUCGGGGCACUGGACCGCCACCUACUCAUAUGAUAUAUACAUGGUGGACACCCCCAAAGAAGCCAAUGGCGACGAGAAAGCGGAGGAUGACCCCUCCAGGAAGCAACCCAAGAGCCGACGUCAGCGGCGCUACUGUCCCACCACAGCAGGAGCAGUGAUACCGGCACAGGAGAUAAUAACACUCCGAAUAGUGCCGAAGACAACAACAAUCGCCUCCAGCACGAUGUAGAUCCAGAGGAUGAACAAGCUAGCCCUCCAGAGUGGGUAGCAGAUGGAGAACCGGAGGAGGACAAUUACAUGCCUCUCUCCGAAGAUGAGGCAAGCCUCGGCGACGACGAGUUUAUCGUGCCUGAGGACCUCGUCGAGCAAGAGCUCUUCAAGCGCCGGCUUAUGGCCACGGCAGAAAAAGCAGCAACAACUUCAAGCUGAUCAAGACUUGCUAGCAGACAGGUGGACCGAAAUCCUUGCGGCCGAGGAGCAUGAACUCGAGCGCCCGUCCAAGAGUUACCCAAAACGCAGGUUGCUACCUUACCUCGAGGAGGAAGCAUUGAAACAUCAUUCACCAGUGUACAAUGCGGCUGACUGGCCACUACGCGGCCGAGUCAGUAAGGCAUUUCAGCCUAAAGUUCAGCCCGCACCCCGUCGCCACUCAGUCAAAAAUACUACGACCCGGGGCAACACAGAGGACCUGCGAGACAUGUUGGACAGCAAGGCAAAAAUCGCAAGGUCAAUAUACGGGACACGAACACGUGCGCCCACAUGGGACGAUGAUCGUCGCGUCGGAUACACCAAGAGUAAAUCCGGCUGGGCUGAAUACAGCAGACAAGACUCAUACGAACUACGUCGGGAUAUAGCCCGGCACAGAGGCGCUGCACACCCCCUAUGCUUCGCUGAUGAAGUUAUGAAUCAUGGAUUCUCGGAGGGUUUCAAACCCGUAAACAUCGAAUCAUACGACGGCACAACAGAUCUCACUCUGUGGAUUGAGGAUUUCCUCCUUCACAUCCACAUGGACCGCGGUGACGAUCUACAUGCCAUCAAGUACCUCCCACUAAAACUCAAAGGACCAACUCGGCAUUGGCUGAAUAGCUUGCCAGCAGAUUCCAUCGGCAGUUGGGAGGAUUUGGAAGAUGCAUUUCUUGACAACUUCCAGGGCACUUAUGUGCGGCCACCGGAUGCUGAUGACUUGAGCCACAUAACCCAGCAGCCAAUGGAAUCGGCCAGACAAUUUUGGACACGGUUCCUGACUAAGAAAAAUCAAAUUUUAGACUGUCCGGAUGCAGAAGCCCUAGCGGCAUUUAAGCAUAACAUCCACGAUGGGUGGCUCGCUUGCCACCUAGGCCAGGAGAAGCCGAAAUCUAUGGCAGCCCUCACAACACUCGUGACCCGCUUUUGCGCGAGCGAGGACAGCUGGCUGCCUCGCAGCAACAACACAUCAAGGAAUCUGGAUACCUCAGAUACCAAAGACGUUAACGGUAGGCAGCGUCAUAAUAGACCAAAGCGCCGCAAUAACGGCGAUCAAUCCGAAGAUACGGCAGUCAACGCUGGAUUCAAAGGCUCCAGAUCCAGUCAGCGGAAAAAGCCAUUCAAAAGAAAUACUCCGGCUCCGUCCAGUCUGGACCGCAUACUGGAUCGCUGGUGUCAAAUCCACGGCACCCCCGACAAGCCCACCAAUCACACCAACAGAGAAUGCUGGGUGUUCAAGCAGGCCGGCAAGUUAAAUGCCAAAAACAAGGACAAGGGGCUACAUAGCGAUGACGAGGAGGAGCCACGGCCGCCGAACCCAGGAGGACAGAAGGGGUUUCCCCCACAAGUGAAGACAGUAAACAUGAUAUAUGCAACCCACAUUCCCAAGAGGGAGCGGAAGCGUGCACUAAGGGACGUCUACGUGAUGGAGCCCGUUGCCCCGAAGUUCAACCCAUGGUCUCCUUGUCCGAUCACCUUCGAUCGCAGGGACCACCCCACUAGCAUCCAUCAUGGAGGAUCCGCCGCACUAGUCCUAGACCCCAUCAUUGACGGAUUCCACCUCACUCAAGUCCUUAUGGACGGCGGCAACAGCCUAAACCUGCUUUAUCAGGAUACAGUGCAAAAAAUGGGUAUCGAUCCUUCGAGGAUCAAACCCAGCAAAACCACCUUUAACGUAAUCCCAAGUGUAUAGGCCCAUUGCACAGGCUCAAUCGCACUGAAAGUGGUCUUCGGAUCACCGGAUAACUUUCGAAGCGAAGAGUUAAUCUUCGACAUCGUCCCGUUUCGCAGUGGCUAUCAUGCACCGGACGGACAACAUUUGCAAAAUUCAAUGCAGUUCCGCAUUACACAUACCUCAAGCUCAAGAUGCCAGGACCUUGCGGGGUCAUAACAGUAAAUGGAAACGCAGAAUGCUCACUCCGUAUGGAAGAUCACACUGCGGCCCUUGCGGCAGAGGCACAAAGCAGCCUAUUCAGGCAGACCACUCAUUCGGCGUUACAACCCCCGGACACCUUCAAGCACGUCCGGAAUAAUCUGCAACAGGAUCGCCUGGCGCGAUCUACGCUCGCCUAGCAAUUCGGCCCCCGUCCCAGUCCCAAUGCAGCGACGAAAUUCAUGCCGCGCGUACAUAACUACGCAUUGAAAAUACCAUGGGCAUAAGCGGGGGCACAAUCAGGACACGCCCCGCAUUGUGGCUUAAACCACGCGAGGGGCUGUACACCUUUCACAUUCCUUUUCUCUUUUAGGGCCUAACUUUUUGGAAGCCCUUUUCGGCAGUCCGACUGUCGGGCACACUUCGGAAGCAACAACCAAUGCGGUGAGAAGCUAAGAUGAACACGGGAACCGCCAAGUGGCCUCUAGUAAUACUUGAUAUACCCGCUUUUCACUAUUUAUGCGUAGCUUGCCUUGGGAUAGGACAUUUCGAAUUGUCCCACUUCAUGCUUAUUGCACUACUUGUACCAGUACGUCUCGACGUAUUACUCAAAUAACAAUGCAUAUUAUUAACCUGUCAUUGCAUUAUUUAAGUCUUUCUCUUUCUCUUAUAUGUCCAUUUACGACAUUCCGCACCUGCGCGCUCGGGUGCGGUCAGUACGCUAGGGGCUCUGGUUUACCCCAUAAUACGACGCAAGAAGUCCGAACACUUUCGACAGUGCGGCACCCCGAACUUAUAGCAUUAUAUGCAUCAACUCCGAAUCAUGUCUUGGGUCAAAUGUUGGGUUGCCCGGCUCCCACACUUUGGUACCUUACGUUCCACUAUAUCAGCUAAGGUAGCGGUGGGAGAACUACUACGAUUGUGUCCCGGUUAUUCCGGACGAGCACCUCAGUAGAGAAAGCCAAAAACUGACUGUCAUGAUAAGGCGAGAGAUUAGUCGCUGUUCGAGAGGUUUCAAGUCCUUAAAGACUUUUUCCACUUCGGGCGAGGAGUCGGUCUUGUCCGGCUUAGGCGUGUAUAGCGCCCCAAAUUCAGCCCUCCGAAUACCAGGGGCUUCGCCAAAAAUUUAAAAUCAUAGACUUCUAUGGCUAAGUGAGAGUGAUAAAGCAUUAUAGUCUGAUUGUCUGGUUUGUUGCGCUGAACACCUCCCUUGAAGGACCCAAAAUUGGGGUAAAGAGUGUUCAUAUUUAUCCGAACACCCCAGUACUAGUUACAUGGGGGUAGAAGCCGACGACUGGCCAACUCUUAGAUUUUAUAAACGGCCGCACAGAAGGUAAUAUUUUAAAUUAAGAAAGCGUCACAUGGCGCAAAUGAACUCGUUCCAUAUUACAGGAUCACAUGAGCAUGUUCAUUCAAAAAUUACAUCCUUGGCACGCUCAUCUGCCACUAGGCGGGAUCCCUCCAGGAGACCCUCAUAAUAAUUCUUGGGGCGGCGAUGCUCCUUGCCCUCCGGCGGCCCCUCCUUCACAAGCUUCACGGCGUCCAGCUUCGCCCAGUGCACCUUCGCCCGGGCAAAAGCCCUGCAUGCACCUUCGAUGCAGAUGGACCGCUUGAUGACCUCAAGCCGUGGGCAUGCUUCUACCAGCCGUCUCACCAGACCGAAGUAGAUGCCGGACAGGGGCUCGCCAGGCCACAUCCGGACUAUAAGGCCCUUCAUGGCCUGUUCGGCCGCCUUGUGGAGUUCAACAAACUGCUUCAGCUGGUCGCUCAAGGACACGGGGUGUUUGGUCCCAGUAUACUGAGACCAGAACAACUUCUCCGUUGAGCUCCCCUCCUCAGCCCGGUAAAACUCUGCGGCAUCCAGCACACUGUGGGGAAGAUCUGCAAACGCUCUUGGAGAGCUCUGAACUCGGGUAAGAAAGCGGAAAUUCUCCUUCACAUGCUUGCUUUGCAUAUUGAAUGCCUUACCCGCUGCUAUCUUCUUCGCCUCAUCAAUCUCCUGGAGGGCCUUGUGGGCUUCGGCCAUGGCGCUCCGGACGCUUUCAAGCGCCUGCGCAAGCUCGGACUCUUGCGUUUUAGAGUCUAGCUCCAAGGACUCGUGCUUUUUGGCGAGAGCCUCGAGCUCUUGCUGCACCUCGCCCACUCAGGCUUCUUGUUUCUCCCAUUCAAUGCGUUCCUUGGCCGAUCUGUCUUCGGCCACGGACAACACCUUCCUCAGGGUCUCCUGGACAAAUUCAUGAUGAUCCUAUUACUUUACACAGAACUUCUUUUUAACUAUAUAAACUGGGGUAUAUCUUACCUUUGCUCUCUUCGAGCUGCCCCUUGGUAAGGCCGAGCUCGUCCUCGGACCGCUUUAGGGCCUGCUUCAGCGCAGAGACCUCCACAGUACGUGCGGCAGCGGCCAGUAGGGAAGCCUGCACAUACACAUAGACAUACUUUGAUUAGACUCCCGAGUUAUCAUUUGAUACUCUAUUCGGCUUUUCUUCACGAACGCCGAACAGAGCAUCAGGGGCUAUUAUCUAUGAGGUAAUAUUUUUAUAUUUUGAAUGCUUACCUCAAAGCCUGUUAGGAGGCUGGCGCAAGCUUCAGUCAGCCUGUUCUUGGCGGAUUGAACCUUCUUAACCACCACACUCAUGAUAGUGCGGUGUUCUUCAUUAAUGGAAGCGCUGUGAAGCGCUUCUAGCAAGAUGUCCGGUGCCUCUGGUUGGACAGAGGGCACCGACACGGAUGGUUGGACCCCCUUAAUGGGGGACCGCCUGCCGAAGUCCAGGACCAUUGAAGGUUCCGGCGCGGUGUCCGGCGGGGCCCCGAACUCGAAGCCCGUAGGAGCCUCACUCCCCUGGUACCCAGGGUCCGGGAAGUCGCCGCAAGGCGCCCCCAGGACCACCUCCCCUUGACUCGGUACCUGUUUGGACAACACCUCAGCGUUGUCCGUUGGGUGAGGGGUGGAAUCAGUCGGAAGAGAACCAAUGUUCAUAUCCGACGAGCCCAACGAGCCGCUCGACGAAGGUACGUCAGGAUGAGCUCGGGACGGACUGCAUAAUCAUGUUCGGCAUGAGGAAAGGCAGUACAAUAAAACAUAUCAUGAAGUACUAUGGUGUCCGAACACCUACUACUUCGCCAAGGGCUUGUCCCUGGGCAGCCACUCAUCGCCGUUGUUGACGGCCGUCGUGGCACGGUCCGGAAGGAGGGUCCUUCCCUUCUUGGACCCUUCGGCCUCCAUACAUGGGUCGGCCUUCCUUUUCUUGUCUCCCCCGGCUGGGGGAGGGGGAACUUUUCUCCUCCUCCUCGUUUCCGUGGGAGGAGUGUGCGUCGGAGUCAUCGUCCGAUAUGACCGUACACUGGAGACCCUUUUGGGUCCCCGCGGUCUUCUUCUUGGUCUUCUGUGCUGACACCUCGUAAGGUGCCGGAGUGAGCAUCUUUGUUAGAAGAGCGUCUGCAGGAUCUUCGGGCAGCGGGGCUAGGCUAUCAAGCUGCUCUGCUAUCUUUAACCAGUCCUGUUAGUGACAUGGGAGCUUAGAUCCUACGCAUAACUAUACCUGGGCAAAAAAUAACCCAAGAAAUAUAAAUGCUUACCGGACCGGCAUGGCGCUUUGCGCUGGGUCUGCGGUCUUCGGUGAGAGGGGGAGGGAUCUCGGCGCUCUUGAACAGCACCCUCCAGACGUCUUUGUGCAUCGUGUCAUAGAGCUCUUGGAGCAUCUGGUGCUUGGCCGAGUCGAACUCCCACAAAUUGAAUGUCCGUUGUUGGCACAAAAGAUCUGGCGAACGAGCAUAACCUGGACCUCGUUGACAAGUUUAAUUUUCUUGUUCAUCAUUUUCUGGAUACAGGUUUGGAGUCCGGUUAGCUCUGCCGAAGAACCCCAGGACAGGCCCUUCUCUUUCUAGGAGGUGAGCCGUGUGGGGAUUCCAGAUCGAAAUUUGGGGGCCGUCGCCCAGUUGGUGUCGCGCGGCUCAGUGAUGUAGAACCACCCCGAUUGCCACCCCUUUAUGGUCUCCACAUAGGAGCCUUCGAGCCAGGUGAUGUUUGGCAUCUUGCCCAGCAUGGCUCCUCCGCACUCCGCCUGCUGGCCGACCACCACCUUCGGUUUGACAUUAAAAGUCUUCAGCCACAUGCCGAAAUGGGGCUUGAUGUGGAGGAAGGCCUCACACACGACGAUAAACGCCGAGAUGUUCAGGAUGAAGUUGGGGGCCAGAUCAUGAAAAUCCAGCCCGUAGUAGAACAUGAGCCCGCGGACGAAGGGGUGGAGUGGAAAUCCCAGUCCGCGGAUGAAGUGGGUGAGAAAAACUACCCUCUCAUGGGGUUCGGGCGUAGGAAUGACCUGCCCUGCAUUCGGCAGCCGGUGCGCGAUAUUCCCAGCUAGGUAUCUGGCCUCCCGUAACUUUUUGAUGUCUUCCUCCGUGACAGAGGAAGCCAUCCACUUGCCUCCUGCUCCAGACAUGCUUGGAAUGGUUUGAGAAGAAGGGCGCGAGCUUGGGCGCUAGAGCUUGAGUGUGCGGGAAUGGGAAAGCGAGAAGGAAGAAGGCGUGGGUGAAAAAAGUAGAUCUUUGUCCCUUUUAUAAGGGCGGAGGAGGCGAUGAGUCUCCCCACUUGCUUGGCAAAACCGCUUAUUCCCCAGGCGCCAUAAUUGAUGGCGCGGUUGGGUUACCCACAUCCGUAUUGAUGAGAAUCCCAUGACAAGGGGAACACGAUCUCUUCUUUGACAAGACGUAUCGAGAAAACCGCCUCGCAUUAUGUGCGGGGCUGGUUGAGAAAAGCGGUUCGAAUAAUAACCGGGCCAUGAAGUGAUGUCAUACUAUCAAAACAUGUCAGUAGAUUGGAUUUAUGAAGUAUUAUUCUCUUCUAUGGUGGAAUGUGCAACUUAUUUUACAGGGUCGGACACUAUCCUUGCGUUCAAACUCUUUCAUGGUGUAUUCGGAGGAGGAACCCACCUUGCAAUGCCGAAGACAACACUGCGCCGGACUCAUCGUCAUUGAAGCCUGGUUCAGGGGCUACUGAGGGAGUCCUGGAUUAGGGGGUCUCCGGACAUCCGGACUAUAUCCUUUGGCCGGACUGUUGGACUAUGAAGAUACAAGAUUGAAGACUUCGUCCCGUGUCCGGAUGGGACUCUACUUGGCGUGGAAGGCAAGCUAGGCAAUACGGAUAUGUAUAUCUCCUCCUUUGUAACCGACCUUGUGUAACCCUAGCCCCCUCCGGUGUCUAUAUAAACCGGAGGGUUUUAGUCCGUAGGACAACAUACAAUCAUACCAUAGGCUAGCUUCUAGGGUUUUAGCCUCUUCGAUCUCGUGGUAGAUCUACUCUUGUAAUACUCAUAUCAUCAAGAACAAUCGAACAGGACGUAGGGUUUUACCUCUAUCAAGAGGGCUCGAACCUGGGUAAAACAUCGUGUCCCCUGCCUCCUGUUACCAUCUGCCUUAGACGCACAGUUCGGGACCCCCUACCUGAGAUCCGCUGGUUUUGACACCGACAGUUAUAAAUUUUGCUAUGUUCUUCGUUUGAUGUUUCCUUGUACUAACAUUGUAGCUGAGUAUGAGGCCUUACUCCAUAGUCUUCGGAUGGCUAAGGAAACGAACUUAAGCCGGGUUAGAUGCUUCGACGACUCAGAUUUGGUGGCUCAGCAAGUCUCUGGUACUUGGGAUUCUAAGGAUCAACUCAUGGCGGCUUAUCGGUGAGAGGUGGACGUUAUUGCUGGUCACUUCAAAGGUUAUCAAGUUGAGCAUGUUGAUUGGAGGAAAAAUGAAGUGGCAGACUCUUUAAGCUGGCUGAGCUCUCAAUGUAAGCCGGUGCUGCCUAAUUUCUUUCUUGAUGUCUUGCAUAACCCGUCGGUUAAGAUUCCUACAGAGGAGGAUUUGGCUAUUCCUGACCAGGAGGCUCAGUUGGUGGCGGCUCUUCACGUCACCCCAGAUUGGACAGUCCCUUACUUGGCCUAUAUGACCCGGGGCAAGUUACCUGAGGAUGAAACCUUAGCCAGGUAGAUAAGCUGGCGGUCUAAGUCAAUGACGAUUGUCAAUGGAGAGUUACAUCAUCGUAGUGUCACAGGGGCGUUUCAGCAUUGUGUUUCUCCAGAAGAGGGCUGUGAGAUUUUACGAGAAAUUCAUGAGGGAGAUUGUGGUCAUCAUGCUGAUUCAAAGUCUCUUGUAGCUAAAGCUUUCCGUCAUGGGUUCUAUUGGCUAACAGCCCAUGCUGAUGUAGAGGACCUCAUUAGCAGGUGUGAUGGAUGUCAGAAAUUUGCACGUCGAGCCCAUGUGCUGGCUCAAGAAUUGAGGAUGAUUCCAAUUACUUGGCCGUUCGCCGUUUGGGGGCUCAAUAUGGUUGGGCCUUUCAAAAGAUCCAAGGAUAAGAACACCCACCUUUUGGUGGCGGUUGAUAAGUUCAGUAAGUGGGUAGAGGCAGAGCCGAUCAGUAAGUGUGAUGCAGCAAUGACGGUUCAAUUCAUGAAGAAGGUGAUCUUCCGUUUUGGCUUUCCACACGACAUUAUAACAGAUAAUGGCACUAAUCUCUCUAAAGGUGCUAUGGAAGAAUUUUGCCAACGUGAGCAUAUCCAGCUUGAUGUAUCAUCAGUAGCUCACCCUCAAUCCAACGGUCAAGCUGAGAGAGCAAACCAAGAGAUCCUAAAAGGCAUCAAACCCUGGCUUAUGUUUCCCCUGCAGAGGACGCCGGGUUGUUGGGUGGAGGAGUUACCUUCCAUGUUAUGGAGCAUCAAUACCACCCCAAACAGAUCUACGGAUUACACACCUUUCUUCAUGGUUUAUGGAGCAGAGGCGGUUCUCCCUAGUGACAUCCGUCAUGACUCGCCUCGUGUGGCGGCUUAUGUUGAAGCAGAUAAUGAAAUAGCACAUCAAGAAGCACUUGAUCUAUUGGAUGAGGAGCGUGACAUAGCAGCAGCUCAUUCGGCGAUUUACCAGCAAGAUCUGCGCCGUUAUCACAGCAGCCGGGUUAAAACCAGAACUUUUCAAGAAGGCGACCUGGUGCUCUGGCUUAUCCAGGAUCAGACUGACAUGCACAAGUUAUCCCCACCUUGGGAAGGACCCUUUGUGGUCAGCAAGAAUCUAAACAACGGGUCAUAUUACCUUAUCGAUGUUCGAGACCACAGGGACUCACGCACGUCGAAGGAGGAGACCCGUCGCCCCUGGAAUAUUGCUCAGCUUAGGCCAUACUACACCUGAGCCACCGGCUCAUCCAAUGUACAUAUUUUGACAAUGUAUAUAUUAUGGUUACAAUAAUAAAGCCGAUGUCCCCACUAAAGCAGGGCCUCUGCCGUUUUCUCUCUCUAAAUUAAUGAGUUUUUGAUUACUUGGGGGCUUCUGCUUUAUACAGCAAAGUUAUAAUUACACUUUGAUCUGGCUUAUAGGCCAUAUACAAAAAACUUGGGACCAAAGAGAGUUUGUGGCAAAAGCACGACUCAAUCAUAGGUACGCCCUGAGCAUAGCUCAAUAUGUCACUUGAGGGCUCUUUAGUUCUAAAGAACGAAGAGUUCAUAACCUUGUGAUGGGCUAUAAAAGCCAGGCUUGGAAGCCAUUUGUAUUCACCUAAAACCCCGGGUUAUCCUGCCUGUAUGCCAGAUGCUUCUCCAUCAGGUAAUCCUGAUUGACCCACUGAACUCUUAACAGUCAAUCUUUUAAACAAGACCCUGAACUCGUGAAGGUUAAAAUGCCGGUUUGUCAUGAGAGGGCACGAUUUUAUGGAUAGCAAGGAGAAGCUCAGGCUAUAAAGCCGCCUUCCUUGAAACUUGGAUAAAUCGACCUGUGAUGCACGAUGCUGCUCUAACCCCGUGUACUCCUGAUGAGUCUAUCUUUAAAUAAGAAAUGAACUUAUCCGGGUUAAAAUGUCGACUUGGUCAAUGAGGGCCGGCUCACGGAAAGCGCGUACCUUCCAGUGGCUAAUGCUAGUUUCAUUGAAGAAGAUAUUUUGGCUUGGCAGCCUAUGAAAGCCUCGGAUUUUUUCUGUUGUUUUGAUUUGGAUGUAUUUUUGAGAUUUUUUCUUCUGUGACAUAGUAAUACGAGGUUGAAAAACAAUAAGGCUUAUAAUGCCUUCUGAGUCAUAUAUGACAUUAACCGGUGUUUAAUAACCCGACCUAAUCUUCGACUAUAAGUCGCCAGUAUAAAAUAAAGGUAAAUAUCCGGUGUUUAUUAACCCAGUCCGGUUUUUUUGUUUAUAAGCCGGCAAUUUCUGAUAACUACCAGCAUCCAAAGUCUUGGGUUAUCACCCUUACUACACUGGCUUGGUAAAAUCAACAAGUGUGAUCAAAUAUCACAGGUAUGAUAUAUUUUCAUAUAUGAUUAUUAUUUUGACCAGCUUUGGUUAUGAAUCAUGAUAAGUUCAUGUUGGGGCAUUAUAACCCAUCUAGCGGUAAACUGCCAGGACACUUUUAAAUGUUGUAUGCAGGAACAUAUUCAAACUUGUUAAAGUCAUAAAGGAUAUAUAGCAUAUCUUCCUAUAACGGAUAAAUAAGUGUUAUAAGCAGCACAAUAUGCACGAUGGCAUAACAGAGCAAGAAGUUUUCAGCUAGCCUAUUACAAGGCGUUUGGAGCCCAAAAUGAUAUUGUUUCUCAGUCUCCCAUACAGCAGAUGAUAAACCGGAGCCGAUUCAUGAUUCUUGGCCCGGUUAACUUGAUGGUUGCGCCUCACCCCUUGCCGGUUCGUCCUCCUCCACCGUCUGGAAGUUGGGUUUGGAUUAGUCAAAGCCAUGAAGGGUGACGAAUUCGACCUCAUCAUCAAUUAGGGCAGAGGGGUCAAUCUAAGCGGCGAAAGUGUGCUUACGAAUCGGCGGGAUUAAGUCCAUCACUUUAAAUGAAGGAGUCACCAUCUUCUUAUUAUCUGCAUCAAAACCCGACUGAUACUUGGUGAGGUUGGUUUCUUCACCAAUGAUGGUAGUAUGAGGGCGAAUUUCCUUGACACAAGCAGCAAAAUCCUCUUGGUCGAAAGGUGUUCCAUCUUCUUUGAGGCUAGGAUAUCCGCUGGCUACGUCCGCCGGGUCUAAUUCUGGUACCCAGGCAUUGGCACGGCUUAAAGUUGUUACAACUCCGGCUCUAGCACACGAUCGCUUGAUUUCUUGGAACCGAGCGGGCAAGAUAGACAACUUCUUCAAGAUGUCACUUAAUAGAGUCGGCCCUUGAUUCACGGGGGAGAUAGUGGCAAGAGUCCGUUGAGCUCCGGUGUACAACUGUUCAACCAGCGUGCAAACCACCUUCAGCUUUACCACGGUAUCUCGGCUCAGAUUGCUGCUCCUGGGACAUGUAAAUAUUACACAAUGAGUUAUGUGGCGGCUUAUAAUGGAAACUAUUUAUUUGAAGUACAUAAGAAGGUGACUUACCGAAGAUUGCAGAAACCAUCCGAGACAUACAGUUCUUUAAACCGGUGAGUUCAGCGGUGACUUCUCCCAAAGCCGCUUCAGCCUUCUCCGCACGUUGUGUCAAAGCAAUCUUCUCAUUGGCCCAAGCCUCUUUCUCCGCCCUGAAGCUGGUCUUCAGCUUUUCGGCCUCAGACACACUCAACUGGAAUUUGGAUUCAGCUUUCCUUGUCUCAGUCUCUGGAGUCGCCAGCCGGGACUUGGCCUUAGACAAUUGAGAUUCCAGUUCUGCGGUCACAGCCUGCAUACAACAUAAGGUUGUUUCAGUUUCAUGACAGAUUAUAAAAAACAAGCCUCAAGUGCUUUGCAAGCAAUAACACUUAACACUUGGGGGCUAAUGUCUGUCAGCGCAAAUUGCUCAAAGGAAAUGGCUCUUUCUAAACAAAAAAGUCCCAAGUGUUUUGCAAGCAAUAACACUUGGCACUUGGGGGCUAAUGCAUAUUGCUUGGCCUUUUUCUACAAAUGAUCCGGAUAAGCUGUCAACAGUCUCAGCCGGCUCAUGAGGGCUAUAUGAUUCAGAUCUCUCUAAUGACUAGUAGGAGUUGCUCAUUCAUACUGAUUAAACCGGCCCUUGGGGGCUACACAUUCAAAUUGAAAUACUAUAAGCAUCCAGUUUAGUUGCAAACCGGACUUGGAGGGAGUCUAAGACAGAGGUUUCUAAAGUAUUCUAAGUCUACAAAUCAUUCAAUAUUUUCAUAAUCACAAGACUUUGAGGUUAGCAGGGUAUGUAACUUAUAUAAGCCGGAGAACGUACCUCAUAUUUUUGGUGCAUCUGCUUGACCAUCUCAAUUUCUGAAUCACGGCUAGAGUGUACUUGACUGAGAUAACCAGAUAACACUUUACUAAUACUCAGGUGAGCAUAGUGGGAGACGUCAAACCUCACCUUCUGCCUUUCCAUAUCUUCUUGUUUGGUAGAGUGUCUUUCCAGAACAGUUGGGUUCCCCGGUUCAACAAAUCUGGUACCAGUAAUUAAAACAUCAUCACCGUGCUUCUCCGGCGGGUUAACUGAGCUUGACGGCUAGAUACUUGAUGGAUCAAUAGCAGUUUCAUCCGCAGAUGGUUCAGGUAAAUCCGUUUGAACAUUGGAAGCAGGGUCCUCUAGCUGUUUAGUGUGUUCUGGCACAAAAGUUGACUGCUUCGGUCCUUCAGGAUGUUCCGGUAUGAUGGUUGUUUGCUCCGGUUCUGUGGUUUUCAGAUCCUCAGCCGACUUUGUCACCUUUGCUUUCUUGGGCUUUGCUUGACCGCUAAAAAAGGAUUUAGACAAGUCAGUACAAUGAUACAUAUAUAAAGGUAUAUAAGAAGGGUAGUUAUCUUUACCCGGGGGCGGUCUUGAAGGCCGGCAAUUGAGAUUGUGAUGAAUCACCAGAGGAGGAAUGGGAAAUCUCCUGUAAAGAUGGAAUCAAAAAUUAGUGAUGAAGGUAAUUCAUUGAACAAAUACAAGGGUGGAAGGUAAAAAAUAACCUCAUUCUACCGUUUCUGAGGAGUUUUUGGUAAGCCGAAGGGGAAAUUGUCUUCUCCACCAGACCGGGUCUGCCGGCGGCUCUCAUGUUGCUGUCAUUUCAAAAGAAAAUGAGGAUCUAAAUAAGCCAAGGGGUGUGAAAACCUUACUUUCCGGGUUACCCGCCGAAGUUUCUGCCUUGGUAAAGAUUCUGAGUCGGAGGAAAUAAUAUUUACCUCUUCUUCAACUACCUGGCUGCCCCCCGUGUCAUCCUAGCAAUAAUCAGUGUCAAUAAGGUGGUUAAAAAACAGGCCAAGAGUCAAGGGCUACCUCCGACUCAGAGGUGUCAUCCAUCUUGAGUAAUUCAGAGCCGGUUGGCUUCUUCUUAGAUUUUCUGACGGUCUUCUUGGCGGCUAUCGCAGCAGCUCUAGCUUUUUUGGCAGCCUCGUGGUCAUAUUUUGCUUUCCAGAGAAUCAGAUUUGGCCUGUGGAAAAAUAACUUGUUGAGAUUCACGCAAAUACUUAACUACGGAGGAAAAAUAAGUUAAGAAGAUUUACCUCUGGUGCCGGGUUAUGCUUGCAUAAAGGAUUCAACCCUACUAUGCUGCAGUCUUCAUACUUGCUAUUGACAAGAGUGGUUGCCAUUUCAACAAUGGCCUCUUCAGUCAAACACACAGAAUGAUGACGUAAAGGGUCAUCAGUUCCUCCAAUGUAUGAACACAUCAAGCCGGAUCGGCGGCUUAAAGGUAUGAUCCGCCAUGCGACCCAGCAGCGGAUCAAGUCAACUGCGGUCAAGCCAUUUCCUAAAAAAGCUUGGACUUUUCGGAUUUUGGGGACACGUUUCUUGCGUUCGGCGGUAGUAAGUUUAUGAGGAAGUUGGUAUUUGGCGUCAAGACGAUCAGCAUGGUAGCCCGGCAUUGGAUUUUCAUCAGACGACGAGAUGUCUUUGCAGUAGAACUACUAAAGGGAAGAUGGCAUCUCAUCUACGUUGAAUCGAAAUCCGGCCAAGUUCGAAGCUGGGACCAUUGGUAUAUUUGUUCUGGUGGUUCAGGUAGAAAUAUUAUCUGAAGAUCUCAAUAGUAGGUUCUUCUUGAAGAUAAACUACGCAGAAAACUUGGAAAUUAGAGAUGUUUGAUAUGGAAUUGGGUCCUAUAUCUUGCGGAUGAAGCUUGAAAAAAUGCAGAACAUCUCUGAAGAAUUUUGAGCCGGGUAGUGAGAAACCCCGGUUCAUAUGAUCUGCGAAGACAAUAAUUUCACCAUCUUUUGGCUGAGAUCUCUCUUCAGCCGGGUCAGGAACACGGUAAUGCAUGACACUCUUUUCUGGUAAGAACCCCAUAGUGAAAAAAAUCUUUCAAAGUACUCUCAGUGACUAUGGAAGGAACCCGAUUGCAAGUUGUCAUCAUUUUCGGCGGCAUGAUGAAAGGACAGUCUAUAAAGAAAAUAAUUGGUUGGUUCAAAUUAGUUGAUGGGAUUGCAAGUUGAGAAAUUACAGUGCAUAAUAGCGGCUUAAGCAAGGGCUAAUGAUAUAUAAGGAAAAGAUAAGCCGGCAGGGUAAGCCGCCAUGACUAAAGAUGUUCAAAGAGUUGCCGGAAGCAACAUUGGCUAAGUACUGAGACAAACAAGUUCCGCAGAUGGAGGUUUCAAAUUUGGAUCUACCGCUGGUUAGAAAAAAGGAUAAAUUCAUGGAUAAAAGGCGACAAUGGAAAAACAGAGAAGCCCUAGAGGAGAUCUGUCAUGGUGGGGGUGUGAUCUAGUAUUAAAACACGAGCUAAAACUACCACCGCGCAAGCUUUCUAUAUUUUUUGGAUCUAAUAUGUGGAUCUAAUCAAAGGAAAAGAAGGACGAUGAUGAACGAGGAUGAACACUGAAGAACACCGACGAAGCCCUAACGAGAGAUUGGGGAUGAACAAAGAAAGGCUUACUGGAGUUGGUAGAACAGCGGAGUAGCGCCGCAGUUCUCUGGUCUGCUUAGGGUGAUGCAGCGACCGGAGUUGAGGUCGAGACGAAGGUCGAUGGCGGCGAGGUUCGUGCAGGACGUCGCGGUGCGAGGAGGAAGAAAGAAGAAUGAGAAUAAUGGAAGAUGGCUUUCGGGUCCUAUUUGUAAGGAGAUAGGAGACAGGCAGGCGCGAAAGUCGAGGAGGCCAAGUGAUAGUUAUCCAGUUAAUUGGACGCCUCGAUUUUCGGGAAGACAUUAAGAUAAAGAUCCAUUAAAGAUGAUGUCGUGGCGGGUUUCCGAAAUUCUUGGAAGAUGACGUCAUGGUGGGUUACAAGGUUUUUUCAGCGGAUAUGGGAGGAUUUUUCUAAGUCUUGAAGGUUGACAUGAACAAGUCCAAAUCAACCCGGGCCUAAUGUUGGGGAUAUAACUAUUAGGUAUGACCCGCCCAGGAGGGGACGGGUCAACCCUAUGAAGAUUCAUCACAAUGAAGCCCAAGGUCACAUGGCGAUUCAUAGAUAGGCUUAGGAGAGGGCCCAGACCCAAAGGUGGCUUAAGGCCCAUGAGUAUAAACCGCCAUGUAUGUAAACUUGUAUAGUAAGGCAUAUGUAAAAGGUCACCGAGCCGGAUACGUUGUAUAAGCCGGCCGGGACUCUGAGGGCCGCAUGACGACAACCCGUGCAUAUAAGGGGACGACCUAGCGGUGGCUUAGGACAAGAAACAACAGAUCGAGAGCCGGGUCAAGCGUAUUCGCUCCCUGCUCAUCAAAACCCUAGCAAUACCAACUACAAACUGGACUAGGCUUUUACGUUCAUCGUAAGGGUCCGAACCAGUAUAAACUCUCUGUGUCCUUUGUCCUGGUUAACCCCUUUAAGCUAACCUCAACGCGAUGGCUCCACGACAAAGUCCUCACACUAGGACAUCUGCCCUGACAAUUCCAUGACAUAUUUGUAACUCACUGUAGCUCCAGAAAUUGCCUCCUUUAGUUGACCCGCCAUUACUUAAGGCGGUUUAUCUUUAUACUGCUCGUUCUUGUACUAUUGAUGAAUCAGUAUCCCCUUUGUUUUUUAAACAACUCUCCUUCUUAUUGUCCUUUAGGCAACUCAAUAUGGCAAAAACUACCCUCUGCAAUUGGGGCCCUUCUCUAGUCACUGAACAAAUGCUCAAAGAUUAUGUGGACCAAGGUCUCUUGGCUGCUCAGGAAGAGAUUGGUUGGCGAUUCAGCCAAGGAGAAAAUGUCCCUAACCCUGCUAAAGGAGGUGAUAGUUUUUACCAAUCAUAUCCCUAGAGGCUUUACUCCACCUGGGUCAAAGUUUUUUUGGGAUGUCUUGCACUAUUUUAGUCUCCAUCCUCAAGACAUAGGCCCAAACUCAAUAACAAACCUUUGCCAUUUUCAAAUAUUUUGCGAAGUUUAUUUGCAAGUAGAACCCACCAUUGCUCUCUUCAAGGAGUUCUUCUACCUAAACCGCCAGACUGAAUGUGCUAGUGGUCCAACUCAAGAGUUAGGAGGAAUCUCAAUCCAAAGACGCAGAGACGGCUGCUUUCCCGCAACUGUCUUGUUAAGCCAUCCCAAGGGAUGGGUAAAAACCUGGUUCUACUCUAAGAAUACCGCCCCAGAAAAUGAGAACCCUCUGCCAGGUUAUCGUGUUGAUCGCCUCCCCAUCAACUUUAACCUACCAAGUCAACUUAUUCCAGCUAAACAUACUGAAGCACUUCAACAUUACCCGAAGAUAACAACUUUGUUAGCCAAUGGGUUAACCGGAGUCGACUUAGCCCGUUGCUGGUUCUCAUGGAAGAUCCUUCCUUUAAGUCGCCGACCCAGUUUAAUGUGUGACUACUCUGGCAAGUCAGAUGAUCCUCAACAAAAUAGCUCUGACGAAUUUAGUACUGAAGAUGUCUUUCAAGCUAUGAACUCCUUACUCGGGGAGUCACAAGAAAAUUGUAACAAGAUAGGACUGCCACCAUUCUCCUAGCUUAACCCAGCUCCAGCUAUAAGCACUAUUCUAUUUCCAGGUAAAAUAUCUUUGAUUCUAUUCUAUAUAUCACUUAUAAAUCUUUUAUUAUUGCAUAGCCCGACUCUUCUUUUUAGAAGAGAAAAAUAAAGACCGUUGUGGACAAAACCAAGACCAGCCCAAAGUAAAAGAAGAGCAAACCAGUUGCUGUGAUUAAGUCGGCUGCUAUGGACUAGUCAAUGGAUGUUAACGUUGAUGACCAGUCUGAGAUAGAACUUUACUCUCUUAGCCGCCUUUUAAUGACUUAACUGACACUUCUUACUCUCAGGAUGACGGUGCAUCAAGCCAGGCUGACAAUCCAGAAGUAAUUUCUAUCUCUUCCGGCUCAGACUCUGUAACAUCCCAAAUUUUCAAUUUGGAAUGUUAUACACUAGAUCAUCAUUGCAUAGCAUAUUUUAUUGCAUUCUGGUUGAUCCUAGAAAUUCUACGCAACUCAAGGACCCUCGGAGAGAGAGUUGGGGAUUUUGUUAUUUCCAUAUUUGAGUUUUCUCAAAUUUUGAAAUAAGGAUCAUUUGAUUUUAUUUAUUUUAUCUUCAUUUAUUUCUAUUAUCAAAAUAUGAGAGAGGGAAUAAAAUGACUUUGCCAAAAUAAAGAAAUAUUGAGGAUUUAAUAAAAAAAUCAAAUAAGAUUUUAUUUGGUUAUUUGCUAUUUUAUUUGAAUUUAGGAAAAAUUGCACGUUUUAAAAAAUUGCAUUUAUAGCCAAAAAAAUGUUCUUUAUGUUCUAAAUAUUUUAUUUAGACGGAGAAAAUUUGUUUUGGCAUUUUAGAUUUUUAUUUAUUUUUCUAGAAUUCUUUUUAGGCGCAGCGAAAUUGUUUUUUAAAAAAAAUCUCGCGCCCGACUGGGCCAAGGGCCCAGCCGAGCCAGGCCGGCCCAGCCGCCGCCGCCUCCCGCUCGAGUAGCCACCAGACUCGGGAGGAGUCCGAGCCGGAGCCGCCUCGCCGCCGCCCGACCCCCUCCCCAAGUCAGCCCNNNNNNNNNNNNNNNNNNNNNNNNNNNNNNNNNNNNNNNNNNNNNNNNNNNNNNNNNNNNNNNNNNNNNNNNNNNNNNNNNNNNNNNNNNNNNNNNNNNNNNNNNNNNNNNNNNNNNNNNNNNNNNNNNNNNNNNNNNNNNNNNNNNNNNNNNNNNNNNNNNNNNNNNNNNNNNNNNNNNNNNNNNNNNNNNNNNNNNNNNNNNNNNNNNNNNNNNNNNNNNNNNNNNNNNNNNNNNNNNNNNNNNNNNNNNNNNNNNNNNNNNNNNNNNNNNNNNNNNNNNNNNNNNNNNNNNNNNNNNNNNNNNNNNNNNNNNNNNNNNNNNNNNNNNNNNNNNNNNNNNNNNNNNNNNNNNNNNNNNNNNNNNNNNNNNNNNNNNNNNNNNNNNNNNNNNNNNNNNNNNNNNNNNNNNNNNNNNNNNNNNNNNNNNNNNNNNNNNNNNNNNNNNNNNNNNNNNNNNNNNNNNNNNNNNNNNNNNNNNNNNNNNNNNNNNNNNNNNNNNNNNNNNNNNNNNNNNNNNNNNNNNNNNNNNNNNNNNCCGCUUGCCGCCGCCCCGCGCCGCCCAGAGCCGUCGCCCCGCCGCCUCGCACCACCCGCCGCCCUGUUGAAGCCUCGCCGGAGCGCCGCCGCCGAGGUAUCCGGCGGUCGGUUUUUGAGAAAAAGUCGUUUCGGUUUUUUUUGAAAACCCUAGUUUUUGUUUUUUUAAAAUAUAAAGAUCGGUUUUUCUCCGGUUUAUUUAUUUGGCGAGCGCCCGCUCGUCCGUUCGUUUUAACGAAUGUGUUUUUCGUUUAGUUCCUGUUAACGAACGUUCGUUCGUUAACCUGUUCGUCGUUUUUCUUUUCUCGGAUUAAAUCCGCGAUUUUUCUGAUCGCAAUCUCUGAUCCGAUGUUCGUUUUAGUUUAACGUUUUUCUCAUUUAUCAGAAUCAGGCGAUUCAAGCGCCUGGAGUUUCGUCUCAAAACCCUCUUUCAGUUUAACCAACUCAAACAAGUUUUUGCCACUGUAAAAAUUGCCCUAGGUCCAGAAUAGUAAAUGAAGCUUGGUUUUUUGCCGUUUGUCUUUCGUUGCUUCGUUCGUUUUGAUUAUUUUUGCCGACCGGAGUUCUUAAGUUGAACUUUCUGGUUAGAUCUCUUAUUCGAGUUUUACCUAUGCAUUAGUUGAGUACUUAUUGUAUGCUUGUUUGUUUGCGAUAGAGUACCCCGAGUGCGCCGCUUGCUACUUCGGAUCGCUAGGUUUCCCGGAUCAUCAGCAAGGAAAGUAACACUUUGAUCAUAUCUCCUACUACCCAGUUUUAUUACAUUAGAUCAAUCCUCACACAUUGCAUGAUUAGGAUCUAAUUAAAUUGUGGGUUUGGGGAGUAGUUUAGGUAGAACAUAUUACCUGUUUAUUAUCAAACCUUUGGGAGUUACUUCUACGUUUGCUUAUUAUUGCUAUGCUAUGCUAGUAGACAUGGAUUGGGUGAGUGAAAUCCAUGAUAGGUGUGAGUUUGUUAAAUUAAUGGUUUAUCUAAGGUGGCAACUUAAGCACACAUCUGGGUGAACUUAGGCACCUGGGUAUUCCAACGAUUGCCUGUUUUCUUUUGGACCGCCACCCAGGCUCAAAGGGAUCAUGAGGUUAUUCAUGCUAGAAACUUCCGUGUGCAGCCACAAGCUACUAUGGGCUCUAGCAUAGUUGACUAAGUCGUGCGAACUCUUACAGUGGUAGACUAGCAGAUGUAGGGGAUGUAGGUUGGUACGGUCUACCCAUUCGUAAGGUGCUAGCACUUCUGAAAGACUAUGUCUCGGUCAUCCGUUUCUCAAACACCAUGUAGUGCGAGAAAUCCAACGGAGGAGAUCGGGUCUUGUGGGGAAAAGUGAGCAAACCUCUGCAGAGUGUAUAAACUAAUCAUGGUCAGCCGUGUCCCCGGUUAUGGACAUCUUGAGUAUAUAGUACCUGGAUUAUCAUGUGAAUCUCAACAUGUUACUCUAAAAUUAAUUUUGUUGGGUUUUGAUUAAUGAUGAUGCUUAAUUGGGAUUGAGAAUGCUGUCAACCAUUCUCAAUGUUUAACAACUACCAUGAUAGUUAAAUAAAAUCUAUUCCUUUGCAGUAGGGAAAAAUUGGCUUUACGAAAAACUGUAACCAUAGAGCUUUCUACCAGCCAUAUAUGCAUAUAGUAUAGACUAUUUCAUUCCAUUACUCUCUAUGUGCUACAUUGCCAGCAUAUUCCAUGUGCUGACCCGUUUCGGGCUGCAAUGUUAAUGUUGUAGACUUUUCAGACGACGAUUAAGGUGCCUUUAGGUCGUGGUUCUAUACUCACUGAUGCCGUUGGAGUUGAUGGACUCACUUAUCUUCCAAGCCUUCCGCUGUUAUCAUUAUUAGAUGGCCUUAAGCCACUAUUAUUGUAUUAAGCUCUCUUUGGAGACUCUCGAUAUAAUAAGUGUGUGAUUGCUACUCUGUUAUAAAUCCUUCAAGUACUGUGUGGUGUCAGCAUUACUGAUCCAAGGAUGACACCUGAGCACAGAGAUUGGACCGUUUGAGGUCUGGUCGCUAUGAGAUGGUAUCAGAGCACACGCUGACUGUAGGACAUGACCACUAAGCUAAAGACCUAGAUCACUACUCACUCUCUUCUCAUUCUGACUUCUCAUCUUUUCUACUCUUUUAGGAUGGCGGAUGCAAGGAACAAGUUCACGCAACCGGAUGAAGAUACACCCUUUGGACGUCACUUGAAGGAAGUCACAAGAUACCUGAACAUAGGAGUACCAAGUUUCACUGGAACCUACAACGCCACUCUACCUGAAGAAGAGUGCUGGAUGAUUCAAGUUCAAGUUCCAGGAAGGACGUUCAUGCCAAUCACUGAGCCCAUAGAGUUUUCUUUUGAUGCACCAACUUGGAAUCUAGGAAAGAGCAUGGCAGCUCACAUCGCCAUGGGACGCAUUGGAGAAGUUUACCGCAAUGAUCUCAAGGAUACUAUCUGCCAGAUUUGUGGGCGCCGAGAUGAGCACUGAGAGAUGAUCAGUACCAGGAAGGAUAGAUCAGUUGCAGCUUUUAUCCAGGAGUUAAACCAACACAUUCGACGUCAGGAGAACCAGAUGUGCACCGACAUGAUAGAUCUGAAGAAGGCGAGGACAAGAAUCAAGGAACUGGAGGAAGAACUCAAGGCUACACAUGAAGAUUAUGAAGAGGAAAUCGAAGUAUUAGUGGAAAAGAAUGACGAUCUGAUCAAGAAGAUUGGAAUAUUCAUGGGAGGCCCUACACCAGUAGAAGAAGAUGAAGAACCCAAGGAGAUUCACCCAGAAGACUACAUCAUCAUCGACGACACCGACUCAGAUCCAGAUGAUAGCGAUGAUGACUAUGUUGAUGAAGCUGGAGCAGAUAUCAUGGAGUCUGCAACCGAAGAAUAUUUCUAGUAGACCACCCAAACAGUAGUAGUAAUCCACCAUGUAAAUAUAGUAGUCCGAGCACUUUUGCGAUAGUUAGAUCGAUUGUAUGCCCUUGUUUGAUUGAUUGAAUGAAGUGAAUUGUUUGCUUUUGUCUCAUGUGCAUAUGGGUAGUGUUUUCUCUUUAGACCCCCUCUAUUCUUAAAUCUCAUCUUUUCUAAACCCUCAGAUGCCUCCGAGACGUGAACCCAGAUGUACCUUCCCACCGGAGCUCAUCCAGUUGAUCCAGCAGCAGAACACAUUGAUGAAGUUGCUAGUCCAGAAUCAGAAUCAAGGGAACAACAACAACAACCCACCACCACCACCACCUGUUGAUCACUUAGCUCGUUUUCUUAGGCUGAAUCCGCCGGUGUUUUCCAGUAGCACCGAGCCGAUAAUAGCAGAUGAUUGGCUCUGCAAGAUAGCAAGGGAGUUGACCACGACGGGAUGCACGGAUGCGAAAAAGGUGAAGUUUUCCGUACAUCAGCUUGAAGGACCCGCAGCAUCAUGGUGGGAGAAUUUCAUAGCCACUUUCCCUAUCGACACUGUCACAUGGGACCAGUUUUAGCAGGCUUUUCAUACUGCCCAUGUUUCAACAGGAGCUAUGGCCAUGAAGAAGCGAGAGUUUCGCAACUUGCGCCAAGGAGGACGGACAGUUGGCCAGUAUGUGGAGGACUUCAAUAAGUUAGCAUGUUAUGCCCCAGAUAACGUUGCUACUGAUGCAGCUAAGCAGGAGAAGUUUCUGGAAGGACUGAAUGAUGAGUUGAGCAUGCAGUUGAUGGUAGCAACCUUCAACAAUUACCAGGAGUUGGUAGAUCGUGCUCUCAUGAUUGAAGGGGAGCAACAGCAGAUUGAGAAUCGCAAGAGGAAGUAUGGACAAGGAAAGUACAAUUCAGGAGCUCAACAGAAGCGAUGCUUUACCCCUAGACUAGGAGGACAUUUUCAGCAUACCCAUGGAGGAGGUAGCUCGCACAAUCAUAAUGGCACCAAGAAUGGUAAUGGGAAUGGAGGAAGCAACAGCCAGAACCGCACCAACCCAUCGACCCCAGCCAAGAAAGACCUGAGCCAAGUCACUUGUUUUAAGUGCCAGAAGACCGGACAUUAUGCCAAUAAAUGUCCUGAAUCACAGAAAUCAUCAGCCUUGAACUUCUGCUUGCCUGAGAAUGGAUCCUUUGGCUUUGGCAGAGGAGUGUCAGUGAGUUGCAUCACGACCUCAGGAAUCUCAAUCGCAGGUUCUUCAGGCUGAGGAAUUUCUGGUUCUUCCUCAGUGGUAGUCUGCGUAGUUGGUUGUUCAGCAGUAGCAGUUUCUUCAGCGCUAGUGGCUGGAAUUUCCUCAUGGACAGAUGCAGUGGGAUGAGUUUCUUCAGAGCCCAUGUGAACAGUUUGUGUGGGGGACUGAAGAAUUUGCUGUAGAGGGGGUGAACAUUGGAGAGUUUGGAUGCUGACUUUCCCAGAAUUCAUCACUGAUUACGGGUGUGGAGCAGCCAAUGUCCACAUCUUCAUCUUCCAUUUCUUCAACGCCAUCCUCUUUAGCUGUGAACUGAGGCAUAGGCGAGGAGAUGAUAGGUGUUGAAGGGAUCGCAUCCACUUCAAUUUCUUCAUCCAAUGGUUCAGACAAAGCAGCAGAAGGAGUUUCUUCAUCAGAUCCGCUGGGGAUCACAUAUUUUUCAUCAAAAGGAACAAGGCCCUUUGAUGGCCUGGUUGAGAUGGGAACAACAUCAAUCGGAUUUGCAAAUGAGCUUGUCAUAGGCUUCAUUUUCUUCGGAGCUGAAGAAUCUGAAGCAGCUGAUGCUUUCUUUUCUGCACUGCAGCAUGCUCUGCAGCCUUGGUCUUCUUCACAUCUGAUGCAGAUGGAAGGAUUGGAGUUGAAGUUGGUGCAAGAGCAGCUGAGGAAUCUGGUUGAUUUUCUUUAGGCACAACUGAUGCAGUUGCCCUGAGUUCUUCAGUUUCUUCAGGCACACCACUAGUGGGUGCCCUGGCAAUUUCUUCAGUGGCUGGAAUGCAGUCAUCAGCCCUGGAACUCACAUUUUCUUCAGCAGCCUGAUUAUCAUUAGCGGUGCUGGCAUGUUCUUCAGUCGGCUGAGCAGAUGCUUCAGCCUGAGGAAUUUCCUGUUGCGUUGGGGCAGCAACAUUUGAAGUGAACUAUUUAGUUAUCUUUACAAAUCUAACUUUGGCUCCUUGCCAAUCAGCAUAGUAGGCUUGAAAGUCAUCGCUGAGGGUUUUGAUUUCAGAUUGGAUUUUUACAAGUUCAUCAGUGGUCAUAGUGACAACGUUGUUCUUCAGGUACUUCUCCUUUCUGUACUGGGCCUUCUUGAUCUGUCUGGCCUGAUCAUAUUUCCAUUUCUCCUCUUGGAUGAAAUGAGUCAGCAUGUGAUUUUGACCAGGCAUCAGCUUGAAGUCAGGCAUAGGAUUAUUUGGGUCCUUGUGCCAGAGAUCAAUGUAGUCGAGGAUCAUCUUGGGAUCCAAAAGAAGUGGCACAAGUGUGCCUUUGGCUCUAGUGGCCCUAACUUGUCUGUCUCUGAUGAUUUCUGCAAGUUCAUCAUCAUUAGCUUCAUCUUCUUCAGGUGGCACUUGGAAAGCGACUUGCUUCUUUUGAGGACUUGGCCGAGGACCUCGUCCAGCAGUUGCCUUGGUCUUCAUCAGAGUGGGGAGAGGUGAAGAAUUUGGUGUAGCUGAGGAGCUUGCUGAGACACCAGAGGCAAUGGAGAUGCCUGUAGUCCUUUGGCACGAGGCCAGAUGCGCAGGUGCUGAGGACUUUGUCGGAACAACUGAGGACUUUGGAGGAGGUGCUGAUGAUUUUGAAGGAGCAGCUUGAGGGAUUGGUCGUGAGGACCUUGAAGAGUCUGGUCGUGAGGGCGCAGCUGAGGAACUUGGCCGUGAGGGCACUGUUGGUGAAGCACUUGGCUUACGAGCAGGCUUCUUAGGCAUGGAUUUCCUCGGCUUGACAGAGGCCUUAGUAGAGACAGCAGCAGCCACAGCAGAGUCUUCAUUGAAUUUCCUCACUGCUUCUCUGGCUUGCUUGGCCAACUUGCCUUGGCGCUUGGCCCAUUCAUCAGGAUAGUCCUCACCGCGCUUGAGGCUGGUGGGAUCUGCUACUUGGCCAGGUGCCAAUGGAGCUCUUGGGGAUGGAGGAUUAAGUGCGAAUUUCUUCAUGUACUUAGGAGUGACAUAUCUGUACUCCCUCCAUUCUCUUGCCCAUCUCCUCUCUAUCCUCUUUUUGCGCACUUUGCGCUCAUUCUUGGUUUCCUCACUAGGUGUGCAGUACCCAGCAUAUAUGUCAUCAGGGAUCUCAAACGCUGUAUUUACCUCAGGCCUCUUUCCUCCCUUCUGUGGCCUUUUACCAUCAGCCAUUUUCUUCAGUUGAGGAAUUUGAACAAUCGAAUUCUCUGAAGAAGUAUGCAACUUUUCUUCGAGGAACGCUGCAAAUGAGUUAAGUUGAUGAGAACCUAGUGAUUCAGCAGCUGACAUGUGUACCUGUGAACAGAGUAUAGUUGCGAGGAAUUUGGAGAGGUCAUAUGCGUUCUCAGAAGGUUUUUCAAAAAGAACAAGUUUGAGGAAUUUGACCAGAUGAGUCUUGAAGAUUUUUACUAAGCGUUCUUUGUCUUAGGUUCCAAAGUUGUAUAGAUCGAAGAUCCACAAAAUUGAGGAAUCUUGAAGAAAAAUGAUGCUUAGACAAACGAAUCAAGAACAGAUGACAUGUGAGGUGUUUAGUCUGUGAAGAUUUGAAGAAUAAAACACCUUUGAAGAUUUUAUAGAGAAACUUCGAAUCAAAGAGGGCAGUAAAAGUAACUUUUAAUUACCCUGAAUGAAGAAUACGACGAACAGUGAGGUGAAACAGUGGAGUUCGUCAGUGUAGAUCUUCCACACCCUAACUUGGCGGAGGAAGACGUCUACGGCGGCGGCGGAGGUGAAGAUUUCCGCGGUCGGUGCGAGUACGAUGACGACGAGGUCGAGGCAGUGAAGCUCUUCCUCACCAGCGACGAUGGAGUAGCGGCGGCGCUAGGGUUUGGGAAGCUCGAGUGGGAGAGAGAGAUCGAGCGGAGUAAAGGAAGUGAGGAAGGGAUGAGGGGGUAUUUAUAGUAGCAGUGAAAAACUGUUCGCCCGAAGAUUUGGGACGAACGUGCCCCUGACCCUUCUCCUUCGCACGACAUGUGUCACCCACGUACUAUGUAGUGGAGAUCGUGGGUGAAUUAAAAAUUUAUCAUGGGAUGCGGAAUGAGUUGAGCGGCAAAACCGAAAAUUUGGAUAAGAUUAGUUUUAAAGUUCCGUUCGCAAUUUCUUCAGCUGACAAGGACACAGUGAAGAUUUUGAACGAGUUUCAAAUAGAACUCACAUGAAGAAUUUGUGAACAGAUUGGGUUGAGUAUAGCAUAGAGGGGGAGGGUCCGAUCACAUUCACUUAGCAGAAAACCAACUUGAAGAAAUAGCAAUAAGUGAAUGUUGUAGAGGACAUAGACUCAUAUAUAUAUAUAUAUAUAUAUAUAUAUAUAUAUAUAUAUAUAUAGCCAAUGAAGAAAAACAACGGAACCAGUGAAGAUUAUGGAAAGUUGAAGAAUAUGAAUAAUUUGAGGAAUUUCAACUUUUGGUGGUGGCAUGACCCACCGUAUAAGAAUGAUGAUUUCAUACACCACGUACAAUUAUCGUAGGGUUCUGAGAAUCAAAUUCUUCAUUAAUUUCUUCACACUAAGAGUGUUAUUCUUCAUUGAUUGAAGUAAAACGUUUCUUCAUGUGUUGCACAUCUAAGCCAUCAAUUUUGCAUAAGUGUUAGGAUGAGUGUCCUUUUCAAAGAACAUUCGAAGAUUCUAGGAUAUUUAGCUCACACCGGAACUUGCUAAAUCUCUUCUCAUCCAAGGGCUUUGUGAAGAUAUCAGCUAGCUGUUCUUCAGUCUUCACAUGCUCAAUAGAAAUGUCGCCCUUCAACACAUGAUCACGAAGAAAAUGAUGAUGAAUCUGAAUGUGCUUUGUCUUCGAGUGCUGAACUGGGUUGUGAGCAAUCUUGAUGGCACUCUCAUUGUCAU
rnacentral:lncRNA from 1 species